rnacentral:lncRNA from 1 species
AAGACAACUCUAGAAAUUGACUAUUUCGUAGACGGAGAGAGUAUAAAUAUGUUGGAAACUAAGACAUAAAAUCUCUAUUAAGACUGACCUAAGGGCAUCCGCAAUGAUAAUUCACAAAUAGCUAACUAAAUGAGACAUAGAAAUAAUAAAAAAUAAACAUGCUAGUGAAAAGUAACAUGAGUUCUAAAAGAUGUGUUUUUAGGAGAUCAUACUAGACUAGAAAAGUUGCUAACUACUUAAUCUCUCUCCUUAUCAAUAGAAUUCUUGUUAGACUAGAUAUCUGAGAAUCGUUGGUGACGCUCCAACUCGGAGGGGCGCCCUGGACUCACAAAGUCACAUCCUUUCCUGCCUCCCAGGCACAAGCAGCGUUUUGGUGACGGUCGGCUUUUUUUUUUUUUUUGAAAGAAACGGUCGGCUUUUCUCCGGCGGGUUUUCAUAUUAACCUGCUGCCGUCGAGAAGAAAAAUGUUGCACGCGAGACGCGACGAGAGGCCGUGUGCUGCAGCAUGCGUGCGUGGAUCACAUCAGAGUAUCAGACGGUUGGUGGGGUGGUGCUCUCGUGGUGGAAUGCCAAAGUCAGAGCUGACGGGCCGGGGCAGGAGCGGUGCGUGGCGACGGACGAUAAGAACGACCAACUACUAGGUACUAGCUCUACGAGUACUUGUAUCGUAGGUCGGACUUUGUGCAGACACCAGAGCAAAGGCAACGGUAUACAGUACUUCCGUAGUACAGUAGGGUUUUUUUUUUUUUUUUUUGUUGCGGCCGUCCUUGAACAUUUGUGGACUUGUGGUCUCCUCUUCCGUCUUGCGAAUGCCACUCGAUCAAAUACUGAGGAGUACAUCAGGCUCCUUCUGAUGAAGCUUUUCUUGAAACGGGAGACGUACAUAUGCAAUAAUGCAAAGGCAUAAUAUCGUAUCUAAAUCGAUGGCUAUACAUGGCCGAAAGACCCUACCGAGAAUUGUUCUGAUUGCCUCACCAUAUCAUGUUGCCCCCCUGCAACAUGCCGAGCUGAAAGCUUUUCGCAAAAUCUCCUGCACCAUCCGCUUGGAAACACGGGAAAAAGGGAGAUUGAGAUCCUACCAAUUCUCUACCGCAACCGUCGCCGCAUACGGAGUGCUCCUACCACACUACUACACUAGCAUAGCACAGCAUGCAUGGAUGGUCCUCUGGCCGCCUCUCCGCCAGCCAUGUCGCCACCGCCACUUGCCGGAUUCCGCUGAAGCCAUCAGCGAUUGGCACCGCUGCUUUUUUCAGCAAACCGAGCUUCUUUUUCCCCACCCGAUCUAUAGAUGGUCCCCAAAUUAUGCUCGCCUAGCUAGAAGAUGUUUCGAUAGAUCAUCGACACAUUCUUUAUAGUUUUUGCAUGAUCGGGCGAAUUAUGCAUGCUCGCCUAGAGUCCAUAGAUGUUCUCCGGCGAAGCAUAUAAAAGCCAUAAAAUAAUUAAAGCGGAGUGUUUUGAUUCGCGUAGCUCGAGAAGAAAAUGCUCUGCAACUGAAAGACUGAAGCCCUUCUUCUCUGGCCAGAGAACUGAGAACCUACUGGUACUGAAUACCGUUGCCUUUGCUGCGUCUGGUGGCAGUGGAACAAGAUCGGGUAAAGAAGGGCAAAGGCACCGCGCUCGAUCGAGAUCUUUUCCGGUUUCAAAGCAUGUGCUGAGAUGAUCUAUCUUGCCUACAUGUGGCCACUAGUGGUUAAAAUCAUUCUAGGGAUUGUCAAAAGCGUCGAGAAAAUAGUUCACUUCCUUUCUUCGCCUGCUGAAGAAGUAGGUGCUGAUCACUGGUGGCGACAGCGACAUCUGCGAUCUUUUGCACACCAUGACAAGCUGCUGGGUUCCCAUCCAUCCACCAUACUGUACGCGAGAUCUGAACACAGCAAUGAUGAACCGAGAGCGACCGAAAAGCGCAUCAGUGUUCAGCAGGCACACUGACAGCGAUGGAAGAAGCUUCAGUAGCAGAAGGGAUGGAAUCGAACGAAAAAAAAUCAUGUACCGAUGGUUUCCGUUUUCUAUAUUAUAAUAUUGUUUUGAAUUUAGUCAAACACAAAAUUUGUUAUUUUUAAUUAUUUUUUGUAAUAUUUAAUUACUAAAAUAUAGAAAAAAAAUCUUAUACCCACCGUUUUUGUUUUCUAUAUUGUAAUACAGUGGCCAGUGGGCUUAGUGGCAUGUAGAUUAUUAUUCCAUGAUUGGAGUGGCAUCAAAUUCAUCACACGAUAAGGUUCAUCGUCAUAGACCUCAGAAACACUUCGACCCACCGAACAAGAAUCCGAGCAGGGGCCAGUGUAAUAAGAACAAACAGCAAGAAUUGAACAGGGACGAAGAACUUCAGAGACAAUUCUGUGCUCCGUCCCAUCAGGCCAUCACAUUGCUUUCGUGAAAGAAAUGCCAAGAGCUGAAUUGCAGAAAAGACGGUGGAAAUAUCUUGAGUUUUUGGAUCGUAAUUAUGCGCCUUCUUUUUUUAGGAAAAGUUCUGUGCUUUCUAGGACUAGGAGCCUCUAUGUUUAUAGAAGCUUCUGAAAGGCCACCAGGCCCUGGGCUCAGGGAGGAGGUGCAUGGAUGAUACGUCGUGUAGAAAAAUGGGGCCGAAAGAUUAGGGCACAACACCAAAAGUCUUCUAACACGUCACGGGCUCACGGGCGGGCCUGAUGUCAGCCCAAUUUACCAAGCAUCCUUGAAAAAGCGCCAAUGGCACGGCCCAGUUCCGCUCAGGAAGAUUUUCAUAGCUGAGAAAGUACCUACAUGCUGAGAAGAGCAUCAUGGGCGCGUCCCGGGACACCCAGCUGCGGAUGCUGGGGAUCGUCAAGGUCAUGCUGGCCAACCUGCACGGCAAGGAGGACAUCUUCGGGCCUUGAUUAGAUCUAAGAUUUUUUUAUUUAUUUUGACACUAUAGUAUUUUCGUUUAUAUUUGAUAAUUAUUGUUUAAUUAUGGACUAAUUAGAUUUAAAAAAAAUUGCCUCACAAAUUACAGAUAAGUUAUGCAAUUAGUUAUUUUUUAUUUAUAUUUAAUGCUUUAUGCAUGUGUAGUAGAUAUGACGGAGAAUCUUGAAAAAAAAUUUAGAUUUGGAUGCAAUUAAACAAGGGCUUUCUGUGAAUCUGCAGCCCUGUUACAUGGGUGAAGUGCAAGAGGGAGGAAGACGACGACUGCUACGAGGCGAUGCUGAAGGCCAAGAUCAUCACGCGUUCCGGCGCUGGCUACAACGCUAGCGCAGCCGGUACACACAAGGGUGAGCCUCCUCAAGUCGGAUGACGACUUCGAAGCCCUCAUGGAGAAGGUUACGGAUCUUGUCAACGCCGAGAACUACGACGACGAUGCUCUGCUCCUGAUUCGAGCUCCAUGUUAUGGUAAUUGAUCUCCAAGUGAUGGACUCCAGCCAACAUGCCGGACGACAGCACCAAGAGCACUUCGAGCAAGAAAAACAGCGGGGGCCAAAUAAAUUAAGAUCUGGAAUUGGAGGAGGACAAUGCACGAGCAGAACUAUACAGACGUAAAAUAAUUUGAAAAACAUCGACACAAGUACCUCAUAGUUUAGUUUAGUUUUUUUGAGCAACUUCUUCUUCUACUACAGGAGGCUUUGAGCUCCUCAAGGCCACUGGGCCUUGGCCAGUGAAAGUCUUGCUUUCCAAGCUGUGGGGUGGUAAGAGGUGCUUCAGUGAUAACAGUAUCAGGCAGCACAUAUGGGCCGCAUCACUCUGCUAGUUUGGGUUGUCGAAUCGUUGGGCCAUGCAGAAACAAACGGCCGUGCAAAAUAAAUUAUGGUAUAGAGCAUAAAUUCCAGAGAUCUGACAACUUUGUAGCUUUCCACUCCUACGUUUGACGCCAUCUCUUCUAGAUCUAAGUCAUCUAACUGUUGUAGUAUAUAUUAAUUAUUUUCAGAGAUGAACUAAAAAUCUAUAUAUCUCGUCCACCUUUUAAAUGUUUAUUACACAAUAAUACAAUAUGUGCAUCCAUCCAAGUCAUAUGUGAUUUUUCUGAAGACAUGCAACGCUAGAGUGUGGAUAAAGAAGGCAAUUUACCCAUAAACAUUGCAGUUUCGGCGAGUUCAAAAAAGUUCAUAUGGUCAGAUAAAAUUCAUAUAAACUUUGCAGUUUCGGCGAGUUCUACAGCUCUGUAGCCCAUAAACAUUUCAUUUCGAACCAUUUUGGUGACGAAAUUCGGUACGGUGUUCGGAUAUGCCUUAUAUUUCUGGUUUUUAGAUUUAGACAAUUAAUUAUGGGGAAAAGGGAUUAGACAAAAAGAAAUGAAAUCUUUGUUGGAUAGGCCAUGCACAACGAUGCCGCACUAGCACUGUCCGGCCAGUGGCUUCAUGCGCCUGACCCUUUUUGUUUUUUUGGAAAUUCGUCAGUUUCUACUGUGUCUUUCGACAGAAGAAAACUGACCAUAAUUCUUCAACCCCCCCUUAUACGUAAUCUUGAUUCUGGAAUCUGGAAGAGAUGCGUGAGCGAUGACAGCAGCCUGAUAGCAAAAUGUUUCGCCCAGUAGACGGCGAUUCCUGAGUGUGAGAGGCCGGAUAUUUUUCAUUUUUCUAAGGGUUGUUUAGUUUCCAAAAUUUUUAUAAUUUUUUUUUAAGAUUCCUCAUCACAUCAAAUCUUGCAUCAUGCAUGGAGUAUUAAAUAUAGAUAAAAAAGUAACUAAUUACACAGUUUGUCUGUGAUUUAUGAGACGAUUUUUUUGAGUCUGUCAUGAUUAAAUAAUAAUUAUUAAAUACAAACGAAAGUGCUACAAAAGUUAUUUUGCAAAAAUUUCUACAACUAUACGGGGCCCUAAAAAAAUUGACGGCGAUUCCUUCAUCUGUCAUGCACGGUCGCUCUCGCUAGAAGGCAAGAUUCAGCCAUAUCCCUGUGGAGUGCUCGAGUGAUGGGAACGUGUGGCUUGUCUUGCCUUCUAGUGAGAACGAAGAAUCCAUGGUAAAUUUUAUAAAGGAAAUCACGUAAUUGAAGUACUCGAUCAGAUUUCUUUCGCGAGAGGAGAGGGAUUCUAGUAAAUUCGAAGUCCAAUUACUGUUUAUAUCUAAAUCUUUGAACAAUAAAAAAUACAUUAAAGUAAAUCUAGAGCCUCUAAUGAUUAUUCACCUCCAAUCCAUAUCAUUGAUAGCGACAUCAACAAUUAUAAUUAGAUUAGAACAUCACUCUCUUUUCAUCCACACCAAUGGCCCCCAGACCUUGGAAAGGCCAUGCUAUCUAUCGCCACAAGAAUUUCUCUAGACGUGUGACGCGUCGAAAAAGCAUCGUCUAUCUUGUUAUCGAAAUUGAUCAUAAGGACUAGUCAUGCUAAAGCAAGAAGUCCUUGACUUUCAAGCCAUCACAAGAUUACAAACCAGCGAGUCAGUAACACAAAGAUGAAAACAGAAACACAACCACCUCUACCAAUUGCAUCAACCCUAAAAAGAAAAAAAAAACGAUGUGAAGAAUGUUGGGCUGGAUUCUUUUUUUUUAGAAUUACAAAGCAAAUAUGCAUUCGACUGGUUUCUCUACAAGAAGUAAAAUCUGGUGAGAAAUCGAUGAAGGCGAUACCACCAAUAGUCCACAUAGCACAAUUUGUUUAAUUUAAACCUUAAUAACAACUACUAAAUUGGACGACUAAAGGCCCUCAAAACUCGUCCACCGGCGAUGCUUACGCAUGAGAGGAUGGGGACCAACGGCAAUUGUGCUAUAGGAGCUUAGAGUAACGGUCAUCGUAAUAGGAUCCCCAUAGUAAGAGGUGCCGCAGGAUGGUGCUAUAGGAGCCUAGAGUAACGGUAUUUCUAAUUCUUGAAUUGACUUCGUAGCAUAAUAUAAUUUGACUUCAAAUAAAAUUAAAAGACUAGUUUUUUUAUGGAUAUUGUAGCACUUAAAGAUCCCUACAUAUAUCAUAUAUGACAAAUAACUGGGACAAGAUGUACCAGCGAUUGAUAGCAAAAGGACGUGCCAACAGAGGCAAUCCCUUACGAAAGCUCGCUCUCCAAGAUCUUUCUGUGGGAUGAUGGAGACUGGCACUAACAAUAUGUUCAGUUGGACAUUAGUGUCAUGUACGCAAAGAGAAACGGUCCACCUAGCGCCCGGACGUCCGGCUCGUAGGUGUGUGUCCGGACGCAAACACCCAACCAUACCGAUCCGGACAAGAGACCCAACCAAUCCGGACAGACUCGCGUGCGAGCGUGCGGCCCCAACUCGCGGCGCGCUCGCGUGCGGCCCCGCGCAGCCAUCCCGCCGCGCCGCCGUCCCGCGAAGCCAUCCCCCGCGCCGCCGUUCCCCUCCUCCGUGUUCCCCUCCGCAGAGGUCCUCCCCGCGCUGGCACACCUCGUUCCUCUGUCGCCUUCGCCACUUCAUGUCUCAUCUGCUGGCCAACGCCAAUAUCCCCACGGGCUGCCGUCCCACGACGAUUGUUGAGGGCCGUGAGACAGAUCUAUGGGUAGACGGGCGCAAGGAAGGCUCAAACCGGGGCUCAAGGGACGGAGUGCAUGUUGUUGCAAUCACCAGGGGCAAGGAGAUGGUGGAGACAAACCCUUCUUCUUCAAAUCAACCCAAUCAGCAUGUAAUUAGAUCCUCUGUUUUGCUACUGAAACUUGUGUUACAAUAGUACUCAAAUAUUUACCAGAGUCCACUGCAACAAGAAUUUUGGUUGUCUGUGUGUUCUGCUGUGUGUUCUAUGAUGACACUUUGAAACGAGCAGGAGGUUGAUGACGAUUCUGUUAGUGUACAUCACCAGAUUGUUGCAACUUCAAGCGCUAACAGGGCUGCCCAUGUUUCAGAAGUAUGUUUCUAGUAAACUCUAACUAAAAUUGUUUAUUUCCUUCAAAAUAAUUAUCUGUUGUUGACUGCGUGUGUAAUCUGACAAUGUAUUUGUAACAUAGGGUUCCAUUGACCCUAUUCUUGAUCAGAGUCUUUCUAACGGGGUAGCAGUUCAGUCGUUUGAGGGUGUUGAUGUGGAGAUAACUGAUGACGAGUUGGUGUAUGAAGAAGAACAGGACGUUGUUAGCUCCCAACCAAUUGUUCCAUUUGAAGGGAUGGAGUUUGAUACAAUAGAUGAAGCAAGGAGGGUGUACAACGCUUAUGCAUUCAAGAUGGGAUUCAGUAUCAGGAUAGGCUCAUCAAGAAGUAGUCGUGUGACUAAACAAUUGAUAAGGAAGGAGUUUGAAUGUUCGCAUGCAAGGAUUACACCUGGUGAAAAGGAAGAAAGUGCAUCGAGUAAUGCAUCAUCAUCGGCAGCAGCUACAUCCAAGAAGAAGAGUGCAACAGCAGUAAUGACCACUGCAACAAGGAAACGAAGCACGUUAAAGAAGGCAGAUUGUAAGGCACAUAUGGCUGUGGGUCUACGUAACGGAAGGUGGAGGGUUGUGGUGUUUCAAGCAGAGCAUACACACCCUUUGGUGAAGAUAAAGGGCAGGGUAAUGCAGCUGCGGUCGCACAGACGAAUAUCAUGGGCAGAUUAUGAGCUAUUGAAGACACUGCACCAUCGAAACAUAUCCACCAUGCAAAUCAUGGCAGUGCUAGGAGACUUCCAUGGAGGCGUGGGAAACCUAACCUUCAAUAGUAAGGAUGUCUCUAAUAUGAGGACACACUUGAGGGCAGGACUACGGUACAGAGACAUGGAUGCUGUCCUAGAGUAUUUUCAGAAGUUGCAAGCCGAGAGCCCUAGCUUCUUCUAUGCUAUCAAGCUAGAUGCUGAGAAUGCUGUAAGGGGGUUGUUUUGGGUUGAUGGCAGAUCAAGGGAGUUGUACAAGUGCUUCAGGAAUUGCAUAUUCUUUGACACGACGUUCUGCACUAACCGGUACAACAUGCCCUUUGCACCAAUUGUUGGGAUCAACAAUCAUGCCCAAAGCAUCCUACUAGGUUGUGCUCUGCUUCCGGAUGAGACUACUGAAACAUUUGUGUGGGUGCUUCAAACGCUCAAGGAUGCAAUGGGUGGAAUAGCACCAACCAACAUCAUGACUGACCAGGAUAGGGCCAUGAAAGCUGCAAUAGCACAGGUAUUCCCUUCUACAACACAUAGGUGCUGCAAGUUUCAUGUGGUCAGCAAAGCUUGUGAGAAGUUUGGUUGGUUAAUUAGAAACAACCCAGAAUUUGCAGAUGAGUUUGACUAUUGCAUCAACUUCAUCGAGUCUCCAGAGGAGUUUGAGACGUUGUGGCAUAACAUAGGGGUGAAGUAUGAUAUGCAUAGCAAUGAUCAUUUUCAGAACAUGUCUUCAACCAAGUCUAUGUGGGCACCUGCAUAUUUCAAGAAAUGCUUCUUUCCCUUCACAAGCACAACAGGAAGAUCUGAGAGUAUGAAUGCAUUAUUCAAGACAAUGGUGCACCCACAGGACUCAGUGUUGCAGUUCCUUACCCAAUAUGAGUACAUAAUGGAAAUAAGGAUUGAGAAGGAGUAUCGAGAAGCAGCAAAAGGUGAAACGACAAAUCCACCGCUGUGGGGGAGGUCUCAAAUUGAGAAGCAAGUAUCUAAGUUCUACACUAGAAGUAUUUUCUUCAAGUUUCAAGAGUUGCUGCGUGAUUCCACGGCAUUAACUAUAGAUUCGAUUGCUAAAGAGGGAAGCCAAAUGACAGUGCAGGUAAGGUGUACAUACAGACUGCACAUUUCUGUUGCAGCAUACAUAGAUGUUCUCUUUUACAAAAAUACUGAAACAUGCUAUUCAUUACUAGUGAAACAGAAUCUAGAGUCCAUUGAAACAAUAAUUCUGGGUGACUUUGUAAAUUGAUGGUACCCCUAUUUUGUACUUAUGUUGUAGGUGUUGAAAUGAGUAUACAAGGAAGGUGAGGUGACAUUGAAAACAUACAAUGUUGCUGCGAAUCAGGGGUCUGAAACAUACACUUGCUCUUGCAACAUGUUUGACCAAGAUGGUCUCCUAUGUCCUCACAUCCUGAAAGUCUUUACUACACUUGAUGUGCAACAUGUACCACAGAAGUAUCUGCUGCACAGGUGGUCUGAAGAAGCUACGCUGAAAGUUCCUCAACAUUUGUCAGGUCCUGAACCAGUGUUUGGUGUUCCAGCGACAAAUAAGCUGAGGUACAAUGCAUUGUGUAGGAAAAUGACACAGCUAGCUGCUGAUGCUUGUGUGGGUCCAGAAGAGUACAUGGUGGGUUCACAAGGGAUCAAUCAUUUGAGGGAAAAGGUGAAGAAAACCACGAAAGCAUUGAUUUCAAGACAAAAUGAUCCCCCAAAUGUAGUUGAGGGUGCAAAGGAGGUGGAGAGAGGGGUGAAACAAACAAAGUUCAAGAACCCUCCAGCAAAAGAUCCACAAGGGAGGCCUAGGAACAAGGUUGACCGUAAGAAGACCAUUGUACAACAAGUGAAAGAAAAAGCAAUAAAGAAGAACAAGUCCAACGCUAAGAAAGACAAAGCCAAAGAGUCGGUGUGCUUGGUAUGCCACGAAGAAGGCCACGGUGUGGAGACGUGCAAGUUCUUAUCGGCAGCAAUGCACCUAAGGGACACAGAGUUAAAGCUGUAGAUUUAUAUUCCUUGAACAAAAAUAAGUGUAUAUAUGAGGCACUCAUUGAUUUAUAAAUUAUAAACCAAUUUAGUUUUAUAUACGAACUGAAGCUUCUUUUGGUGUAGCACUUCGCUCAUCUUUCUUGUAGUAAGUUUUGAUUAUAUCUCCUUUCCUUUUUCUACAAGGCCACCUUUCGUUGAGAUUGAUCACUUUCACAUUACGUACGAUGAGUUCUAUGAUUCCUUCAAGGCAAGGGGAUUGGUUGGUAACAAUGUAAUGGCUUUGUGGAGUUAUGAGUUCAAUCUUGACCAGCUUCAAAUGCUUAAAGAGAAUAAAACAAGAGAUAUUAAAUUUGCUUUCCCCCAGUUGGCCACGGUAAUGAUACAAUACCUGUGACUUUCUAUUUCUAAAUGAAUUCCUCGAACUCAUCUUUUAUUUAGCUUUUUUCAUUUCUUAUUUUUCCAACCUUUUUUUGUGUGUGUGCUGCACAGUCAUUCUUGAGUGUGGAUCCAGCUUCUUUCAGUAAUGAUGGGACUCUCAAGAAAAUUUACACCAAGAUAAAUGAAACAUGGACUAUCGCCAAGAUGGAUCUGGUACGUGAGGUGUAUAUACAUUGUUUCGUUCCAAUGAGAAAGGCCAUCAACGAAGCAAGGGCACUCAUUUCAAAUGGGCAGUACUAAUGUUACAUCUGAGUUACUCUACUGAAACAGCAAAGUUUCAAUACAGUUACAUAUGAAGAUAUCCUAAUGAAACAGUUGUAUCUACUGUGUACAUUCAAAAUGUUGAACACUGUUACAUAUGUAAUCUUCUAUUGCAACAGUAUGGUAGCACUAUUGUUACAUCGGAAUUACUCUAGUGAAACAGCAAAGGUUGAACACUCUUACAUAUGUAAUCUUCUAUUGCAACAGCAUAGUAGCACUAUUGUUACAUCUGAAUUACUCUAGUGAAACAGCAAAGGUUGAACAUUGUUACAUAUGUAAUCUUCUAUUGCAACAGCAUAGUAGCACUAUUGUUACAUCUGAAUUACUCUAGUGAAACAGCAAUGGUUAAACACUGUUACAUCUGAAAUCUUCUAUUGCAACAGCAUAGUAGCACUAUUGUUACAUCUGAAUUACUCUAGUGAAACAGCAAUGGUUCAACACUGUUACAUCUGAAAUCUUCUAUUGCAACAGCAUAGUAGCACUAUUGUUACAUCUGAAUUACUCUAGUGAAACAGCAAUGGUUCAACACUGUUACAUCUGUAAUUCUCCAAGGAAACAGUUAUCAACUUCUGUUACAUCUCAAAUUACAGCAACACUGAACAAACAUUAACAAGCAUGGACCGAUAGAUAACGUAGUGUAUCAUGAAUCAACUCCAUAUUACAAGAAAUAUGAUGUUUCAUGGCACAUCGCUCUCCUAACACCUCCUAUCUACAUAGCGUCAACUUCAUCAGGUCUUCCUGGCAUUGUACUUCUUCACAAAUUCAUCUAGCUUAACCACAUUGUGUUCUGAUCCAAGGAGUAGUGCAGCAGCAUGCUUCCUGAAGUCUAGCACCGAAUCCUAGGCAGAGACAUAAUGAAAAAAAGAAAGCAAAGCAAGACUGAGCAAGCAUAUUUAGAGACAAAAAAUAAGAUUUAUAAAAAUAAGAAUAUUUUAGAAUCAAAACACAUACUUUCACAAGUGAUGGAUCCACAAUCUUCUUGCCAUCCCAUGCAUCCAUAUAAACCAUUGUAAAUAUCCCGCAGUCAUACCUUUUAAAGAAAAAGGAAAAUAAAACAUGUGAACAUACAAAUCAUUAGGCAAUGAUGACUAGGAAGGACAUGCUAAAAGUGCAACAUACACAUUCUUUUGUUUAGGAUAUCCCUCGGGGUAGAUCCACUCAGAACGAGACACAUCAGUUCUGAGUACCCCAUGUUUCAGUGUGGUGGCUGCAAAAUUCUGAAUCUGAAAAUAAAUGAAACAAUUCAGGAAUACAAAUGCAACCCAGAAUCAAGAGCUACUUCAACAUCUAAAGAAAGAAUGAUGCAACAUGAAAUCGAGAUUUAUUUUAACAAAAGCAGAAUGAACAGCAAGGAAUCCACCGAUCCACUUACCAAGUUCUGGGCACACUUCAAACAUGAGAUCUCCUUAGAGGCGCUUAAAGAGUCAAAGAAGGCAAUUUGCUUCAUGAACAUACUAACACAAAGAAGCACCCAGUGGUCUUGAAAAAUUAUCGGAAAGAACAUCUGCAAACACCUUUCAGUCAUUGACACAUGUAGCAAAUGACAAUGCAAUAUAUGAAGUGGAGAGAAUGAAACAUUGGGAAAAGUACAGUGCAACAUAUGAAUGCACAUUGUGCAACAUGUAUGGAAACAUUUGAAAUGAGUGUAUCUUGCUUCGUUGAUGGCCUUUCUCAUUGGAACGAAACAAUGUAUGUACACCUCACGUACCAGAUCCAUCUUGGCGAUAGUCCAUGUUUCAUUUAUCUUGGUGUAAAUUUUCUUGAGAGUCCCAUCAUUACUGAAAGAAGCUGGAUCCACACUCAAGAAUGACUGUGCAGCACACACACAAAAAAAAGGUUGGAAAAAUAAGAAAUGAAAAAAGCUAAAUAAAAGAUGAGUUCGAGGAAUUCAUUUAGAAAUAGAAAGUCACAGGUAUUGUAUCAUUACCGUGGCCAACUGGGGGAAAGCAAAUUUAAUAUCUCUUGUUUUAUUCUCUUUAAGCAUUUGAAGCUGGUCAAGAUUGAACUCAUAACUCCACAAAGCCAUUACAUUGUUACCAACCAAUCCCCUUGCCUUGAAGGAAUCAUAGAACUCAUCGUACGUAAUGUGAAAGUGAUCAAUCUCAACGAAAGGUGGCCUUGUAGAAAAAGGAAAGGAGAUAUAAUCAAAACUUACUACAAGAAAGAUGAGCGAAGUGCUACACCAAAAUAAGCUUGUUUCAACAAGUAUGAAUGAAGUAUAGAAACAAAAAAAAUAGCUAGUUUCAACACAUGCAUACUACAUUCACAAGAAGUAAACAAGCCUGGUGCAACAAAAUAUGGGUAGCACAUUAAACAGCGCACAAAGUGUAGGACAAUUCAAAGUUGUAUCCCCUGAUCGAAGAUAUGAGGAGUGGGGAGUGGGUAAACUCACGGUUGGCAUUCACCCUCUAACUGGAAUCCCUGAUCGAAGGCUCUUUUAGCUAAAAAGUUGUUCCAAAUUUCUUUGAUAUCAGCAUCAUCACUCUUCGGUCUUGUUUGCUUCGGCCCAAGCCCAACAUCAAUUCUUUUCCUCUUCUUUCUAUUCCUUUUAUCAAUUGUGCUUGAGCCUGGUUGAUUGUCCUUGGAAGCAUCAACGGUUGUGUAUGCUAGACACAAAAAGUAUGGGAUAAAGUAUAUGGAAACAAGUAUCCUAAAACAUAUAGACAGAUAUACUGCAACACAUUUGGUAGUAUCACUGAAACAUAUAUGAAUGGUAGUUGCAACACAUAAGCCAGUACUAAUGAAACAAUAUGAAAUCAAGGCUGCAGUAUUUAGAAAAUAUAACUAAUAAAACAUAUAGACAGAUAUACUGCAACACAUUUGGUAGUAUCACUGAAACAUAUAUGAAUGGUUGUUGCAACACAUAAGCUAGUACUAAUGAAACAAUAUGAAAUCAAGGCUGCAGUAUUUAGAAAAUAUAAAUACUGAAACAUAUAGGCAGAUAUACUGCAACACAUGAGAUGGUACAAAUGAAACAGAUUAGGAAAGUUAUUGCAAUGGGUAUAGAAAAAAAGGGAAAAAUAAGCCACAUUUGAACACAUAUACAGAUUAGGAGUGUUUACCGGUAGGCGUAGGGCUUCUUGAUCUUUCUCCACAGACAUCUUUGUACUCUGGGUCCUCAGGUUGGAAUAGGUCAAAUGAAGGGAUAUCAUCUAUAUAAGGAUCUAUAUAUGAAGCGGAAGGGCUUGAUGGCUUGCAAGGAACUGGAUCUUUUCUGAUAUCCUUUGCUGGGAUUGCUAGAGGGGAAGGAAUUGGACCUUUAGUACUCUCAUCUGGUAAGAUCAGUGGAGGGGAAGGAACUGCAUAUUUAGUGCUAUCUGCUGGUGGGAUUAGUGGAGAUGAAGGAACUGGACCUUUUCUACUCACAUCCGGUGCAAUUGGUGGAGGGGAAGGAAAUGGAACUUUUGUACUCUCCUCCGGUGCGAUUGCUGCACUAGAAGUACUUGCAUGUGUUGUACUCUCUAAUGGGUUAGAUGGUUUUUUGGGGGACACAGCAGCUGAACGUGUUGGAUCUGGUGGAGGAUGCAUGUUGACAUUGUCAUUGGUAGGUUUCUUUAGGUGGCUCAUCUUAUUUGACAUAUCAGCAACAUCAUUCAAACGUUUGUUCAAAUGAAUAAAUUUAGAAGCCAACUCAGCACCACGCUUUGCCAUAAUCGCCUUUCCUUGCUCUUUCAUUGUAUUUGCAACCUCAUCAAAAUCUCUCUCCAACAAAGAAUUAUGCUCCGCCAAUAGAACUUGGUAUUCUUCAGGAAGAGACUGCAAUAAAUAAUGCAAUAUAUGAAGUGGAGAGAAUGAAACAUUGGGAAAAGUACAGUGCAACAUAUGAAUGCACAUUGUGCAACAUGUCUGGAAUUUUCAAGUUUGUUUUGACAAAAUCACCUCAAUGGAAACCGCAUGAGUACCAUCUGGAUGGCGGGAGGAAGUGCCUUGGGAAUCCAUCCAGUCAUUAAGGCUUGGCUGCACUGGAUCUUCAUCUUGUCCAGACAAUGGAGACGGAGUGUAACCAGUCAUGGGAACUGGGAUAGGAUAGGGGCUUUUCUUUCGGAACUAACAAUGAAUGAAGAUAUAUUAUAACAAAGAAAUAAAUAAUGCAAUGGCUAAAAGGAAUGACUAAAGAUGAAUGAAGAUGGAAAAAAACAUCAAACUCACAGGUUGCUGCCCAUAUGCAUUAAGCUGAACCCUACUCCUGUCAACAUUUGAAAUGAAUUCAAAGUCUUUCUUGGUGACAUGGCAAAUGCGUGGGACAGAAUAGUUGAUUUUGUGAGUAGCCCGGUCAGCAGGUAUGUGAAGACAGUCCAUGUAUGCAAUCUACAUUACAAAUGGUACAAAAAAUCAUGAAGGCCCAACAUUAGGAAAUCGCGGCUGCAGUAUGUGCAAACUUAUGUAAUCAAACAUAUAUAGAUAGCUAAUGCAACAUAUAAGGUAGUACCAUUGAAACAGAUCAGCAAAGUCAUUGCAAUGGAAAUACGGAUGGGUACAACAUAGAAGGGAUAAUGAACAUACCGCAAAAACCACAAGGCAAGAGCCAAGGUAAGGACAUUCGGUAGCACCUUCAUCUUGUUUUGAAAAGGAUUGGUACUUUCGGACUUCAUUCAUCAAAUUAUCAAGAAUGUGCCCAGUCCAAUCAAAUGAUCUAAUUAGAGAGACAUCCUUUAAGUUGUGCAAGUGUCGUGGGGUGAUGGCAUUGUCUGUGCCUGGGCAGAGUACAGACCCCAAGGCAAGCAACAUGAAUGCCCUCAGAAAAGUGGUCUUGUCAUUAGCUGUUUUCAACACAUCAAUGCAUUAGGACAAUUUUCCUCGCACUCCAACCAUAAAAGGCUCACAAAUCUUUAGGAAUGCUUCAUAUUCAUCCGCAUUGCAAGUAAGCUUAACAGGCUCAUCUCCACUUGGCACACCAAGAAUGUUGCAAAUAAGCUGCUUGUCAAAUACGAUAACUUUAUCUUUGCGCCUAAACUCUCUCAAAUCAGGGUCAAUGUGCUUCAUGAUCCAUGCAACAAGAUUCACAAGCACGGAAAAGUCAGACAUGCCAAGUAAAGCACCUAAACCAGCCUCAUUUAUCCAACCUAUUUGUUCCUGAUUGAACUUGCAGUCACGGAUCCUGUGCAACGAAAAUCUGGUUUUGAAGGCAUCGCCACUGCUUUUGGUUUUGGAAACAUUAAUUGCUGUGUAAAAAAAGAUAGAGAAAACAACAUAUUAAAAUUAAAUCCAAAAAUUGGGGUAUAUAGUUUGUAACACUUUAAAAAAUACACACAAGGUGAUACAUGUAUCAAACACACAGGUGGACAACAUACAUGCUCUGUACAAAUCACAUUGUAAAUUGUAAAAAAUGAAACAUGCCAAUAUAUAGAUGCCAUGUUGUUGAUUGUUGCAAAAUAUAUAUGUACAAAAAGGUAUGAAACACUGGUAAUGUCAUGGUGAAACAAAGAAAUAAUGGUUAAUGAAACAUGUUCAAAAGUUGAUUAUUGUGACAGAUCCAGAAAUUAUAUAGAGCAUGGGCGACUGAUCACAAAUCCAAACAUUACACAAUAAUCAUACCUUGCUGCUUGUUGACAUUCUUCAUUGGAGAUUUUUUCACCGAGAGGUUGGCUCGUGGAUUGCUCGAAGAUGCUUGACCUGCCUUCUUAGCGGUGUUGCCCUUGUCUCUGCCCACUACAACAGUCGUUCGAGCCCUGCUCACUGCAACAGCCGCUCGGGCCCUAGUGUUGGAAAUCUUCCUCACUGCCUGACGUUGGCGACCACGACCCCGCCCAGCAUCCCGCCCAGCAUCUGCCUCAUCAUCGCUGCUGCUAGGCGAAUCAACUCUGCCGGGUGAAGCAUUUAGGCCUGAUCUGGUAUGCAUCGCUAAAAAAACAAACAACAGUUACCGAUGAGAAGCCGAUGACAAGGAGAAAUACAUAACAGGUAUGGAUUAUAAGCAGUGGCGGAGGUAGGAUUAGGAUGAAGAGGGGGUCAAUUUCAUCAUAAUCAUGAACAACAACUAAUUCAAGCGCUAUGUAAUGUCAGCACAAUUUAACUACAUGAAAAAUAUCUCAUAACUAAUACAAAAGUCAAUCAAAUAUGUGAAGGUCUCAACAAAAACAAAAACAAAAAUCUAUAAUAAUUCGGGUAAUAAUUUGUACAUGACAUGCAUACCUAGGAGUGAAUAUAGCUAACUCAGGAAGAAGUGCAACAAUAUGAGACAUGCAUACAUGCAGUCAAGCGUGAGUAGAGUAGUAGCUCUAAUUUCUCCCCAAUUUCUCCCGCAGCAAGGGGAGCCAUGGCACACUUUCGCCUAAAUCUAGCUUCAGCAAGUGAUUAGAAGGAGCACUGAGUGUUACCUGCGCUGCUAGGGUUGGGGGAGACGAGUAACCGUCGCAAUCCUUGUGAAGAGCGGGCCGCGCGAAUGCGAUUCCUCACGGGGGCGAGGAUGCGAUGGUCGACGCUGAGAGGAUCGGAGUGGACCACGCAACGGGCUUCGUACCUUCACGGCAAAGGGCAGCACGCAGACGCCAUGGUGGGGGCGUACGGCGCGGCACGCUGGAAGGUUGGAGGCGCGGUGGAGACGAGCGCCGCGGUGAACACGGCCGGCGCGGUGGAGACGAGCGUCGCGGUGUAGAUCGGCACGGUGGGCGGAUGGCGCGGUGGCGUCGCGCCGAGGUGGAGGCUGGCCGCGCGCUCGAGGCUGGCCGCGCACUCGAGGCCAGCCGCGCGCCCACGGUCGGCGACGCGCUGGAGACGGGAGGCGCGGUGGAGGCGCCGCGCGCGAUGCGGUGGAUGCGCUCGCGACUGCGGUUGUCGGAAUGGGGCGUGUCGGAUGAGUGGGAGUGGGGAAACCGUCCAGGAAUGAAGACGCGAAUGAAGUGGGCCGCCCACGCUCCGAAACCGGUCCGAAACGGCCUGAAAGCCCACAUACGGCGCGUCCGGACGGUUGCGGGAGCGCCGGACGCCCGCUCCACAUCAUUACCGAAAGAGAAAUUGUAUUCCUGGAUUUGGCAUGCCUGGUUAGACAUCUGAGUGAAAAGCAUAAUAAAACAAUUCCGACCGGGAAUAAAAAAAGAAAUGUAUUAUUUUUUUUGUUUGAAUUUGAUCUCCCAGUUAAUAGACUUGUAAAUAAACAAAUCAAAGCUGCAAGCAGGUGAGUUGUAUUUUUAAAUCUGUUUUAUAUUUAUCUAAUGAAGAAAUACAUGUGAUGGUGAUCGGUGUAUAUAUUAGUCCCCGGCCUGUACCAUGCCUUGGGAAUUGGGAAGAGAGUACUAGUAGAUGUUAACAGAGCGUCGAUGAAACAGGCUAACAACCCUAACAACCCUAACAACCCAGCAGAUUCGUCCAUAAAAGUUGUUGCAGCCAUGAACAUAAAAGGACGAUUAACGUCACGUACUGAUCGAUGCCAAUUGCCACCCACCCUAUGGUCUCCAUGGCUUCGGGAUUAUGGGGAUAAUUCCCCUUUCAUCCCAAAAAAAAUUAAGUUUUUGGAUACAUUUUGUAUAAUUGAACUAAAUAUCCUAUAAAAAUUUUGACAAAAAAGUGGCUAUUCUUCAUUUAGAUUUUGGAUGGAAUUAAAAAUAUCGGAAAAAAAUUGGUAUUUUGGAUGGAAAUAAAAGCACCCAUGAAAAAAAUUAACAUUUUGCAUUUAAUCAUUCCAAAGUACUUAACAUUUUGUAUUUUGUAUUCUAUGGAGAAUUAAAAAAACGUGACCAAGAGGAUGACGGCCCCACCUGUUUUUUAUUAAGGAGACAUUGUCAUCCUAACUCGUGCAUGGUUAUAUGGUACAACAAUUAACUGUAAUAUAAUAUUGAAUAGCCAUAUACAUCGAUCCAUACAAAAGCUAGGAUAUCAAUAUAUUCUCUUUUCUAAAAAAAAAUAGUCACACUGACAACUAACGAAGACAUACUCUAUAGUAUAUUAGGUUUCCAGAUCACAAACACAAGGAUAUCCGUCAGAAAACAACUCUUCUCCAGUUUUUUUUUCGAAAACAACUCUUCUCCAGAUUUUUUUUAAUAAAAAAUCUCCAGUAUAACAUCGAACCAUGAGUCUAUGACAUUGCAAGCGAUACGUCCGGGUCUUUUUUGCGAUACCUUGCGUCCAGUAUCAACCCAGCGUUCAGAUCCUGAUUCAAUAGUUUUCCUCUUCAAUAGUUUUAUACGUUAGCUUUCUAGACUAUUUGACACUAUAACACUUUCCUCUGCAUUUAACAAUUAUCUAACUAUGAAUUAACUAGGUUCAAAAGAUUUAUCUUGUAAAUUACAGAUAAACAGUGUAAAUAGUUAUUUUUGCCCUGAUACUCAGGCCCAAAAAAAAAGAAUAGUAGCGGUUCUUAGGUGCCUGUCUAGAAAAUGAUAUCUGCGUAUGGUAGAGUUUUGUACAGGUACUUUAUUUAGGGGCAUGACGAAUUGCUGACGAUCCGAGCUCGGAUCAUUAUGCCCCCAAGUUGACAGUACCACGGGUUCACCAGUCAGCAUCAGCACUAUGUUAAAUAUGUACUACCCUUGGUUUUGAGAAACCAGAGCAGAGACACUUCAAUAAUGGAGCUGGCAGGUGCACGGCCGCAUGCAACACGAGGCCCUGCCGGCGGCCUCGCGAUCGGCCUCCUCUACUCAUCGCUGCUCCUCAACGCCAUCUUCCUCGCGCACCACUUCUUGCUCUCGCCGUCCCGGCCGCUGCUCCGUGACGACGACGGCGGUGGCAGCAGCUGCGGGCUCACCUGGUCUCUGCAGGCGGCCAGGGAGGCCGAGGCGGUGGCCGCCGUGGAGUGCUCGGGCCACGGGCAGGUGUUCCUCGAUGGCGUCGCCGGCGAGGACGGGAGGCCCGGGUGCGAGUGCAACAGCUGCUUCGCGGGGCCGGACUGCUCCCUUCGCACGCCCAACUGCACCGCCGACGCCGACAGGUAUAUUUUCGCGUGCUCCUGCUUCUGCUAGCUUGUGCUUGUCUUGCUUGUUUCAGCUGGCCGAGCACUCGAGCAGUCUCGUGUCCAUGAUGGCAAGUAGAGGCGCAUAAUUUCUUGCCUGUUCUGAGUAUUAUGUGAGCUUGAAACAAGUUAGGUGUUGUUUGGUUCCACCACGGCAACCUUAUACCUAGCGUCAACGCAAAAGGGGGGAAUUAACGAUUACCUUCUUUGAUUGGUCGAGUAGUGAUAACGGGAAAGCAGUUUUUUCUCUCUCCUUUUUGCCUUUUUUGAUACCCUUCUGACUAUAAUAAUCAGAUUAUAUAAUCAAAUUUUGAUCAAUUAAUUAUAUGAUGAAUUAUGAUAAUUAAAAUUCUCAAUUACCAUAAUCCCGUAAUCCAGGAACGAGCGGAUUAUAGACUAUGGGUGCUGAAAGUCGAACUUCACCCUAACUGAUUGUCCAACUUACCAAAAUACUCUCUUCGUAUAGGAUGUAGAAGUCGUUUAGCACAGUGACACGGUCUCUAAAACACAACUUUGAUAUCUUAUUUUUAAAAAAUAUAAGAAAAAAUGAUAUAUGUAUAGAACAGUUUUAAUAAAUACUUACAUGGAAAAGUAAUAUUGUAUUAGAAUUAAAGAGGAGAGAGAGAGAAAAAAUAAUUUAAAACUAUGUCUACCCGAGAUGAAGAUAGAGAUAUCUAUGAUAGAUAGAUGUUAAGAGAGAAGAUAGAGGAACCGGAAAAAAAAUAACCUGAAGAAUUCAUUCAUAGAAAUAUGGUUUUUAUGUGCAGUCUUAGAUUAUUUAGUAAGGUCUUGUUUAGUUCUGAAAUUUUUUUUUUGGUUUUGGGUACCGUAGCAUUUUUGUUUUUAUUUGGCAAUUAUUGUUCAACCAUAGACUAAUUGGAUUCAAAAGAUUCAUCUUGCGAUUUACAAGUAAACUGUGUAAUUAAGCCUUUUUAGAUCCAAAAAGUUUUUGGAUUUUGACACUAUAGCAUUUUCGUUUUUAUUUGACAAACAUUGUCCAAUUAUGAAGUAACUAGGCUUAAAAGAUUCGUCUCGCGAUUUACAGACAAACUGUGCAAUUAGUUUUUGUUUUUUCAUCUAUAUUUAAUGCUCCAUGCAUGUGUUGCAAGAUUCGAUGUGACGGAGAAUCUUGAAAUUUUUUUGGUUUUGGGGUGAACUAAACAAGGCCUUAAUUUUGAUUUUUAUUAUAUUUAAUACUUUGUACAUGUGCCGCAAGAUUUGAUGUGACCAGAAAUCUUGAAAAGUUUUUUUAGGUGAACUAACAAGGCCUAAUUAUAAAAACUAUCCUACAAUUUUAUAGUUACAUGACAUUAUGACAAGGGGCUAUUGCUGGAUGCGAGGAUGAUCGGCUACGGCCUACGGGUGCCUAUCGAGCGUGAUCAGCUCACGGAUGGUUUGAAUCUGUUCCGAUAGCAUCGUUUGUAUCAUCCGUCAAAAAAAACAAAAACUAACACACUGCUAUACCAUUCUGACCAGGUUCACAUCAAAAUAAUAAACCAACCAAACAACAUGUUUAACUAUUACUCCAGUCUUGCUACUAUUUCUAAUUACUAGACUACUAUUGAGUAGUACUACUAUUAAGACGAAAAUGCCUCUAGCAGUCUAACUCUGUAGCUCAGUUGGUUAAAUAGUUUGAAUAGCACUUUUUAGUCCUGAGUUUGUGAGUUUUUUUCCCAUUAAGGGUCUGCACAUUCGGCAGCAACAAUGUUCAGAAUACUAGCUGAGAGAUGAGUCAUGAUAGGAUCAUCAUCCACAGAACACACACACCCUAGUGGAGCUAAUUCAUGAUGCGCCACUUUGUAACAUGAGCAAGGAACUGCCUUGAUAGCAAACUCAACUCAACACAAUUCAGGUACACUAGCUCCUUGGUUUCGCUUAUCAGACCUCCGUCCUAUGGCCAGGGAAAGGUCCCAGCGCUGUGACUCUACUGCUUGCUGGACUUGCAAGGCAUCAGUUUCCAGGUGGACUCUGGUUAUACCCAAAUCAAUCGCUGCCAACCCUUGUAAACAUGCCACUACUUCAGCUUGGAACGGAUUAAGAACAUGAGACAGUCGACCCGUGUUUAGUUUAUGAAGGGAAAAUUUUCGCGAUACUGUAGCACUUUCGUUUGUUUGUGGUAAUUAUUGUCCAACUAUGGACUAACUAGCUCAAAAGAUUCGUUUCGUAAAUUUCGACCAAACCGUGCAAUUAGUUUUUAUUUUUAUCUAUAUUUAAUACUUCAUGCAUGCGUCUAAAGAUUCGAUGUGACGGUGAAUCUUAAAAAAUAGAUUUUUGGGUGGAAGUAAACAAAGCCUUAGGCUGUGAUCAUAUCACCAUCUUCAUCUCGAAUUAUAAAGCCCCAGCCGCCCUCUCCAGUCUCUUUUCGGCUGAUAGAGGCCUAAACGGCGACACCCGGAUUUGGCUGAGUUUUGAAAACGUGUUGUUGGUCAAAAUCGGUGUGUAUCUAUCAGAAGGUGAAAGAACGAGGCGAGGAAUAAAAAGGUUAAAAGGGUACCUAAUGCAAAUUUACAAGAGCAAGUUGCAAAAAAAAAAACAAUUGGUAAAUCGAUGAGUUUUUCAAGUGAUUUAUCUAUUGCUUUUUUUUGAACUAUUAGAGAUGCUCUUAGGUUGAUUUUCUCAAGUACAGAAAGAUUGAGAAUUGAGAUAUUGUUUUAAUCUUAAAAGAAAUUAAGAUUAUGAGUGGGUUUUGGAAAGUCUUAAAAUGCUCUUUACAAUUGGGUGACAUGUCAUGUCCAAAGCAGAAAAGAAAUCUUUGCAUGUCACAAUUGUCGGCCACCAAUUACUAUCCUUUUUUGCGCCGAUUAAAAAAAACUGUUAGUUCCUCCUUCCUGCUUCCUCCCGCCGGUGAAUAGAUGCAAAUAAUUUCUAGUAAUUAGCUAGGUACUCUGUCCGUUCAAGAUGCGAUUAUAGAUCCGCGUGAGUCGAACGAGUUUAGAGUUUGGCUAUAAAAUCAUAGCUGAAUGUACUGUUUAUUGAUUAUUAGAGAAAAAUACUACAGAAUAGUUAGCAAAUUCGGCAAAUAAGCUCAAACAAAUAAGCGCUUAACCAAAUUUAUGAGUAGUGUUAAGAUUUAUCGACCAGUUCAGCAUCCUAAUAUAUACAUUUUAUAUAUAAUUUGGUUAAAUAUAAUGAUACUUAUUUUAUAUUAAAAUGCUAAUAAUAUAAUUUUGAUCAAAGUUUAAAUAAUUUGAUUUCUCCAAUCGAGAAUGCAUUUUUCUUUAAAAAAGACGAGUAUUUAUUGGUACCAGCAGAUCUAAGGCCUUAUUUAGUUUCUUCAAAACCUAAAAAGUUUUUCAAAAUUCUCGUCACAUCGAAUGUUGCGGUACAUGCAUGAAGCAUUAAAUAUAAACGAAAAUAAAAACUAAUUGCACAGUUCGUUUGUAAAUCGCGAGACGAAUCUUUUAAACCUAGUUAAUUCAUGAUUACGAUACUAAAAAAAAUCACCCACCCAACUGGCAGUGGAGCGAGGAGCGCUCACAGUCCCGGGCCCAGGGCGUGCCGUUUGUUUGGUCUUUGGUGCUAAUUAACCAUGUGGUGACUGACGGUCGUGUUGGUUGUGGCAGCGGGAACCCGUUGUUCUUGGAGCCGUACUGGCGGCGUCACGCGGCGGCCAGCGCCGUGGUGUUCUCCGGGUGGCACCGCAUGAGCUACACCACCACCGGCCGCUUCCAGUCCGUGGAGCUGGAGCGCCAGAUCCGGCGCCUGCACAGGGCCGUAGGCAACGCCGUCGCAGACGACAAGCACCUGGUCUUCGCCAGCGGCUCCCUGCAGCUCAUCAACGCGCUGGUGCACGCGCUGUCCCCGGACGCCACGGCCGCCUCGCCGCCGUCCAGAGUGGUCGCGGCCGCGCCGUAUUACCCGGUCGGUCAGCCAGCCUUUUCCAAUCAUCCAUGAUGCCCACCCACACACUGCCCGUUAUCAUUUCUUGUGCUGAAUCCAUAUAUAAUACCGUGCAGUCGUACAGAUCGCAAACCUCCAUGUUCGACGGCCGCGAGUACAGGUGGGCCGGAACCACGGCCUUGUGGACCAACGCGUCACGGACCAACUCCACCGACGGCUUCAUCGAGUUCGUCACGUCGCCAAACAACCCGGACGCCAUGCUCCGCAAGCCCGUCCUCUGCAGCUCGGCGGCGGCCAUCGUCGACCACGCCUACUACUGGCCGCACUUCACCCACAUCCCUGCGGCCGCCGACGAGGACAUCAUGAUGUUCACCAUCUCCAAGCCUUCCGGCCAUGCUGGCAGCAGAUUCGGGUAUGUGCAGUUCUUGUGCGUGGGCAUGCAGAGCUAGUGACACUAACACACAACACACACACCCCUCUCAUCAUCCUGCGCGUUGCGUUGCGUUGCGUUGCGUUGCGUUGCAUUGCAUUGCACACUGCAGAUGGGCGCUGAUCAGGGAUGACAAGGUGGCCGAGCGGGCGUUAGACUACCUGUCGAACAGCAACAUGGGUGCGUCCCGGGACACCCAGCUGCGGAUGCUGGGGAUCGUCAGGUUCAUGCUGGCCAACCUGCACGGCGAGGACGACAUCUUCGGCUUCGGGCACGGCGUGAUGCGCAGCAGGUGGCUCAGGCUGAGCGCCGUCGUGUCGCGGUCCCGCCGCAUCUCGCUGCAGAAGAUCAUGCCCGAGUACUGCACCUACUUCAACAGGGUCAGACAGCCAUCCCCAGGUGAGGUUACAUUUGGAGAUUGGAAUGGAAUCCGAUCGAAAUUAUCACUUGCAUGCAGACGACUGCACUAACUGCCGGUGAUUGAACAAAACAGCCUACGCGUGGGUGAAGUGCGAGAGGGAGGAAGACGGAGACUGCUACGAGGCGCUGCUGAAGGCGAAUAUCAUCUCGCGCACCGGCGUCCAAUAUGAGGCGAGCAGCAGGUACACGAGGAUCAGCCUCCUCAAGUCGGACGACGACUUCGACGUGCUCAUGGAGAGGCUUCAAGAACUUGUCGAUGCCGAGAAGCACGACGACGCUUCCAACGGUUCCAGCUCAAUGUGAUCACGGUAAUUAAUCCAUGGAAGCUUAAUAAUGGGUCCGCCGAUGCGGAAAGUACCAAAUCUAAACUCUGGGGUUCGAUCGAGCCCAUUGUUUCUCGUGAUAAGCUAGCUGGUGUGUGUAUAUAGCAGCUAUGAGGACAAGUUUGUGAAGCGGCGUGGUAAGAUACAGUUAAUGCACUGCCAAAAUGCGAAUGAUCAGCUAGGCGCUGAUUGUUCUACAAAUGUACUGGAACAGUCAACUAGAAGUUGACUGUGUUCCCAUAGUAAUUAACUACCUAUAUUGGGAUUGGCGCAAAUUGUGCGGUCAGUAUAUUCGUUCGAUUUAUACAACUUCGUAUUUCCAUCCUUCUUGUCUGUAAUAAUAUGAAUCAUAUGUUGUACUCUGACGUCAAUGGUUUCAUUAUUAGCUUUGUUAUUGUCAACGGAUCGAAAGGCGGAAAUAGAUAGUAUUCAAGUGUUCAACCACAAGCGAUCAGCACAGUAUUUUUCACCAACUCAGCUCGGAAUCUGUACGGUCCGGAUCAACCAACAGUCCAAAACCUGAGCGACCUGCUGGAUAUGGUCAGUGAAGUGCGUUCCAUCAACGGGCCUGAUUGGUUGGCUUCCAAAAUUUGUUAAUCCAUAAAUUUGGGUAUUGAUUGGUUUGUUAUCAAAACUUACCAACCUCUUAUAUUUAGCUUGCCAAAUUCAUCAUAAAUUUUUUAUCUAAUUUUGGCUUGUCAAAUCCUUAGCAUGAUAAAUUUUAGCCCCAAUCAGUCUCAGCAUGCAAGUACAGGCCACAAGAAAGUGGGUAGUCUUUGGGCUGUUUUGGUAUGACCAUGUCGACCCGAUUUUUUCUUGCCAAGUUCCGGUUUCUGUUGUAGGUCCUUAAAUAGCAGUACUGGGCUCACGUAAUCAAUAGCAGUACUGGGCUCAUAUAAGGAAUCAAUAGGAAUACUGGGCCGUAUCACGGGUAACAUAAUAAUGUGUGUACUAGCGCAAGUAGCCCAACAGAGAUGCAUGACCAUAUUUGUUUGCGAUGCUGCAUAUCCUUGACCAAACACACUCCCUCAUCCAAGUUAAAUCAACUUUUAAAGUCAUUCAAACUCAAACUAAUUUUGAAUUCAAUCAAAUUUAUAAAAAGUGUAUUAAUAUUUACAUACCGAAUUAAUAUUACUAGAUACAUAAUAUAAUAUAUUUUAUAAUAUACUUAUUAGGUGUCGUAAGUAUUGUUAAUCUUUCCAAUAAAGUUAGUUUAAUUUAAGAUAAUUUGACUUAUAGUGAUUAUGGAAAUUAAUUUAUUUUGAGACCGACCCUAGGCUACCUCAAAAAGAAAAAAAAAGAUAUGGUUUUAGGCUACCUGAACAAAGAAAAAAACUAUGGACUUAAGGCAGUGCCAAAUUUUAUUCCAAAAAAGAUUAUGUUUGGUUCAUGGCUAAGUCAAAUUCAGGCUGAAAGAGACUAUACAUUGACAGUGCUCAUAUCAAACCACGGACAUGAGUCGUGAGGUCUACGUGUCAGAAAAAUCUAGUUCUAUAUUUAACUGUAAGAAAUACUGUGGUUCAAACGGCCGAUUUGCAAGAGCACACAGAUUUUCUCAUGUAUUUUGAUUUGGAAUUGGUAAUGUAAGGAGGUGUUUGGGACUGCUUCACAAACUCUCCACCACAAACUUCUUCCACAAAAAACUAGAGUUGUAGAGUACAUCUUUAGGUGCUCUCAUAACUCCACUUUUUUUUCUCGAACUGAGUGCGUCUUAGGUGCUCUCACAACUCCACCCUUUUUUCUCGAACUGAAUGCGUGGAGCUGAAACCGUUUAACUAAAAAACGUGGAGUGGAGCUAAAAAAAACAUGGAGCAAAGCAGUUCUAAACAUCCCAUAAAUAAGCAACAUGCUGCAGGAAACGGCCAUUGCUCAUCUGGCCAAGCCGAAACGGAGCGCAGGAAACGGGUGCCCGAGAAAACUGCUUCCACAUGCUGCACUGCUUCGGAUCAUAUUCAUAGUUACUUUGGGUUAAGAUCCCAGACUCGCAGUACCGUAAAAUUGUAGGAGUAAAAUCAAAUAUCACUAUGUGCCAAGUGGCAAAUGCCAAACAACUCCGAAAUGACAACUCAAGUCUCAAUGUCAGCAUUAGCUUAUGCACUGUUCAUCCGAAUCGCACACCUGCCUGAAUGAGCCUGUUGCCCCCACACAACUCGCGGGAACACCCCAAACUGCCACCGCGUAAAUCUCUCAAAAGUACUGCUGCGUACGAGACCAAAAAUUAACGCCACCUCCAGGCUCUCCCACCGGUACGGACUCCAAUAUGGUACGUCGCCGAUCCACUUUUCCAUGCUCCCGACCUGCUGCCAACGCGAGAGCCCUUGCUGUCCACUGUCCUCAGCAGCUUGCCUGUCCUCAGCGUCGUCCUUUGCGUGUCCUCGCCGCGCACGCCAGCCUGCGACCUCGUGCAAGCCGCAUUGCCGCACGCGCGCGCCCUCGACACGGCACGGCGCACACAUGACCGGCAUCCGCAUCGGCAUCCCUGCGCCGCGCGGGGCUCGUGUCUGUGAUCCGCCCGUACCACGGCGCCACCUGUUCUCGCGCGACGUCGCACGAGGGCGCUGGUGGCCUUUCCUGGAGCCUGGAGGCCGCGCGCGGCGGCGUCGUACACGCAGACACACCACCGGCCGUGCUGUGCCGUGCGUCACGGACGGGUUGAUAAUCUAACCAACCUCGCGGGCCGAGCCGCGCGCCCCUCGUCCGGUCCAGCAACGCCGGGGCAGGCAGCUCGUGCGUCGUGCCCACCGAGGCAGGCAGACAGGGCACCCGAUGCGUGCGGGUGCGGCGUGCAGGACGACACCCACCGCGAGGACGCGAGAUUCCCCAAUCAAUUGUUUCCGUCAACCUAAGCGCGCGCGCGCGCGUGCCUCCAUGGCAUCAUCCGGUCUGGCCCGGUGUCCAGUCCAGACGGCCGGCGACGGCGAGCUCCGCCGCACGUGUGGUUCCGGCCGGACGCGUUGCCAGCGCCAGCUCUAUCGGCGCCUGUCCCCUCGGGCACCUGUGAGGCCACGUUAUGUCGUUAUCUUAAGCUGAAUCGAACCUUUAUUUACAAAAAAUCAACGAAUAUUAUUUUUAGUCAUAACUACAAACGCGGUGCUUAUACUCCCGUACAAGAGUACUAUAUUAAAAAAAAUCAGAUCCUCAUGAUUGUUAAUUAGGGCACGGACACAUACAUGUAUAAUGAAUGUGUUAGCAGUUGCGUUGUCGUAUCAUAUUGUGCAUAGUCACAACUCACAGCUAACGAAUCAAAGAAAACUCUGGAGCACAAUGCAUGGAUCAGAGACGACGGGCUUCGUUUUGAAUCGAAACCUUGUGCUGGCUACCUAGAGGCCAGCUGUGAAUUAAGGAGUUGUUGCUGGAUUUGACCAGACGAUCAAAUUAAGGUUCGCGGACGGGAGGCGCAUGUGCGGCUGGUUUAAUUUAGCGCAGGAACUGAUGAACUACACUACCUGCCAAUCAGAGAGCUAUGGCGAAGCUGCGGAUCAGCUUCCUGCUGUUGCAUCAUGCACACCAUCCAAAAACACUGUUAGUAUUAGCGCGGGCCAAUUAAUUGAUACUCGUUGCACUUGGUUUCUCGCAGAGAAGGGUGCUGAUGUACGUACUCCUGAAGCUACCUACCUGCAUGUCGAGCAAAGAAAAUGUACGUAGUACGUACAGUACAGUAUAUCUGCAUCACAGUGAUGGCGGCCGUUUGAAUUGCACGUCGUAAACAGUCGACAUGAAGUCAUGAACAGGGACCGGCUCACGCGAGAGUCCCGACACGUACGUGCUCGGUAUUUGCGUGCACAAAAGUCUAAACGCAUCGAUGCGUACCGUGUCAAGUUGUCGACACGUCUCUUUCGGCCUGCACGUGGCUCGGACAAUUGGAUGGGGAUCGGGGGUUCGGGACGGAUGGCUACACGCAUCGCAGCGUCACGUAACGUACCCUUGCGCACGCGGCGCGUUUAGUGACCAGACAGACAUUUCUUCCCACGGUGGCUCGAUGCCUACGUGCGCGCACAGUACUGUACCGACCGGUGGGCCUCCAGAUCCACGACGACAUUGUCUCUCCCGUGGCCCGUGGGCUGGUCUCCCACUUCUUAUAUGAGUACUAGCUAGGGCGCUCGCCUUAUUUUAGCUCGUCUAGUUAAUGAGUCAGCUGCCUUUAACUGACGUUUGAGCCUAACGAGUCAAAGCCGUUAUAUAUUUUUUUUGUAUAACUUUGUUUUUUAUUUUAUUUUUUGCGAGGAGUAUAACUUUAUUUUUCAUUUUAUAAUUAGUUGGUGGUUGGAAUUGGACCCUCUAAACAUGGUAUUUAUGGCUCUUCCUUCUAUUUAAAUGCAUGUAUGGAUAAUAAUGGAUCCUGGAUUCAUUAUGUAUAGUAUGGAGUAUGGACCGCGUACGUAUGAUGUACUACUAUAGUAUAUUGUUGUACUUGUAUAUAUGUCAACACAUAUUAACUUAUUGAGUAAAAACAUAAGCGGCUCUGUGAAGUGUGAACUUGUCAAGUGGUAUCACUUAGGGUAGUCUCAAUAGUCUCAGCGAGGAUUUCAUGUCCUAUUUUCUAACUCACUCAUAUUUUAUAAACAACACAAAAGAGUUUUAACCAUAAAAGUUUCAUCAUCUCUCUUCAUUAGUAUAGUGACAUGUCAGCGUACUUAAUGCCCAUAAAAUUUCAUGGAACACCCAUUGAGAUUGGCUUUUAGAUCCACAAACUUUCAAUCAUAUUUAUAGGUUCCUAAACUUGUUUCAUUUAAGGUUUAUGGUUAGUUAGUUUUGUAUCAUUAAUAUUCUCAAUUUUAAAUAAAUGCGUAUAUACUAUGUGUUUUUUUAUACCUGGCUCACGAGCCCAAUGAGUGAGCCAGAGCUUGUAAACGAGUCUACCCGAAUUAGCUUUCUGGCUUGUUAAGAACUGACAUUUGUUUUGCUGGUCUGAAUCAUAUCCAAAGGGGUGAGGAUGUAUCAAUUUUCUUUGGCUCUCACCCGCCUGAUGGAUGUGUUCGACCGGUCUAUUUUUGGGAUUUUCUUGGUUAAUGUAGAAUAUCACUGCUCAACCCUACCUAGUGCACUAGUCGAGUCAAGUGACCCAUGAUUAGAUCUACUGGGGCCUUCAACUCAAAUAGAUGUUACAAUGCAAUGCAACGUUACCCAUUCCAAAUGUGAGUAUAUAUCACCCCCCCUACGCGCGCGCACACACUUGAUGUUACACUAAAAAAAUGUAACUGUUGUGGAAUUUUUUUGUACCUAACAUAAAACUUGUCGUUAAAUAUGUAAUAUGUACUCGUUCUGACCUUUCAAUAAAUAGAUUUAUAGAGUUAUCUUAAGUCAAAAUUUUAAACUUUAAUUAAACUUCUAGAAAAAAAUCUAUUAAGAUUGAUGGCAUCAAAUUAGUAUCAUUAGACCUAUCAUAGAAUACAUUUUUAUAAUAUGCUCAUUUUAAUUCAUAAAUGUUGUUACAUUUUUCUAUAAAGUUAGUUAAACUUUUUUUUGCGAGACUUAGUUACAGACGCAAACGCUCAUAUACACGAGCGCACACUCAUGACUUACAUAGAUUGCAUAAAUUGUUUUAUUUAGAUAUGGAGGGAGUAAAAGUUUCACACAAAUAUGGAAGUGAUCCGUAGUUGGACAAAACAACCUAGCUAGAUCACCACAUAAAAACUGUCAUAACUCUCUACUCUGAAUUUUGUUUUUUAGACUCUACGGAAAAAACUUAGGCCCCGUUUAGUUCCUCACCUAAAAUUUUCUUAUCCAUCCCAUCGAAUCUUGGGACACAUGCAUGGAACAUUAAAUGUAGAUAAAAAAAUAAACUAAUUACACAGUUUAGUUGAAAAUUGCGAGACGAAACUUUUAAGUCUAGUUACUUCAUGAUUAGCCUUAAGUGCUACAGUAACCCACAUAUGCUAAUGACAGAUUAAUUUCCUGACGAGCUAUGUAAUUUGUUUUUUUAUUAGUUUUUAAAAACCCCUCCCGACAUCCUUCCGACACAUCCGAUGUGACAUCCAAAAAUUUUUUUAUCUACAAUCUAAACAGGACCUUAUUUCAUGGGAUAUCAAUCCUAAAUGAAGUUAUCAUUCAAGAACAUGGGCCUUGUUUAGUUCCAAAAUUUUUGGCAAAAUGAGCACUGUAGCAAUUUCGUUUGUAUUUGACAAAUAUUGUUAAAUCAUGGACUAACUAGGCUCAAAAGAUUCGUCUCGUCAAUUCCGACUAAACUGUGCAAUUAGUUUUUAUUUUUAUCUAUAUUUAAUACUCCAUGCGUACGUCUAAAGAUUCAUGUGACGGGGAAUCUGAAAAAUUUUGCAAAAUUUUUGGGAACUAAACAAGGCCCCAAUGGAAGUGUCCUUAGUAGGUUCCUGUCGUGUCAGCACAUGGUAUGGCGGGGUUCAAGCGCCUCUCCAAUUCUCAGCUAAUAACGAACCAAUUCACGUGUGCAUCCCUCCUCAUCUGACGAGACUAGGAGAGCAGCAGCAUGACGGGGCUGCAGCUGCAGACCUGUUGCGAGCCGACGCCGAAACUUCCACGUCUCAGAACAGGGGCAGUAUUCCGUAUGAUGUACGCAUGGCAUAUUGGCAUCAAAGAGUACAUGUAUCAGACAGUGGAGGGAAUCGAUCUGCGGGCGCGUCACGCGACGAAAACAAUAUCCUAGUGCGCCCUUCAGCGCUUGUCCCGCGUGCAAGCUGACACCACACCACCGAGAGAAGCCAUUCGGUCCUCAGAGGCCUCUGGUAAGAGGGCAAGAGGCCAUGCCAUUGCCAUGCAAGGGCGAUGGCAGAUCGAGGUCAGUGCCAGUGCACAAGCACAUACAGCUGGGCGCACGCAAUUACCUGGGCUGCGGGCUGCCGCAUGCGCUGGGCUUUCCCCUUCGUCUCGCGCUCUCGCCAUGUGAUCCGGCAUUGCCGUCUGGGAAUCGCACCGUCAGACUUCUCUAUCGUUGUGAAGAAAGGGGCUGAAGCCUGCCGAUGCCGGGCAAGAGAGAGUAAUUUUAUACUAGGCGCGACAUGUGAGUUGUUCAGUCGUUGGUAUCAUCAGAUUGGUAGGGGGCAAUAGUAGUUUUGUUUUGUUUAUCUCGUGUCGUCAGUAGCCCUCAGUCCUAUAGACUCGUCGCUCCACUCCAGGGGCACUGCUCAGCUCUUCGUAACGACAAGCAGCAGACCAAGUGCAGAUGAUGCAGGUGCAGUCACCUGCUUGUCAGGCCACCGUGCUGAUGCUGCUGCUGUAGCGUGGUGUAAUUGGAGUGUGAUGUGCCACGGGAUGGCCAAACUCUGGGCGUACAGGUGGAACCAAUGAUCAGCACAAGGAAGAACUGAAUGAAGACUAGUGCCGGUGUGGAACUGCGGAUUGUAUGAUUGUAGUAUCUCUCCACAGUCAGGAGGAGGAACACAGAUUCCAGAACACGAGUUGUGAGUUGUGACCCUGAUCGCCACAUACUAGUGCCGCCGCUCGCUUUCAGGCACCAGGACAUCAGGUGGCAUACAAUGAUCCAAACCCAUCGGCCAAUGCAUCUUGGCCUGAUUGAUUGCAACGGGACGGGACGGGAGGAGGGGAGUCUGCGUCCAUCUAUCAGACCACCACCAGUAACGCAAAGUUCGUCUGUCAUCUGUCAUGCAUGCACACGCAUCAUAUCGGCCCGUGCAUCAUCAUAUGUGCACACACAGCUCUCAAAUAAUCAAACGAGUCCCCCACGGUUCCUCGGCGAACAGGCAAACAAGACAAACGACCCCAUUUGCAUCUCCAUCAUGCCCAACUGCAAUCUCGUACGUCCGGGAGAGGGACCGGUAACCACACCCACGCACGGGCAACUAGUACAGGGGGUGUUGACGCACUUGAUGCCGCCGUUGCCACCCGAUCGCUAGGGGCCUCCAUCCAGGCCCAACUGGCCAAAGCAUCAUCACGGAGUAGCGUUAACACUGGCAGCACAGUGGCGUUCGUACUCCGUCGUCGUCGUCGUCGUCGUCCAUUCCGUCCGCGUCCGGUCACCUCACUGCCCAUCCAUCUGAUCCGAUGCCGAGUCCGUCCAACGGACACGGCUGGCCACACGUCGCUCCCGGCAGUACGUGCGUGCGUACGUACAAGAGCAGGGGCCGGCCGGCGGUCGGUCGCGGUGUGAGCAGUGAUCUGACUGACCGUCCCCAGUGGGGCGAUGUACUCCUCCUGCUCCUUAUAUGUAUGGCUGGCGCGCGCACGCCGGCCGGGGGGCGGCACGCACGCGACGGGGACGGCUGUACCGGGAUGCCGCGGCAACGGCGCUUUCCGUUGGGGCCGCGUGCGCCCUCGACGGCGACGUCGAUGGCAGCGUCCCACCUGUACACGACCGCGACCUGCCAAAGGCCAAACCGAGCGAGAUGCAUGGACCGAGGCGAGAGGCUCCGGUCCUGCAUGCGUCAACCGUUCUGUCCAGUGCAUGCCUGUCUUAUGUAGCAGCUGCCUAGAAAUCCGUGUGAGAUUAGCUAGCGUGGCCCCUGGGCCCUGGCCCUGGCCCUGGACCUCGUGUGAUUUGAUUUUGAUCCACCCCGGUUGCUCUCCUAAUCUGCUCGUCACCGUAUUGCCAGUUGCUGGGCAAGCUAAUUCGGUGAAAUGACUUGGCCGCCACCAAAAGCUGGAGUCCAUGAAUGUUCUCGGAUCCUUUUUCCUUGCCUCACGAGAAGACGAGGUACCACUGCUACUACUAGCAUACUAGGAGUACUUUAGUGGGAUUACAUAGUACAUAGUAGGACCUAAUUAUGGCAUUAUGAUAGUGAAAAGUUGGAAUUGCACAAAGAGGGAAAAGUCUAAAGAGAUUGGCCGAAAUGUGGGCUCUUUGUCCUGUCCUGUUGCGUGCGUGUACUCUACUGUAAUCAAUUGCGCCCCAUUCUUAGCCCAUGAUUGUUUGUCUCUUGUGACUGGAUUUUCAAAAGCGCCACUCUCCACUCGCAGAAAGGGAGAAAGGCCAGUGACAGUAUGAUAUGCACGAUAGAAUUGAAAAAUGAUUACCAAAAGAUGUAUGCUACCGUUAACAGAGAAGAGGCAACAGUUUAACAAUUGUUUUUUUUUGUUUGAUAAGGUAGUCUAACAAUUGUUAAGUAGGGCUGCGCCUACACCAGUUGUUAAUCAUGCCAACCUUCGAUCAUUUUUUCCCGCUUUUGAAGUACAUGCAUGUAUGGAAUUGGAAUAAUGAGCAGUAGUACUAAACAACAAUAUCUGUAUGAUCCCUUCAUUGGCCUUUUCCAUCAUAGAGUGCGUGCUGCAAGAAGAAGAUGACGCGUACGUACUAAUACUCCAACUAUUCGGCGGAGCAACCGUUAGGCGAGCGCUGAUGCAUCGAACUAGUAAUAAUUAAUUAAAAGAUCAUCUUGACGGCGCCGAGCUCUCCACUAAUAUAUACAUGCGUGUGACUAAACUACAGUUUGCCUUUGGUUCUCCUCGUUUAAUAAUGACUCUGAAUGUUUCGGUUGAGAUCAGAGAGAAACGGAAACACGUGACUAGAAUGUUCAGUAUGAAGCAUAGCUAGUUCCUACUAUUACUAGAACAAAUUCACAUUGAUAUGUUUGGGGCAAAAGUUUGUUUACGCUAUCGUAUUACGCGCAUCGACCCAUAACAGUAGAAUGGUAAUCGGCAGCGGGGGGGGAAUAGCCCAGCAGACGCUACGGCAGAAACUGGCGCACAGGAGGCCUCGGCGCAGAAGAACCCAACGGCUUCCCGUUUGGCUGCAUGUACAGGGGCUGGUCGUUAAGGACAGCUGUUGGAGGGAACGGGCCACUUGGCGCGCACGGGCGGGGCAUUUAAAACCCCGUUGGCUUCUGGCGUUGGCACUCCCCCAAAUCUCCGUUGCCGGGGAAGGCGGAGCCCGCUGGUGGUCGAUCGCCAGCGGGCCUCUGGCCUGGACCGCCGCUUGCGCCCACGUGAGCACCACCCCGCCCCCACCCCUGAAAGCGCCAGCCAUCGGCCGAAAACGCGCGCCACCGGCGGCUCGCUAUCAGGGCCGGCGGGCGGCAAAAGGCAGAGCCGGCCGCCGGGGCACGUAACGUAGCGCGCGACGUUUACGUUUGGUUCCGGUCGAUUCUUCUGUGUGACGGGACGGGGACGGGGACGGGGACGGGGCUUGCCGAGCUGGCUGCCUGCCGAGCGCCGAGCCAUGCCCAGCCCAGCCAGCGCGGCGGCGGCCGGGCGGGGACGCGACACGAUGGGUUUGGAAGCCAGCCAACGAGCCAACCAACCGCAUGACAGAGGAAUCGGCUCCAAUUGGAUGCAUGUGGCCGCUGGUGCGCGUGGUGGGGCGCCGGCUGGCCGUGGCCCGUGGCCCGGGGGCGGAUCGCGCUGACCGCACGGUUGGGUUCGAUGGCAACGUCGCACCGUUCCGUCGUCUCGUUCGGUGGAUGUCGCUAUUCUCGGCUCUUUCCUUAUGCAUGCAUGUAGGAGAGCUGAUUGAUUGGGUUGGGGGGCAGCAGCGGCUUUCAUGAUCGUUUGCGAAUUGCCCUGAUUCCAGCUCUUUGCUUCCUUAGCUUCCAAUUGGAGAAAGUACCAAGGGGACAGAUCUUUUGGGAUAUGGAUUAAUAUUUGGUGUCUUUUUCCACUUUUCUUUUGGGUUUUUUUUUGUUCUGAUGUUUGAAAUAAUCUUCUUGCUUUUGUGCACUUCUACACCUCACACGUACGUGAUUACGUGAGCAGUAGAAAUUGCACAGUAACGCUUAGGCCUUGUUUAGUUCCCAAAAUUUUUUGUUUCUGUAUAUUAUAGCACUUUUGUUUUUAUUUGACAAACAUUGUUCACUAAUAUAGUUACUAGAUUUAAAAGACUCGUCUCGUGAUUUACAGGCAAACUGUACAAUUAGUUUUUAGUUUUAUCUAUAUUUAAUGAUCCGCAUGUGCCGUAAGAUUCGAUGUGACGAGAAGUCUUGAAAAGUUUUUGAUUUUGGGGUGAACUAAUCAGGCGUUAGCCACAAGAAGAACAUGGGGUCUUCGAAAGGAAGAUGAGGAAACACAUGCAUGAUUUGAGGCUGCACAUUGACCUUCUCAUCCUGCCAAAAGCAACAGGCAGAGGAUGGGGCUUCCAUGAGUAAAUAUAAAAUAUCCGUACGGUAAACAAAUCAGGAUUCGGAGCAAAUCUUCACCAAACAUAAGCACCGAGACCGAAAGUCUUAAAAUUUGGCAGCCGUACCGAAAAUAAAACUGGGCGUUGGUGAUGUGGAACUCAACUGAAGCUUAGGAGAGGUGAUUGGUUGUAGGUGUUAAAAUUUAACAGGUAUUGUACAUAUUUCGUUUUAUUUGACAAUUAAUGUUUAAUCAUAGACUAAUUAGGUUUAAAAGAUUUGUCUCAUAAAUUACUAUCUAGUUGUGUUUUUAGUUCUGUAAAUAGUUUAUAUUUAGUACUCUAUGUAUAUGUCAAACAUUCCAUUUGAUAGGUAAAAAAACAGAGUAACCAACCUUAUGCCGCGGUGCGAUUCACAGCAUUGCUGAAAUAAAAAGAAACCUAUCAUUUGGUUGGUUUUUCCUCGCCACUGGAGUAAAAAGGUCGAUGUCACCGGUUGCAAGCAAUAAUCUUAGGAUGCAUAUCCACGCCUCCUGUCACUUCAAGAUCCAAUUUUGUCAAAAGAAAGCGUGUGCAUGCAUUUUGGAUCCCAUAGCAUGCAGUAGUGAUGGAUCAGACUGAGAGGUGGUGCAAAUCUGUCAAGCCACAACUUGUGGCCUUUGAUAAAGUAGACCUUCUAUGUUGACCAAAAUAAUAAAAUUGGCAAAGCAUGUGGAUGGUGGUUUAGUUGGGGACUAGUUUAUUUUGUACGCUUGCUUAGUCAGUAAACAUUUCUUCUUCCUUUUUUUAAAAAAAAAAGAUAAUAUGCUCGUUCAAAAGUUGAUCCGUUUUAAAAAUUGGCUCCGGAAUCAGGAAGAAAAACGGAUCGGUUACAAGGUACUAGGCUUUUGGAAGUGAUCAUUUGGUUGGUACAGGCCUUAUCAUUUGAGCUGAAUCCAGCCACCUUGCAUAUAUAUAGCUCGUUCUGCCCCGAUCUCAGCCUUGAGCCUUCACACGUAGCAGUAGUAUACAUAUGUCUCACGUCGUUCACUUCCAGGUCCAGCUGUUCAGCUGUUCCUUUGAUUGUUGUUUGGGAGCUCAUUGCACAUACAUUAUGCUGGCUCUGGUUUCAAUCAUCCCUGAACCAGCUAGCACGUAACAGAGAGAUAUAUGCAGGUCAAUUCGAUGUGAUCUAUUAAUUGCCUUGCAUCACAGCUUAGGCCUUGUUUAGUUCGCGAAAAUUUUUAAAUUUUGUUUACUGUAGCAUUUUUGUUUAUAUUUAACAACUAUUGCCCAAUCAUAAACCAAUAGACUCAAAAUAUUCGUCCUAUAAAUUAUAGAUAAAUUAUAUAAUUAUUUAUUUUUUAUCUAUAUUUAAUACAUUAUAUAUGUACGUAAAAAUUAAUGUAAUAAGAAAUCUUGAAAAAUUUUAGGAACUAAACAAGGCCAGGAUAUAUGUAAGGUGUGAUACCUUUGAGUCUUUGACCGCAUGAUGGGCGGCUAGCGAGCCAGCCUAUACACAUGUCUGAACGGUAAACUUCACCACCGCUAGCUGGUGCAACGGAGCAACCAAUAUAAUUGCAGCAGCAAGACGGCGACACAUCGUUGGCGCACACGUCUGUUGCUGCUGGCACGAGUGACUCGAUCAGUCGAUCACUUAUGUAGUUAUGUGCCACCACCAACGCCGCUUUGCAUUGGGCCCCGCAGUGUGCGUGCAUCGAAAGACCGACGAAACGAAAGCGACUCCAUCGUACGUGCGGCAAAGUGCUGCUACAGGCAACCACCGCCCGGUACGUUGUCCGUGAAAAAAGGCGGUAUACAACGCGUUCGAUCGAGGGCUCGGCCGGUCGGACGGGCGACUGUGCCGGCCGGGGACGGCGGUCAGGCGGUGGUGUUGGCGUCUCAGCGUCUGCACGCCACGGCCGGUGCCGAUGCCAUCGCGCGCGGGCCCCAUGUGCCGAUCGAGAUGAUCUCGGCCCGAUCCGCCGAGCGCGCCGCGGGUUACGGCCGGCCGCGACGCGCGUCCGCCGCGGCCGGGGCAGGCAGGCAUGCAUGCAUGCAUGCGCGCCUAGCGAUGGGCCGUGCGGGUGGGUGGCCGGCUAGCUACUGCCCGUGUGCGGUGUGCCAUCACCAUCGAGAGAUCAGUGUGUGUGUACAUGACAUGAACAUGCGGCGGUACGCGGCACAGUGCACCUGGCUGGCCGUAGCAGACGUGCGCUACACCUCCCCCCUCGCGUCCUAGGCUAGGCUCGAUCGUAGCCAGCGCUGCAAUGCAUCUGCAUCUGCAUGUGCAUGCGGCUGGUACGAUGCUAUAGUAGCAGGAGGAGCGUCGGAAACAGUCCAAGACUGUGGGGGCGUUUCUCGGUCAAGCAGCCACUGAUGGCAAAGAGAUUGCGAUUGCAAUUGCAAUCGCGCCCGCGCGCCUAGGGCUCAGCUACGCUAUGAUUGCUGGUGCUUGUGCUUUUCGGGAGAUCGAUCUGCAAUGAUUUGCAAGUCCAUUGGUAUGCAUGGGGAAAAAUAGGCGAGACAAAACGGGAGUGGUAGACGAAGUGCUAGCUAGCUCUGUGCCCAGAUAUCGAGCGGCAUCUUGCUCCACCGUGCGGCACACUGCAGAGUUCUUGGUCAUUGUCGCCUUGAGGUGAAUUUUUUUUUAUAUUAUAGUAUUUUUAUUUUUAUUUAGAAAUUAUUGUCCAACUAUAAACUAAUUAGACUUUGAAAUAUUCAAACUAAAUUUUUUUAAGAUUCCACGUCAUAUCGAAUCUUACGGCAUAUGCAUGAAAUAUUAAAUAUAGAUAAAAAAUAACUAAUUGCUCAGCGUGUUUAUAAUUUGCGAGACGAAUCUUUUAAACCUAGUUAGUACAUAGUUGGACAAUAAUUACCAAAUAAAAAUAAAAAUAUUAUUUUCACCUCCUAACCACGGAACGGAAGAGAAGACCCAGCCACGAUUAAAGUGACCCCCCCCCCCCUAGCUGAAGCGACACGUGUCUUGUUUUUCUGGUUUCUGUUGAUGGAAGAUCGGCGUCCGAGAGAGAGAGAGAGAGAGAGAGAGAGAGAGAGAGAGAGAGAGAGAGAGACGGCCCGGCACUCUGCUCUGCGAGCCUUGUCCGUUUGUGCGACCACUCCUGCAUCAUUAGAUCGGUCGAACAAGCACCCAGCAUGCCAGCCAGAUGAAUUUGGGACGAUGAGGGAGCUUUUGGCAGGUGAUGGGUGCAAGUGCAAGGCAGAGGCGGAGGCAGAGGUACCCAUUCAACAUCGGCUACAGCCCUACAGGGUACUCGUUCCUCACCGCAUUCAUGGGCAGAGCCCGCAUUCAUGAAACAGCACGGUGUGGUAAAUGAAACGCAUGCCGCAUAGUAGUAGCCGGCACGAACAACCCGUCACCUUUCGGGACACACACAGAGAGAGAGAGAGAGGUGCUCUAGUGUUGUGGUGGCAUCGGCAUCGGAGGCUUCUUCGGUUCAGCAUUCGGCAAUGCAAGCUGCGAUUUUGUCCGGCAGGAUUUCACGUACCCAUGCUACGAGCCUACUACUGCUAGAUCGGUCACUCGCUCAGCUGCACCAAAGUCACUGUUAUCAUAACCCUCGUCCCUGGAUGACCUUACAUGCCCUCCUCUGGCAGCAGAAAGGUGGAGCCGUGGAGGCAUUCGGCCUCGGCCACGCCCCAAGCACACUUGCACCACCCUACUACUAGGGUCCUCCACUGGGCCCAUGUCUGGCUGCCUUGUUGGUUUGGCAAAACAAUAUUGUUGACUGAUUUGUUGUGAGAGAAAAAUAUUGUUGGAUGAUUGACAGAUUCAGCUGAUAAAAUAAAAGACAACACUAUCUGCAAAUGAGUCUCGAGGAGAGAGGAUACCCAAAUUUGGGUUAUGGCUCUCCUGACACCGAAAAUAGUUUUUGUGUACGAGUACUCUGUUGGAGGCUAUAGGUAUUGUGUUGAAGACCUAUUUUAGGUUUGGGUUCUCAAAUGGAUCUCCUAUUGGAGACAGCCUACUGGCAUUAUGGAUGAUUUUAAAAUAACUAGUAGUUUAGAAAUAAUUUUAUUGGCUAUUAAAAGCAGAGAUCAAAUAACUAGCGACUCCUAAAUAGCUAAUUUAGCAUGAUUUCUUAGAAACAAUUCUCUCUCAGCUCACAUAACUCUCAACUUAUGUGUUUUUUAUUCUUUUUAAGUCUCAUGUACCUAGUUAUUUGCAAGUUGACAUUAAGGACACCCUGAUAGUGAUGGCAUGACACAUCUGCAGCAGAUUUGAAGAGAGAGAAAAUAACAACAACGAACUACAUGUAUGCCAACUGCGGCCUGGCCAAAAAUAUCCUGCGCGCGCAAAGCAAAGCUUAAUAUAAUGCUCAUGUAAACUUGAUCCCCGGAUUUGAGUAGCAAGCACUGCUAGAAUCAGGCCGAGGAAGGUGGCGCGGUUUUUCGGCAGAAUUCAAAGAAAGAAAAGGGUGGCGGUCUUUUCCGCACAUUUCUCCCCAAAGAUUGCCUGAAGCAGGGGCGGAUGUACGGCCCGUGCUGCCCGGGCUGUAGCACGGGGCGAAGCUCAAUAGCAGUGGAGAAUUGUUUCAUAAAAAACACAUAAAAAGGCUAUGAGGCCCAUUAGCCCCCCACGAUAGAGAUUCAGUCCAUUAGCCUCUGUUAUUUAGCACCCCCUAUGCUUUGUUUUUGGAUCCGCCACUGGCCUGAAGUGCCAUGGCCAAUCCAAUACUCGAUAUGGUUUUCUUGGAACUCCAAGUUGGAUGAAUUUACUAAAUGUUAAUUUUUAAAAAAUCUAAAUGUUAAUAGCUCUGUUCUAAAUUAUAACAUGUUUUUGUUUUUCUAAAUAUAUUAUUUUUAAUAUGUAUGUUUAGAAAAAUCAAAAUAUCUUAUAAUUUAGAAUGGAGAGAAUAUUGUAGUAGUUUUUUUUUCAACUUGACGGAUCAGUAACUUAAGAUGCCCAUCUUUGCACUUGAUCUCCGAAAUCUCUUUUACAAAUUUUGUGUGUGCCCUUGAUGAACUGUAUAGUCAGCCUAAACAGGCUUGCCGCGCAAAAUAAAUUUUGUGGUCGGUAGUCAAUUUUCUUCUGUCAACGUGGUGCUAGGAUCCAUGUUCCACGCGAUGGAGUUUGGAGGAGUUGAGAAAUAAUAAUGCCGGUAUUAUCUCCACUUAAACAGGACAAAAAAAGUGUGUGGCAAAAGUGUUGCAAAUUCUUGUUGUUAGGGGUCAAAAUCGAGUCAGAGAUGUAAACACAUACACAAUGAAACAUUCAGUAUCCAUGGCAAAACGUUUUGAAGGGCACAAAAAAAAAUUAUAUGACAUUGGUCAUUUUGCCCUGCCUUUCGACUAGGUUUCGUAACUAUUCAAGCGGGACAGAAUAUUCGAUAUACCGAGUCCAACAAAAACACCCUGAGUCUGACCAAGACACUUGUCGCCUACUCUGGUCUUUGCUUGGCGCAACAGCACCUCUGCGAGUCUAUAUGUGUGUGACUUUGGCAAGCUUCUUCAUGGAUCAUAUUCCGCUUCACCUAGCACAUGCUUAUCCCACGAAGUUGGGAGCUUGAGUUCGUCGUUUGGAGCUAGGAUUCCUUUAACAAUGUUUCUCAAGUGGAAAUGGAAACGUUGUUAGUGAAAGUUCCAGUUUGAUUUUGGUAAUUGAGCGACAAAUUUAGGUGGACCAAUAUGUUUCAUGUGAGAUGAACAGGUACUUAGUCCACAUACACUAGAUUGAGCAAGACAUCAUAGUCAUGGUGGAGAGAUGGCUUAUGCAUGAUGAAAGUGCUUAACUAGUGUAGUUGAAGGUGCUCAUUGAAUAUGAGACAUGUCAUUGUCUGAUAUGGCUAGGUCGAGAAGAUCAAGGCAAGGCCUGGCUGCAAAGGACCAUGUUGCAAUUGUGAAGGACAAGUUAGAGACUCGAAUGGAACGUCAAGGCGGUGAACCGUGAAUAGAGAGGGCUUUGUGUAGAUGGACCAAGGCAAAGUUGAAGAGCAAUCAAAGCUAUGAUCGAUGAACCAAUAAGGUCAUGUGAAGCAAUGAAGUGGAUCAUAUCAUUCAUAGAAGAUCGAAUCAAGUGUCAUUUGUGUUGAUGAUCAAAUCGCAUGAUGGUUUCGAGACAAAUAGACAUUAUAGAACGGGAAUGUAUCUUGUGCAACCCAGCUUCGUGUGCAACCUAUGCAACCACCAAUUAAGACCACAUGAUCUAGAUCUAACGUCUGAGGUUUUUUUCACUUAAACCCUCCCAUCUUGAUACACACGGGUUAGAUUUAAAUCCAUAGGUGGAGGGGUUUAAGUGAAAAAAACAUCAGACGUUGGAUCUAGAUCCUGUGGUCUUAAUUGGUGGUUGCAUAGGUUGCACACGAAGUUGGGUUGCAUAUGAUACGUUGCCUUAUAGAACACCUAUAUAUCAAUAAUGUGUUAACGAAUGGUCAAGAGAGAGCAUAAAGAUAAGUAAGUUUUUGGUAGUCGUAUAUAAUCAACACAAACUUUUAAUGUUUACAUCUUCUAAGAUUUUAGCCCAUGCAUGGUUCACAUACUAGCAAUAAAAAAAGUGGUAAGUCUUUGCCAAACACUUCUUUUUUAUAAAUUUUUGGGCUCAGCUUAUAUAUGUUUUUUAGAACAUACGUGUGGAUCGUGUAGUCAUGAAUUGUAAGAAAACAAGCCAAAAUUCUAACUUUAUUAUACCGUACAUUAACUUUACUAAGAAAUAUAUCUUACAUGUCAUUUCAUAAAAAGAAACGUCUUAUAUAGUUUCUUAAUACUUUUAGACAUGUCAAAGGACGCUGGCAAAAGGCGUAUGCACAUCAUCUCUUUUAGUUUGUUAGAGGAUACUUGCAUGCACCUAAAAUUAAUCCUCAUCUCUUUUACUUUCCUAGAGGAUAUGUCUUAAAUUUGGCAGUUACCUAUAAUUAGUUUCUGUAUUCCUAAAAAAAUUACUCUCCACGUUAGAAGACAAUUGUUUGUGUAAAAUAUUAUCAAGUACUACUAGCACCCCUAUGGCUGUGAAAGUGGGAAGCCAUCAAACCGCACGGUGUUGUUGUCAAAAAAAAACGCACGGUGGCGGUGGGUAUCGUGGUAGUGCUGCCUGCCACUAUUCCGGGGAGGGGAAAAUGAUGAUGGCACUUGGGUGAGGCGACUCAAGCCAGUGAUCGACCAGAGCAUGAAGGGGGGCCACACCCUUGUGGCGAUGUCAGAGACUCCAUCCAUGAGGCACAGUUUGUCAAUGUCACCAAAGGCCUAUGUAGCUUUUGCAGACUUUGUGUUGUGUCAUUGUGCGUCUUCUUCAUUGUUGCCAUGAAGUCAUGGACAAACUACAUGGAACCUCUUUGAGUCCAGGAAGGGUAAAAUAAAAUUCUUGCCUACUAUGCACAAUAUACUACUCCACCCGUACAAAAAAAGGAUAAAAUUCUAAAUUCAAAUCAAAUCAAACUUUCUUAAGUUUGACUAAAUUUAUAAAAGAUUAUGUUAACUUUUAUAUCUCCAGAUAUGUUUACUACGAAAAUAUAUCAUAUGAUUAAUCUACUGAUGAUGCUCUUUGGUGUCAUGAAUGUUAGUGUUUUUUUGGUAUAAAUUUUAAUCACAUUGAGACUGACUGACUCCUUAACAAGCAAUAAUUGUUGUUGUUGUUGUUUUUUUUUUGACGGAGGGGGAGUACAUGUAAAGAUAUAAAAUUUUAUGAGAGUUUAGUAACUUAGUGGCCUUUCACCAUGUCGGACAGCUACUAACCUACUGUCCACUAAUCAUCCAAGUAGACAGUGAGAAAACAACACAACGCAAGCUCAAAUCUUGAAGCCAAGAGCACCACGCAUUUGAAUGCUAGCUCACUUGAAAUCUGAGGGAAUCUGCGCGCACGCCAGUGUGCCACUUGCUUGCUGGACAGAGAUCAGUAGUUUAGCAACGCCACGCAUCGGACACAGCACCAUGCAACUAUAAUACAGAGGAUGGUUAUAAUAAGAUUAGGAGCCAUGUUACCCAAGUGAUUAGUAUAGUCAGAGAGGACAAAAAAAUGCUUAGGGGAACCUUUGACCAGCUAAAGGCUCUGCUCAGCUGAGCUCCUCCCCUUGAAUGUUGAUGAUUGAAGACAAAGCAAGCAACGGCCCCCAGGCGGGGGGGAAAUAAAAUAAAAGAAAGUGCUUGUGCAGCGUGAGUGCGUCCUCUUGUGGGUGUGUGUAACUGCACCUGGUCCUGCACUUGCAAAGCCAUGCGGAGCCAGGGUUACUACCUCACAUGGAAACAGGAGCUGUGUCAGCGUCUUGCUUGACUGGCCCCUCCCCUUGGUGGCCUUUUGCUGUUCAUCUUGCUUGGCCAGUCCAGUGUACUCUUGCACUUCCACCCUUCGCAUGGUGUUGCUUCACCGCUUGCUUCUCAGAUCUGGACGCCAUUUCCAUCAUGCUUGCUGUUGCUGCAUCUGCAAUUAUGUAUAUCUAUGUAUGUACAUUGAUGAUGGUACAAUUUGCAACAUCGUUGAUCAAAAAGGAAGGUAAUAUUUGACAAUAAGAAAUGGGACAAAGUGGAUUUCGCACCGAAGAAAAAUCACCAUUUUAUAUAUGUACAUACACAGCUCUUACUGAAGUGUGACGAGAAGAGAUGAACAAAGCUUGAAAAAAAAAGAAGAAAAGAAAAAUCAACCUACUCCCAUAGGUACAUAACAUCUUCAACUGACGAAGCUAUGAGGGAAAACUUGUGUCUUGUACCAUCAGAAGGGAAUGCUAAGCUCAAGAAGAGACUUCAAAUGGUAUCCUGACCAACUGAUUCCUACGGGCAUUUUGCCUCUGACUGGCCGUGUAGCUGCCACUACUAACCCCUGGGCAGUUUCUCGCGUGUCGGUGACCUUUGCUAGUCCUUCUCCUCCUUGUCUUCUUUCAGGGUCGUCAUCUCCACAUCUCCGAAGCAUGCAUCAUCCAUGGCACCUGUGCAUUCGGAAGUCUUUGAGUCCACCGCCGAACUGGCCUGCAACUCCUUGAACAUUGCCAUGACUUUCAGCAUUGUCGGACGCUUUGAUGGCAUGUCAUGCAAGCAUAAGCAAGCAAUUUUUAGGUGCUCCAGUAGCUCGACCUCCAAGGCUGGAUCCUCCUUCACCAGUUCAGGAUCAAACACAUCUGUGACCUUCGACUUUGAGUGUUGUUUGACCCAUCCUACAAGAUUGUUGUCCUCACCGAAGUCAGUUGAGUCUGUAGGCGGUUUCCCAGUGAGCAGCUCGAGCAAUACAACACCAUAGCUAUACACAUCGCCCUUGGUGGUGCAUCUGAAGCUCUGGUAGUACUCUGGUGGCACAUAACCUGGAGUGCCGGCGAGAGUGGACACACUCAGGUGGGUGUCCACCACGCUCAUCAUCCUUGCCAUACCAAAAUCAGAUACCCUUGCCUCUAAUUGCUCAUCGAUAAGCACAUUGCUUGACUUCAUGUCUCGAUGGAUGAUGUGUGGAAUACAGUUGUGGUGGAGGUAUGCCAAUCCCCUUGCAGCACCAAUGGCGAUCUUUUUUCUUGUUGCCCAAUUUAGCUUAAUCCCGACCUUUUUUCGGUCGUGCAACACAUCUUCCAAGCUGCCAUAACUCAUGUAAUCAUAAACCAACAGCCGCUCCUCACCACACUUGCAGUAGCCAAGGAGCGGAACAAGGUUGCGAUGUUUGAUCCUCCCAAUCGUCUCCAUUUCUGCAGUGAACUCCCGGUCACCCUGGCCACUCACAUGUAUAAGCUUCUUGAUUGCAACAACCUUUCCAUCCUUGAGCUGGGCCUUAUAGACAUCCCCAAAACCACCAGACCCAAUUAGGCUAUCAUUGUGGAAGCCAUUCGUGGCCACAAUAAGAUCAUUAAAGGUGAGUUUCUGCAGUGGCUUCUCGAAUGCAGCAAGGUUGACGCUGAGGGCAUUAGUACCAGAGAGUCUCCAAUUGUUGGAAUUCAUAGUCCCAGAAUGUGACCGGCUAUCAAUGUAUAUGUCACGAGAGGUAUUUGCCUCUUCAUUGAUCUGCUUCCGCUUCUUGCACUCAAUGGCUAUGAUGACAAUACCAACUAUACAAAACAGCGAGAACAAGAGUCCCAUUGCAACACUACCUGCGAGUGAAGCCUGGUUCCGGUGGGAUCGGCGGUCAUUAGAAGAACUUGAGCCUGCAUUGUGUCCACAUGGCAACAGUGGGAAGCCACAAAGACCAGAGUUAUUCUCAUAUGAAAUCUUCGGGAAUGUGAACAGCGAACCGAGCUCUGGAAUUGAACCAUUCAGCUGAUUAUUUGAAAGGUUGAUCUCCGACAAGGACAAGGUCGAGAAAGAGUUGGGAAUAGGGCCCUCCAACUGGUUGUGUGACAGGUCGAGUACUGCAAGCUUCUUGGCACCAGCUAGUUCAGGUGGAAUGACACCAGACAGUAAGUUGUGCCCAAGAUUCAUGAUCAUGAGGUAGAACAUGUUCCCAAGCUCCUUCGGGAUCUCUGAGUCGAGCUGAUUAAAUGACAAAUCCAGAAAUAUCAUGGAUCCAUUCUUAUUGAAGGUAUACUCUGUGCUCCCCAUGUACACCCUAGUGAAGUUGCACAGCUUCUUGCUCGGCAUCCGACUGAGCUCUUCAGGUCGGAUGCUGGUGAACUCUAGCAAGCUCCCCUUGCCAUGGCACUCACUGCUCAGCUCGUCAUUGCGAAGAUAGACAUACGGCCGCCCAAUGACAAGGCCGACGUUCAUCUUCCCAGACUGUUUUGCCAGUUCCGCCGGUAUUGACCCGUUAAGCUGGUUGCUGUUCAGGUCCAGCCAGACCAAGCUCUGGCAGUUGCCGAGCUCAGCUGGUAUUGGCCCCGAGAAGGAAUUGUUGCUCAGCUUCAAGAUGGCCAGGUUGCUGAGCUGCCCAAGCCAAGCAGGGAUCGGACCUGACAGCUGGUUGCUCGCCAAGGAUAUCCAGUUGAGAUCCUUGCACUUGGAGAGUUCCGGCGGGAUGCCACCAGUGAGCCCGUUGUAGUCGAGGAUGAGAUGCUCGAGCUUGUCCAAACUUUCCAGUGACGCCGGAAUCUCUCCCACCAGCAAGUUCUGCCACAGAAUGAGGUCCCGGAGCUCCCCGAGCUUUCCGAGGGAUGCGGGGAGGGUGCCGUUGAUGUUGUUGAGGCUGAGGUCGAGAGAUUGGAGCCUGGUGCAGUUGGAGAUUGACUCCGGGAUGGCGCCGGAGAGGUAGUUGUUCUGGAGGUACAACAUGCGGAGGCUGGAGUUGGGGCCUUGGCAGAUGGACGAAGGGAUGGUGCCGGAGAAGGAGUUGGAGCUGAGGUCCAGCACGUCGAGCUCCGGCAGCGCUGCCAAGGAGUCCGGAAUGGUGCCGUUGAAGUGGUUGAAGGAGAGGGAGAGCGCCUUGAGCUGCUGUAGCUCGGUGAAAGCGUCGGCGGGGAGCUCGCUGGAGAAGUUGUUGUUUGACAGGUUGAGUGCGGCGAGCGAGGUGAGGGCGGCGACGUCCGGCGGGAACGGGCCGACCAGGUGGUUGCCUGAGAGGUUGAGCGUUCUCAGGCCACGGCAGUCAGCAAGAAUCCCGCCGGCUACCUCGCCGGCGAUGAGGUUGCCGGAGAGGUCGAGGUACUCCAGCCCAGAGCAGUUGUUGAACUCCGGGAGCGCAGAGAUCUUGUUCCCGGAGAGGUCCAGACGGCGGACUGCGCCGACGCCGGCGCCCACCAUCCAGCGGAGGUCGCCAUCGCCGGAGAUCUUGUUGUCGGACAGGUCGAGAGCGUCCAGCCGGGCAAAUCCGGAGGCGACAGCGCCGGCAGACCUCGGCCCACCAACCGAACAGCCGGAGAGGUUCAGGGCGCUAAGGCCGGCGCAGGCAGCGGCCAGCGCGUCGACGUCGGCGACGGAACCCCUCAGGCCGGCAUUCCCUGACAGGUCGAGCGACUGCAGCUUGGCCCCACACCUGGGCACGGCGGCCAGCGCGCCGCUGACGUUGGCGCCGCGCAGGCUGAGCGUCUCGAGGCUGCCCAGCUGCAGCAGGGUGGCCUCGACGGCCCGGAAGUCGGCAUUGAGCGGGACGGCGGCGAGCGACAGCGACGUGAGCCGACCGCCCCUGCAGCCGGCGCCAGGGAACUUGCAGGCGCCGUCGCUGGCGCUCCACCCGCGGAAGUCCGCGGCCUGGCUCUGGCUCGGCACGGCCUCCUUGAACUGCUCCAGCAGCUGAGCGUCGUCGGCGGCGACCGCCGCCACGACGGCGACGAAGAGUGCCACUACAGCGACCAGCCCCGGUGAUUCCAUGAACUAGCUAUCGCGCUACCUUAAAACCAUUAAAGAAGCGGGUCGGCGACGGGGGAGGAGCCGACCGACGAGGCGGUGGGGAGGAGGAGAUGGUGGUGAGUGGAGGUCCGGAGGGAGGGGAGGUGGGGAGUGUGGAGGGAAUGGGCUGCUAUACCUAGAGAGAGAAGCGGCAGGAAGAAAGAAGCAACAGUGCAAAAGAGAGAGAGAGGGAGAGGAGGGGAGGAGACGGGGAGCAAAUUAACAGCUGUAGGUGAGGGAAGGGAGUGGUGGUGGGGUCACGUCACAUGGCAUGUGCCCCCCCUGCCCAGCCCUGCCCCCUUGCCCCUGCGGUGUUUUGCCCUCAUCGCGAAUCGCUGCCCUAAUUAGCCCGAGUGCCGAGGGGGAUUAUAGUAUUCUAAACCACGGCGCUUAUCCGCGGGCCGCGGCGAGGUUAAUCCCGAUCUGAUCCGACGGCGGGGGCCGCCCCGAUCGGGGGCAGGCGGUGCUCUGCUCGAGGCGGGGUCACGUGCCGGCGGGCGCGGCCUCCGGGGGGGCUCGUCAAUCCGCGCGCCACUCUACACCACCCACGGGCAUGGAUGGUCGCAUGGGCAGUUUGGGGAAUUCGGGGUCGCGGUCCGAGCGUGCGGGAUCCCUGGCGGGCGUGGAGGGAGGCGGACGCGUGGGCCGCGUUGCUUCGAUGAGGGGUUUUUUGUCUUUAACGCCCGUAGCGCGAGUCUGAGCUGGUAGAUCCGAUCCGGAGUGGUGCGUGCGUGCGUGCGGUCGACGCUGCGCCGUGCCACCUUUCCGGUGUUAGCCGAGCGUGUGUUAUGAUGGCGAGGCCGUGAGAAUGGAUAAGGUCCCGUUAUACGCCGGCAGCCGAGUGUGUGUUUGUUUGAUCGGCGGCACUGCCAGCAACGCAUGACGAUUUGAAUUGUACUCCGUUUACAAAUCAGUUAAUAGCUGAAUAUUGCUCACUUUAUCCUUAAAGUUAUGUUAAAACUCUUUGUGUCUAUUGUUUAGCAACUCUUCUUUUUAUAUUUUAUGAAAAAAAAUCAUAUAUUGCAAUUUUUUAGUAGUAUGUCCUACAAGAGAUAGUUAUGUAUCUUCUAUUUUCUUAAAAAGAACUUUUGGAUUUUAUCCUCCUUUGCAUGGCUCGUGAAAAUUAAUGUGAAACCCUCUAUUUAGAAUUUAUAGCACUUCUCCUUUUUUUUCCCACUAGAGUAACAUGUAUUUAGUUGAAAUCUAAUAAUAUAAGUACUUGUUUCACCCUUUUCCAAGUAUUAGCUUUCACUUGUUGCGAAAUUUGUAUUCAUAUAUUAAGUUGAAACUCUACUGUUUAUUGCAUCCUUGAAUAAAAUUGGUUAUAGUCCCCUAAGCUACACUCUUAAUUACUACAAUGGCAUAAAUUGCCAUUCCAGCUUGAACCCUUGGCGCUCGAAACGUUAAUUUUGUUGUGGUUAAGAAUUUAUUUUGUUAGCGCUGUUUUAAAGAACAUGGAGCUCUUAGAAAUAAAGUGUCAAUAUUGAUAUGACAUAAUCCUUUAGUCGAAAAUUAUAAACUUAUUAAAACCAAAUACUUACAAAAUAUAUUAACAUGAAAUAUUGAGAUAACGUAUGCAUAUUUACUUGGUCAUUAUGGAGCAGCCACACACACCCUAAACCAACAUUUGUCCAAGUGUAUGCAUAUACUUGGUCUAUGUGGUGACACAUAGCAUUAUGCUAAAAAUAAUUUAAAUUAGGGGGAAGUGUAUAAUUUAUAUAUGUAUAUAUAUCUAUAUAAUGUAUUUUAUGACUAUUGAACUAUUUUAUAUAAUGGUUUAUAUUAGUAUUUAGACAUCAAUUUGAGGUGCAUUCGACUUUAUAUUUAGGAUCUUAUAGGUAGAUAAUAAGAUACAAAUUAAAGGUGUUCAAAAUUAUACUUCGUAAUGACACAUGUGUGUAUUUUAGAUAUUAAUUUAGGGGUUAUUUUGCAGUAUCUUUCACAAUAGUAUAGGUCAAUUAAUAUUAUAGAUGAAUAAUUUAGAUGCAAAUUUAGUAUGUCACUUUAAACUAAUUUUCACAAUGCUUAUGGAGGGUAAUUUAGAUCUAAAAUUACCUUUCACAAUGGCUGGUGUGCCUAAAUUAUAUAUAAAUUUAGAGGAUUAUUUCAAACUAUAUUUAAUAAUGGUAGACGUGGAUAAUUUAAAUAUAAGUUUAGGUGGUUAUUUAAGAUUAUCUUUCAUAAUAGCAGAGUUGAUAACUUUUUUAUAAAACAUAAUAGAUCUGAUGGUUAUUGUUGGUCGUGAUGAUUAGAGUCUAAUGAAUUAAAGGCUAUAUGUUUUCUAGUUAUUAUGAAAAAUUUUAGAAUUUAUCUUUUUUCAUUAAGCAUGUCAUAGGUGCUAACAUGAAGGCCCUAUUAUUAGUAGGAGUAAUAUUUUAUCUUUGUCUAUGUUAACAUAUACAAGUUUAUGUAGAUUCACGAUCAAGACAUAUUUCAUGCAGAAUUUAUUGAAUGUUAUUUGAUGUUGUAGAUGUUGGUUUUUUCAUAAACAUGGUCACUAGAGUAUUGUUUAAGAUAAGUGACUUAUAUUUUGCUUUCUCCAUAAAAAAAGAGUGUCGCUAUGAGUUUUGUGCAGGUCAAAUAUUCUUAAAUUUAAUUAAAUUUAUAGAAAAAUAUUAACAACAUUGAUAUCUUAGAAGAAGUUUCUUGAAAAUAUAUUUAAUGAUUAAUCUAAUGAUAUUAAUUAUGAAUUGUAAAUAAUAAUUUCUUAAUUUUAGGUUAAAGUUAAAAAUGAUUGACUUAUCAGGAAAUGAGAAUUGCACUUUUAUGGGAUGAAGGGAGUAUUAUGAAGGGAGUUGGUGGUCAUGAAAUCUAUCUCGAUAAUUAAGGUCACAAUAUAUACUGGUCUAGUUUUCCGGAUGCAUUUUAUAUAGAUGGUGUGUGUUCGGCGAGUGCACAUGUGUCCUAUGUUAUGAAAAGAAUUUUUGGUAGUAGUUUAUUUGGCUAAGUGAUAAUAUGCUGUGCUAGUGAAUUUCUCAACCUGAACAGACGUUGUUUUUUUUUUUUCAUUUCACCGGUUGCAAGUAGCAUAUCAUGUUUGUCACGUUUGUUCCUUCUUUGGUCCAUUGAAAAUUGCCUCUAGCAAGAAACAUUUAAUGGUAUGUUCGGUUCACAGGAACCAUGCCUUCAAACGAUUCCUAGCCGGAUUAUUUGUCUGUGGGCUGGAAUGAUUCCUGGAUGGAAUCUUGUCUAACUCAACAAGCUCUAAAAUAUUUAUAUGUUUUUGGAUAUGUAGCUUUACUAUACACUUACAUACAUACCAUCUCUAAAAAUAUAAGUAAAACAAUGUACCUAAAAGAUUAAAAUAUAUUAUAGUUUAAAACGGAAGAAGCAUAUGUUUUUGAGAUCACGCUUGUUCGCUUGAGCUUAUUAAACGAAUCUAUCAGUCAUUCAAUAGUGUUUUUCUCUCAUAAUAAAUCAGCCAACAGUACAUCCUGCCACGACUUAACAGCUAGGAGAAAUAGGGGUGUCUAGUUUUUCUUUCCUUGAAAAAAAUCUGGGUUUUAGUUCAUCAUUUUAUAUAAUGGAACUAAACAACAAAUAAAUUUUUUUUUGACAAAAAGUAGGUAUUCUAUAUUUAGAUUUUGGUCUCAAGAGGCCAAAAAAAGUUCAAAAAAGACUCAAGAGGCCCAAAUAUGGGCAAUAAAUUUUGUAUUUUGGAUGAAACUAAACAUAACCUUAAAAACUUUAACAUUUUGUAUUUCAUUAUUCCAAAUUAAUUGGUUUUUGACAUUUUGUAUUUUAUGGAGAACUAAACACAUCUGUAGUACUUAAAUACGGUCAUUUUGUUUGUUACGUAAUACUCCCUCCGUCCCCGAAAGAAUCAAUUCCUAAGAUCCGUGCCAGUCAAAUUUUUUAAAGUUUGACUAACUUUAUAGAAAAGAGUAACAACAUCUAUAAUAUAAAAUACACAUUAUAUGAAAAUAUAUUCUAUGAUGAAUCUAAUAAUACUAAUUUGAUACUAUAAAUCUUAGCAUUUUUUUCUAGAAAUUUGGUCAAAGUUUAAAAAGUUUGGCUUAGGACAACUCUAGAAAUUGACUCUUUCGUAGACGGAGGGAGUAGUGCUUAAAAUACACACAUUAGUCCGUCGGCAAUAACCGGAAGGGAAGAAACUCGAAAAAGCCACGGAAUGAACAAUGGUGCGCUUUUUGCUUGAGAUCGAAGGUACCACCUGCCUAGUAACCAUGGAUCACUUUUUCCCCCUAACACAAGCUGGUGGCUGCAAAUGUGAGAACUGAGAACAGAAGUCGUCAAGCCCCAUCCGACCCACUGCUAGAUCCACCAUCGAUCAAUGUCUGAAGUAAACUACCUAUAGUGGUUAGUGCACUCAUAAUACAAGACUCUAUCACAGAGUCCAAGACACUUAAUUACAUAUUAUUUAUGGUAUUUUGCUGAUGUGACAGCAUAUUUAUUGAAGAAAGAGUAAGAAAAAAUAACACUCCAAGUCUUAGGCCUUGUUUAGUUCCCAAAAAAUUUUGCAAAAUUUUUCAGAUUUCCCGUCACAUCGAAUCUUUAGACGCAUGCAUGGAGUAUUAAAUAUAGAUGAAAAUAAAAACUAAUUGCACAGUUUGGUCGAAAUUGACGAGACGAAUCUUUUGAGCUUAGUUAGUCUAUGAUUUGACAAUUUUUGUCAAAUACAAACGAAAGUGCUACAGUGUCGAUUUUGUAAAAAUUUUUGGAACGAAACAAGACCUUAUUUAGACUCUAAGUCCACAUUGUUCGAGGUAACAAAUAACUUAAGACUUUAUAAUAGAGUCUGCAUUAUGAGUGCCCUUAUGGAAUGCAAAAGUAUCUUUGGUGACGACCCGAGCUUCUUGCAGCUAUGAUAUCCAAUGAAAGUACAGGAGUACUUUUUUUUUGAGAGGAAGGAGUACUAAUUAAGAGAAGGAGGUUGGCUGUGGCCCAUGGGCCGUGGCGAAGCGAACGGGGUCGCGAUUUACGUGGACCGCACGGGGGACGAGCACCAGCACGUCCAGCUGCUGCUUCACAAGCAGCAUCAUUUGCAGCGAUCAUGGUCUAGGACUAACCGAAGAAACGCUUUGCAAAUCUCGAAAGAUUCAUCAGUCAAAAAAGGAGCUUUUGCUAGAGGCGUCGACUGGCGCGAGAGCGAUGAUGAUGAGGUUACGACGGCCACGGCCACACCCGUGCGCGCGUCUACGCCGGCCGCCGCGCCCUUUUUUUUCGUGUGCGAGGAGAUUAGACCCAUCUUUUGAGCUCUCGUCGUCUCAUUGGCCGGCCUGUCUGUCUCAGGCUCUCUCAGGACCGACGAGGAGCGCACGCUGCGGUCUGCGGCGGCCGGCCGGGCGUACACGUACCCGUGCGGCGUGGCCCGUGGCUGUGGCUCCCGCCACCCAUGCCACCCUCCAGCCCCGCCCCAGCGCUGGGGCCCUCCUCUGACAGGCUUACCCCAGCGGUUGUACGGCUCCACCCGUCAGCCACCGCGUGCGCCCGCGUACACCUGAUUGGACAAGUCGCCCCGCCCGCCCCCACGCCGUGGCUCGUGGCUGGCAGCCAGGCACGUGCGCCUGUCCUCCGGGGACCACCUCGGGAGGGGCGUCUCCAGCCGUUGGAUUUGGGAGGCGCCGGCGGCGGGCCCAGAGGGCUGUCGUCGCCGGGGUACGGCCGGAAUCUGCCGUUAGAUCUCGCGUCUCGCCGUCCUUUGCCGAUCAGGGAAAACAUGUUUGCCUUGCGCAGGAGAGGCCGGUCUGUUCCGUGCGCAGCGCACUGCGCAGGCAGUGCUAGUAGCCUACUAGUAGCGUCGGCCAGAGCCAGUCACGCGCGCCACCUGGUGGCGUUUGACCGGGUGGAUGGACCAGGCCGGGCUGAAUGAAACCACUGGUUUCAUUGCGGAAUUGAUUGGCCAACGAUACCACGCUACGCUACGUCUGCAUGUAACGGCAGCAGGGACCGGGAGCCUCUCUGUUUUGGCCUUUGGGGGACAGGAAUUUGGGCCUUGUUUAGUUCCCCAAAAAUUUUUCAAAAUUUUUCAGAUUCCCCGUCACAUCGAAUCUUUAGACGUAUGCAUAGAGUAUUAAAUAUAGAUGAAAAUAAAAACUAAUUGCACAGAUUGGUCGAAAUUGACGAGACGAAUCUUUUAAGUCUAGUUAGUCCAUAAUUGAAUAAUAUUUGUCAAAUACAAACGAAAGUGCUACUAUUCCUAUUUUGCAAAUUUUUUUGGAAGUAAACAAGGCUGGCCAACCUGGAAAACGAACGAUCGAUUCCACCUGGGCCCUUGUUGGCCCUGUUUAGAUUAGAGAUGAAAAUUUUUUGGGUGUCACAUCGGAUAUGUCGGAAGGAUGUCAUGAGAGGUUUUUAGAUACUAAUAAAAAAACAAAUUACAUAGCUCGUCAGAAAACUGCAAGAUAAAUCUAUUAAGCAUAAUUAAUCUGUCAUUAACACAUGUGGGUUACUGUAGCACUUAAGGCUAAUCAUGGAGUAACUAGGCUUAAAAGAUUCAUCUCGCGAUUUUAAACCAAACUGUGUAAUUAGUUUAUUUUUUUAUGUACAUUUAAUGUUCCAUACAUGUGUCUAAAGAUUUGAUGGGAUGGAUGAAAAAAUUUUGGGUAGGAAACUAAACAGGGCCUUAGUUUCAAAAAAAUUUGCAAAAUGGACACGGUAGCUCUUUCAUUUGUAUUUGACAAAUAUUGUCCAAUCAUGGACUAACUAGGCUCAAAAGAUUUGUCUCGUCAAUUCCGACCAAACUGUGCAAUUAGUUUUUAUUUUUGUCUAUAUUUAGUACUUAAUGCAUGUGUCUAAAGAUUCGAUGUGACAGGGAAUCUGAAAAAUUUUGCAAAAUUUUUUGGAAACUAAACAAGGCCCUGACCGGAUGUGCGUUAUACGUAGAAGUUCAUCUUUUACCUGAUGUUGAACCGUCAGACUGAAAAGAGUCCGCAGAAAAAAAGAGAAAAAUAGAAAAAGGAAAACAAAUUUAAUUAGUAGUACCAUAUAUACAUUCAGAUGCAUAUAUUUUGCAGGGGUUGCAGCCUUUAUUUCUUUCUUUUCUUUUACAAAAAGGACUUUCUACUGCACAUUCUACACACUAAUAAUGAUUUUAAGGUGAACAAACAAUUAUUUCUUUCAAGGCAUCCUCUAGUCUUGAAAAAGAAACUUAUGACACACUCUUAUUCUUCUUCUUUAACAGAGGUGCUAUUCGUGGAGCUAGUGUCCAACAAUGUCUAAAUAUUUGGUUAAUGCUUUGACUCCAUGCAUAUACGUACCUCUUGGGGCAUUUUACAAGAGACAAAGAGGCAACCACAUGACCAUUGGUCAUGGAACAUCUUAGGGUGACUAGUGACAAGUAUGAUGAGAAGGAAGGAACAGAGCAAUGCUAAAUGCCAACCUUAGGGUAACGGUGUAAACAUUAAUCUUGUCGAUGUAGUUUAAUGAGAACAAGAGGAGGGAGCAAAGGAACUAACUCGAUGACCUCACCGAUGGCCUCUGCGCACCCACCACACAUUUGUGUCGAGGAUGAGCUUCAUCUAGGUCACCAUGUCAUCGAUGUACAUGACAGUUAUUGUUGUAUGUUGGUACACGGUUAUCCUAGCCACCUAUAAAAGAACCCAACUAGAAUGGGCGGACUGAGGCCGUCAAAGGAGAGUCCAAUACAAACAGGCGUAUACUAACAACUUGAAAAGCAAACUAUCAACUACGAAGCCUUAGAAGCCAAGUUAUAUUUGUACAGUUGAGGUAGAAUCCGAGUAUAUUUUCUUUAACAAACUAGAAAACCCAUGUGUAAAAUGAUGAGGAAUUUAUCUAUAACUGUAACAUCCCAAAAAUUCACAUUCAAAAAUCACUCGCAUUAAAAAAAUUAUUUUCAAAAUACAUUUCAAAAACUAUAAAUCAUUUGAGCUCUAUAGUAUCUCCAUCUAAUUCUUUUUCCAUCCAUUCUAAUUAUCCAUCUUUAAAUAUAACCUGCACCGCAUGGCAUGAGCAUCAUAUGUCCGCUACUUAUCCCUCUUGCUCGCUCGCUCUGCCCGAUACCCGGCAACGGCGCGUGCGCCGACCCCACCACCAUCAGCGCCGCAGCGCACUCACGCCCGGCCCCCUCGCCGAGCGCACUCGCUCGCGCGCGCACCGCGGCAUGCGGGCCCCACCUCUUGCCUUUUCCCACGCCUCUUUUGCUGUACAAAAAGAUAGCAAGUACCAGCAAGCUUACAUGCGAGAAAACAUAGCAGUGCACCUACACGAAUAUGUAUCUCAUGCAUGCAUGCAGGACAAGCAUGCCACCGUCCAUUUGCAUGCACCUGCAUGCAAAGGACAUGGUGAUUAGGCACCGUCCAUUUGCACGCACCGUGCAUGCAAAUGAGACAUUGCCAUUUGCAUGAAAAUUAGGCACCGUCCACCGUCCUGUCGUCCUGUGUAGCCAUGCACUACAGUAGCAAUUCUAAUGGCACGAAGCUGAGCACCAGAGGCAUAACCUCACUCCUCUGGCUAUAAAAAGCCAGCCUCGGGUGCUCACUCUCACCACCCGAGAAACACGUUCACUCACUCACUCACUCGCUCGCUCUCACUUCGCGUAUACCGUAUACGGCCAUACGCACAAGCCGAGCUCGACUGUCGUCGCAAGACGAGGUGAGCAGCUCAUGAGCAUCUCCUUACUCUUCUCUGUCUUUCUGUAGUAUUUUUCUGUAUUUUUUCAUGUAUUUGUGUGUACCGGUUCACUGCCAAGAACUCCACGAAUAGAACCAUGACAUACAGAAGAGUUCUAAUGACCCCUGCUAAUUUCUCUCUAACCAUGCAUGUGUGGGCCAAGCAUUAACUCCAAAUAGUACAUGCAUGCAUGCAACAUGCACUACCAGCCAAACAAAUGCCCACGUGAAGCAUCCAUUCCUUAAUCAUCGUUAGCCUUUUUCGCAUGAUUAAAUUCCGGCCAUUUCACAAAUGCCACAUGCUAACUCUGAUUUUAAUAAUUCUUUUUCCUAAAUUCAUCUAAAAUCAUGAUCUACCUCCCAUAUUAAUUUCAUGAUUUUUGGAGCUCAUUUGAAUUUAUAUGAUUAUUUAUCUGUGCCUGUUGUCUGUGUCGUUCGUCACGUAUUUUAGCUGACGGAGUGAACGAGCCGGAAAACGAGAACGUUGGAGACGAGUACCGCGAGUUUGACGCCGAGGACUCGGACUGUCAGCAAGAGUUUGCUGAGGACGCCGACGGAGGCAAGUCCAACCGAUCCCCUUUGAUGCAUAUUGAUCCUAUUUUUAAACACAACUCGUAGAAGCCAUUUUAAAUAUUGCAUGUACGAUAUAUGUACGAAGUAUUUUUGCUGCUUAGUUAAAACCUGUUGAAUAGCCAUCCUUGAAUUGAUAUUACCCGGUAAUUGUCUUGUUCGAACCUAGGAACAAAUAAUAUGCUAUGACAGAAAUAUUAUUAUUUAGUAUGCUUAGGACUUGUUACUCAUCCUGGAUACUCAUCGCUAUAUUUUCUCAAAUAUAAUGAUUUUAAAAGUAAAUGGUGUGAGUGGUGAAAAUAAAUUGUGGGUAUUAUGAAAGGGUUAAUGAACAAGUUAUAGAUGUGAUUACUAUAGAGAUGGGGCGGAUGGGAUCUCUUUUGGAGAUGCCCUGGUGUUGUGGCUUAUACCUUGCGGGGUUAAGCGAGAAGAUAUCCGCCUUGUCUCGAUUAAGGACUGAGUUGAUGAUUCAUCUUGCCUAACUCAUUUAUCGUACAACCACUCGCCUUGCAUGGGAAAGACUUAGUCUAAAUCCCUCUAGUUAGUAUGGCAAUCACCUGGAGGCAGGUGUGCAACGGGACACUAAGUGAUGUAUGUGAAAUUGUGGAAAUAUAUGAAAAGAGCUUUGUGAAUUAUUGUGGUAUCAUGAGAUGUGGCCUUAGUGUUCCCGUGGUGAGCGCCAUUACUUAGCUAUGGAGGGUAAUGACUUUGAUGGAUCUGUGCUUGCACGACGGUGUAAGUUAUGGUAUCCUACUUGUGGGAAAAGUGUACAACCUCUGCAGAGUGUAAAUCUAUCUGGAUAGCCGUGUCCGCGGUCUCGGACGGGUUAUGGUUUGGUUUCAACAACUAGAUGGGAUGGUAUGAGUGAAAACAUGUGAGAGAGUGUGAUUUUGGAAAUAAAUGGUUGACUGCCAUGGUGUUGUGGGAACAAGGGUUCAACAACACUUAAAAUUGUGAUCAAACCCCCAUUUUUAGAAAUACUAUCAUAUGUGGAAAAAGAGGUCUUUUACAACAGUAUUUGUGAAAUGAAACCUUGCAUGUGUAAAAAGAUAGCUUUAUGCAAAUAAAACUAAGCCUCAUCCUUGAUUUAUCCAUAUGCAUAUAUACUGUUAUCCCCUUCCGUAGGGUAAAGUUGGAUUUGCUGAGUACUUUGUACUCACCCUUGCUUUAUUAAACAGAGGAAGAUCCGGACUUCGAUUCCGAAGUGGCGUUCGAGUAAGGUCGUGUCUGCACCCAACUAAGCCUGUGGCAUUGGGACUCGUCAGAUGUUCGAUGGCGAUAUCGUUUGUUUCUGGGUCCUUUGGACCUGUGUUGUAUUUUGGUGUCUUAUUAUUAUAGCGUGCCUUCCUUGUCCACGCUUUCCAAGACUACUGCGCUGAAACUUAUCUGAUGUAAUAAAUGUGUUACUAGCCUCGUGGGACUAGUAUUGUAUCACAUUUGAGUUCCUGGUUUACCAGGGGCGCUUCAAUAACCCUACCAUCAAAUUAUAUAUAAGGUGGGUCAUGAAGCCCCUCAUCAGUGGCUCAUCAUAUGUAGCUAGAUCUCUAGACAAACAUCAAUAGCACCCCUUAAACCUCGAGCAUAUAGAUUAAGAGAUAAAUUCUCUACUAGAUGUAUGGUACCUUGUACCUGAACUUGUAUACAUUUACAUUUCAUGUGCUAGCCCUUUGUCUCCUUGUGUACAAAACACUGAUCUACGUUGUUAAGGGUAAAAUCUACAACACCUGGUAUUUAUACAUUAAGACUUGGCUUUCUAUGCACUAACCCACCAAGUCCUCCCUUUGAUAUAGUGAGACGAGGGAGAGGGAUCGAUAGAAAGAGAAGACCGGAUGUGGUAGCCGGGGAAGAGAAGAUAGGGUGCAACACCCUGCAAAAAGGAGGUGUCAAUGUGUGGAGAGAGAGAGAGAGAGAGAGAGAGAGAGAGAGUGAGUGACAUGGUUUUGAGAUGGGAUCAAGGGAGAGAGAGCAUAGGUGUCAGUGUUUCUUUACGAAGAGAAUAAAUUAAUUAGUUUGAUGGACUGUUUGUUUAUGGUUCGGCUGUGUUACUUUAGAAGUGGGUUUGUUAUUAGAUCACCAGAGUUUUGAAACAACAUUGUUGGGGAAGAUACUUGUACACCGCCUCUGCAAAUGAAAGAGGAUGCAUCUAUAAAUGUACUUUGUAGUUGUGUAUUUUUCUCAUAGCGUAUGUAAAUGAAACUAUGAAAGUUAGCCUAACUUCAUAAAGAAUAUAAAUUUGUGGAGAGUACUUUAUAUGUUCUAUAAUAAAAAUUAUUCAAAUUGAAUUAUUCGUUAUUGUGAGGGCAGCUGCAACAAUAAGAGUUACUACUAGCCUAUGUCAACAUGCCAAUAGUGUUAACUUUAGGAAUGGUCUUUAGUUUGAUUGGAUCCACAUGACACUCUAACGUGAUCUCAUAAUGUGUGUAAGAGGAGCUAGCUUUCUCUCCUUUUUGUUAAAAUAUAUAAAAAAAUACUUAUACCUAACUCAAAAGUCGUUUGGGGAAGUUUUUGUGGGCAACAAAUAAUACUAUGUACGAGACAGAAGGAGUGUACAUAGAAAUGUACACAUAUGUCAUACACCCUUUAUACCCGUAAAGAAAGUUGUUUUGGAUAAAGUUUGAGAUCAAAUAUUUAGAAUAUAAAUCAUAAAUAACUUUUAAAUUGUUUAGUUUGAAAAACUUGAAAAUCAUAUAAAUAUAUUUGUCUUGAAAAAUAUUUUUAUAAAGAUAUACAUAUAUAUUUUUUGAUAAAUAUUAUUAUAAAAAUAAGAAGUUAAAAUUAGGUUUAGGAGACUUGCAUUCUGCUAAACCACUAUACGGCAAUAAAUUCUCGCUCCGUCUACGUACAGAGAGACUUGCACGCGGGAGUAAAUACGACGGCCGGUCCGGGGCUCCGGGGCUCGGACUGGGCCGGUGUUUCCCCCGCUGCCGCACGUGAGAGGCGGAUAGGGAAACGGGACGGGGGCAAUAAUGAGGCGGGCGCGUACACGCAUGGAACCGUGGGGCUUCCCCCCUCCCCCGUUGCACUUUGAAUGCCAUGAUGGCGAGACCCGGGGUGGGGCUGAUCCACGGAUCUCUUCGCUCUCUCUCUCGCGCGCGUGUGUGACCACUGACCACACUCGGUCCACUGGCUCCCGGACUCGAGUUGUGGUUUGGAUUGGGUUGGUUCAUUGGUUGGAUGGAUCGGAUGGUUGUGCCGUCCCCUGCUGCCCCCCCGUUACGGUACGGUUCCGCUUUUUUGGGCAGCGAAUCACGCAUCGCGGUUCCCGCCCGUGAUUAUUACUCUCCGGCGCCAGUCUCCCUCGCUGAUCUUAUCUUAUCGUUGUUAUUAUUAUUAAUUAAUAAAAUCCUACUGCUACUACUAGGCACACUGUUCCUGUGGGCUGGGGACCUGAGAAUUGAGAAUCGCUCUACGUGGGCCGUGGAGGAGGGAUCGAUGGGCAUGUGGGCUGCCAUCUGCAGGCUGGGACUUUCUGGCUUUAAUUUGGCAUGGGCUCAGCCAGCGGACGCUGGCCACGGAUUUUGUUCGUUUCCGAUAAAAAAAAAGUGUACUAGUUUGAAUUUUCAGUCUGGGACAAGUAAUUUGAUUGUUUGACCCGCCUAACGACUCGACCAAGAGCGAACGAGCCGUGGACUUGUGUCGAGCAAAUUAGACCAGAAUUCUUUUGCUACUGUACAGAUCGUUUAUGGAAUACUAAUAAAUAAAGAUAUGGGUGUCCUUAAGGAAAGGAAAUCAAGGAGUAGUACUAGACUGGAAUAUAGAGAAAUGAAAAGGGUAGUAAGACACAUAACAUGUUUAUUAUCUGGUAGAUCGUCUGACCAAGCUACUAGCACUAGGGAUUCAUGAAACGGAACCAACUGUUCAGCGUGUGGGCAGCAGCAAUGCAGAGUUGCAGACGUUUCAUUUCCUUGCUACCACUACUCUAGAAAUUUACUCCGUAUUUUAACUUGGGAUGGAGGGCAUAUUAUUUUUGACACCGCAGCGUAGCAUCCAGUUGACUUGCCGAUUGGCAGUCCAGAUCACGAGAAACCACCAAAGUACUGUUCGAUGAUUUAUUAUAAGAGAAAAAACACUGCUGAAUUAUUGAAAGAUUCGGCAGAUAAAUUUAAACGAACAAACUCAUUGUUUAUAUAGGAUGGGUACAACAAUUCUAACAGAUUUGAUGUGGCCAAAUUUUAUAAAUUAAAAAUAACAAAAUCAAGAUAUGAUUUGGCCAGAUUAAUCUAUAAAUAUAACAGGUUUUACAUGAUACGACCAAAUCAUAUCUUUGAUUGUUUUCUAACAUGAGAGAUUACAUCCAUCACAUUAGACAGCGUGCGUCAUUUGAAUAUGCAAUAUACUACGCACACCAACCUCGCAACAUCGAAAAACACCGAUUCAAAUUUGGCUGGUGCCGUCGUGCCGACCCUGAUAUGGACGCACUCAAUGCUCGGGCCGUCCGGCACAUCCCCGCCGUUGGUGCGCCCGCCUCCGCAAAUCUUGCGGCGCGGAAACGGGUGCAGGGUGGCACACCAAGAAACUACAACGUGACCGGAACCGGACACGAUAGUCAGAAGAGGCUGGCGAGCCAAAGUCAGAUCGCCGCACCUCGCCCUCGCCCCCCCCCCCCCCCCCCCCCCCCUCUAUAUAAACCGACGACGCGCGUGUGCCGGCCGCUGCAAUCGAUCGAAAUCGGCAACCAAAACACCCAAGUCGAAGAAGCCGGUCGCGUUACGUGGCGCGCUGGUUGCUGCAGCUGCCUGCAGCCGUUUCUGUCUAGCUACUUCGCGACGGGCAACACCGCCAUGAGGCCACGAGCUCUUGCUCUCGUCUCGUUCCUGGCGGCCGCGCUGCUGUGCCUGUGCGCGGCGGCGGUUGUGGCGGCUGCCUCGCCCGUGUCGGUCGCCGGAAAGCUCGCCGUGGAAGGUCAGUGUGCAUCCGGCUUUACCGCACAAUCAACCAGUAGUGUUUAAUUAAAAGGCUUAAUCGUUUGUUUAAUUAAAUCUGUGUGCCGCGGUUGUGCUUGUUGAAGACUUGUUGGAGUACUGGUCGACCUAGUGGAUUUUGGUGUGUGAUUUUUUUUUUCUUUUUCAGGAAUGGGAAUGGCGCUCGAGCAAGGGAUAGACCACUUGCUCGUUCUCGCAGCGGUCUUCGUCAUGUGCCUCUUCCGCUGAUCGUGAACGGUGUCCGGCGCUGAUUGAUUUGACCAGUUCGUGUAUUCUUUGAUUAUGUAGAGAGUUUGCCGGCGCUGUACAAAUGCUAAUAAUAAUGUCGCAAAAUAAGGUGAUCGCCGAAUAUGUGAUCAUCCCUUAAGAUUCAACAAUGGACUUGAAAUAAAACAGUUUACCACAGACGUCGUGCUCGCUGAUCUUUAUACUCUCAUCCACGCCUUCGCACGGUUGCACGAUUGACCUGGAGCAUUCAUUAGUCAUAGCUGGGCUAGGCUCUUAUGGCCUGUAUACCACGCAUGAGAAUGUAUUCGGGCCGAAAAUAUCUGGGCCAAGUAAACACAGUUUCAAUCAGCUUGACUAUCAGCGGCACGUGGGUUGAAGCACAAUUUUUUCUAUCUUUUUAUUUAUUCAUUAUUGAAAAUAAUAAUCAAAAUAAUAAAUUCGGUAACAACAACCGCACGGUACCAUGUCGAGGGUACCGACUACUAAAUUCACGCAACAUGAAGAACUACUCGGCAACAUAAGUAAGGGUCGAGCAUUAACUAGACACCAAAUAAGGUGCACGAAGAAAGCAACCGCCGCCGCCGCCUUGGCUCUCCGCGGUGCCACCGUGGUCUCCUUCUUCUCUCCCAAUUGUUAUUGUGUACGUGGCUCGAGGAGCUAGGACCCGACCUCUUCAUAGAUUUAGGUUUUCUUAGUAUUAGAUUUUUCUAGGGUUUGGUUUCUAGCGAGGUGGUGGCAGCAACGAUGUUUUGGAAUUAGGUCUCUUGCUAUCUCGGUGGCGUUCGAUCUAGCGCCGACGAUGGGCCAAUGAUAGUUUGAUUUGUCGGAUAUGUUUUUUAUUUUUAGAUCUUGGCAGUUAGUGUGUUCAUCAUUGGAACCAAUUGAUUGGUUUUUGAUGUGGCGAUUUUGGCCUCUUCUUUGUUCUACAAUAAGGUCGGACAUCUCUAAAACUUUAUUCUGGCGAUAAAGGAUAAUAAGUCCGUGUUCAUUAGAGGGUUUCUCUAACCAAUGUUCUUUUAGGCCCUAUUCGUUUGUCUCCUUUCUGGACCGUUUUUGGUAAGAACUAAUCCGACGUUGUUUAAACUAUUCAAGGAAACUCGGCUAGGAAUCAUUUCCAACCCCAACCGAAUGAGGCCUUAGUGGAUAUUAGAUCUCGUUGCGAGUGUGAUAGAAUCUAGAUGGCUAGAGUGGGAUGAAUGAUCUAUAAAAUUUUCUUACUAACUCAUAAUUAACUAGAUCAAGUUGAUUAGUACAAGAUAUGACACUAAUAGCAGCUACUUGCUCUAGCUCUAUUUCACACAACGCAAACCUCCUACACAAGUCUAUUAGCUUAGUCUCUAGGUUGAUUUUGCACAAACAAGCAAGCUACUACUACAAGCUAGAGAGCUACAACUAACAAAAGCUACUAACAAGAGCAACUAAAAGCUAUUUACAACUGCAACAAAAGCACGAAAACUACACAUGCUAUGCAAACAACUACCACACUAACAAGGUAGCUAUGAAUGUUAUUCUAAGAAUGAUAUUGAUCAGAUCAACACAAAGCAAAGAGAUGAUCACCAAGAUACAUCCUCGAGGUUUCGGUUGCUUGCCAGCAUCUUACGUCCUUGUUGAGACGAGUCCCACUUGUUUUCACGAGCUAAUUGGCCUCACACCUCAAGGCCUCACACCGGUGCCGCAAGAACCAGACCAUAAGUAAACUCACGGAAGAUGUCGUUAGGAAUAGAAAAUCAAAUGAAAAGAGUAGUAGGACGUAACAUGUUUAUUACCCGGUAACAGACUUUCCAAGCUAUCAGUACUAGGGAUCAUGGAACGGAACCAGUUGUUUCAGCUUGUGGACAGCAGCGAUCUAGAAAUUAAUAUAUUUUGAGAUGGAGGGAAAAUUAUUUUGGCACGGCGCAACUCACGGGGAACCUGUGGCAUGGACGUGCCCCAGCAUGGCAUCCAGUUGACUUUGCCGAUUGGCAGUGCAGCUUGUGAGAAACCAGCAAAGUUUAGGAGGUGUUCACACCUCUCCUAGGAAGCCGCAACUUUGUUUAUAUAGGAUAGAAACGACCCAAUCGUGGCUUAAGCAACAAUCAAGAUAUAUUUGAUUUGGCCAGAUUAUAACAGAUUUGAUACAACACAUUCCAUAUACUCCCCCCAUAUAUCAUUUUUUCCUAAAUAUUUUUAUAAAAAUAAGAAGUAAAAGUUUUGUUUUAGAGAAUGUGUCACUGUCCUAAAUGACAUUAUAUUUUAAUGAAAAUAUUUUUCAAGACAAAUCUAUUUAUAUAUUUUUCACAUUUGCAAACUGAACAAUCUAAAAAUUAUCGGUGAUUUAUAUUUUCAAUGUUUAACUCAAAACAUAUUCAUAACGACAUUUAAAUUCUAUACGAAAGGAGUACAUUGAUACGGCCAAAUCAUAUCUUUGAUGGUUUCCUAACACGAGUGAUUACAUUGAUCAUAUUUCUAACACAGCUCAGACAGCAUGCGUUAUUUCAAUAUACAACGUACUCCAACGUGCCGACCCUGAUGGACACACUCAAAACUCGGGCAGUCCUGUCAGAUUGCCGUCCCUCUACAUAAACCGACGCGCGUGUGCAGGCAGGCCGCUGCAUCGAUCGGCAACCAAAACAUCGAAGAACAUCGCGCGUUUCUGGCUAUAUUUCGCGACGAGCAACACCGCGCGCCAUGAGGCCACAAGCCCUUGCUCUCGUCUCCUUCCUGGCCGCCGCGCUGCUGUGCCUGGGCGCCGCGGCCGCGUCGCCCAUCAUGUCGGUCGCCGGCAAGUUCGCCGUGGAAGGUCAGUGUGCAUCCGCGCGCUUUUACCGUGCAUAUCAAUCAGAAGUGUCUAAAUGACAGGCUUAAUCGUUUGUUUAACCUGUGUGCCGCGGUUAUGCUAGUUGAAGACCUGUUGGAGUACUGAUCGACCUAGUGGAUUUUGGUGUGUGAUGUUUUUUUUUUCUCUCCUUUUUUUUUUCAGGAAUGGGAAUGGCCCUCGACCAAGGGAUAGACCACUUCCUCGUCCUCGCAGCGGUCUUCGUCAUGUGCCUCUUCCGCUGAUUGUCCAGCAACGAACGGUGUCUGCCGCUUAUUGUUGAUUUCAUCAGCUCGUGUAUUCUUUGUUGAUUAUGUAGAGAGAGUUUGCCGGCGCUGUGCAAAUGCUAAUAAUGUCACAAAAUAAGGUGAUCGCCGAAUAUGUGAUCAUCCCUUGGCAUUCCACAAUCAAGGACUUUAAAACUACUUAUCACACACGUCGUGCUCGAUCUAGCCAUUCCCGUGUUUUCCCCCCAGCUCUUAGCAAUUUCUGUGCAAACUGCAAAGUGCAUAUUAGUAUAUAAUAGUACUAGUCGGCCAUCCGCGCUUCGCUGCGGUACUUUGAUAGAUAGUCACAGGGGUGUCAUAGGGAUGAGUACUGAAGAAAAUGGUAGGGAUAUUUUCCGACCAUAUUCGAGAUCAAGUUCGUUUAGAGGGGUUCAGAUGUGUCCGUAUUCGAGUCCGAAUAUUCAACAUUCGAUACCGUAUCCGUAUCCGAAUACUUAAAUCGUAUAUUUAUGAUGUCGACAUCCAAUUGUAUCUUAUCCGACAUGAUUGACAUUAUCCGUAUUCGAAUCCGAAUCCGACCAUAAAUAUGAACAAAUUUGAUAUUAGUGAUAUCCGUCCAUAUCCGAUCCAUUUUCAUCCCUAAUCUUGAGUAAGGGAACACAAAACGACAAAAUCAUAGACUUCUCGCGACUGAAAGUAUUGUUUGCUGAUUUAUUAUAAGAAAAAAAUACUAUUGAAUGGCUAGCAGAUUCAAUAAAUAAGCUCAAGCGAAAAUACUCAUAGACACGACAUCUCCUAUGUAAAGUUCUCCAUUCAAAAUAUUUAGCAAAAGACAUGACAUCUCCUAUGUAUUGUCUCUAGUAUGCCAUUUACUCUGGAGUCUUAGGCAUCCCAUAACAUUAUUAAUUUAGCAGAUAACCUAGGUUCCCAGGAUUGUAGUCGAGAAAAAAAUCGAGAAGGACGAAUCGAAAACAAAUAGGAAAGAAAAGGACAAAAAUGCUAGAGUGUAACAGUAGCUGAGGUGUCGUGGUCCUCUUGAUUGUGUGUAGCUGUAUAAGGGAAGCAGAUGCCAUAGUGGAAGUUGUGGGAGAGGAGAGGAAAGGGAGAGAGAGGAACUGGAGUUUCUGGAAGCAUGGAUACGUGUAUAGUCGAAGAUGAGGCUAUAGAUCGGAGAGUGCUGGUAGCUGCACCGUUCUUGGAAUAGUGUUUUGUGAGGGGCGACUAUUCAUCUACAAUGUUAUGUGAGGGGACAUCAGGUAUACAAGAUUAAGAGUAUAUGUUAGAUUCAGUGGGCUUUAUACUCUCUUGAAUGCCUCGCACCGUUGCACGAUUAACUUGGAGCAUUCAUAGUCAUAGCUAGGCUAGACUCUUGUGGCCUGUACCUCGUAUGUGAAAGUAUUUGGCCCAAGGCCCUCUAAGAAAAGAAAAUAUCUAGGCCAGACAAACACUAUUUCAACCAGCCCAACAAUCAGCAGCACGUGGAUUAAAGCACAUUUUUUCUAUGUUUAUUUAUUUAUUUAUUUAUUUAUUAACAACCACUCGUCACCCUUGCUAGGGCCAAGUGGCGACUACUGAGUUCAUGCCUGAUAAAGAACUACUCGACACAUAAGGCCUUACUAUUUGACUAUGCACCAAACAAGUGUCACACCCUGGCUUUUAAAAUAAGACCAGAGUCGUCAUAUGUGUGCCCAAGAAGUCCACACAUAACAGUGGCUCAACACUUAACAGUGGCUCUAGGGAGAUUGCUUUCCUUUUCUUGUUACCUUCAGUUUGUUGAUCCUAGGGUACCUCUACCUUUCCUUCGCUUGACUUGUUCUCAAUACAAGGCAAACCAUAAUGUCUACAACAGUGACACGGCUCUUGAAUCCCAAGUGCCUCAUUAAUACCAUAUUUCAUAGCUUUCAUGUUCCUCCAGGCUUCUAUUACUUGUCUCUUCAUUGCUCCUUCCUGAGUUUUGGUCAUGGUCUUCUCUGAAGGUAGCUGAGAAUCUUUCUGUGGUUCUACUCCACUUAGUACUUGAUCCUGUGUAAACAAGGGCUUCUCCUUGUUUACUGGGGACAAGGGUAGCAUAGUUGGGUCUUCCUGACAUUUGAUGUAAGUUUCUUCAAUGUCACCUUGGAGAACUAAGGCUUGUACUGUCAAAGAUUUUGGAGUCUAGCCAUCUGAUUAGCUGCCAUUUCUAGGAUUUGGGAUUGCCAAGCUAUCAUCUCUUCACUGCUCAAUUGUGUUGCAGAAGUCAUUUGUUGAUUCUGAUGACGGGUAUUAAUUCCUUUGACGUCAUCACUGGUGUCGACCAUCUGACAUUGGGCAAUAGUAAAAUGAGCUAGAGUAGUAUGGACAAAGAGUAGGAUAUGGAGUGAGAGAAAAUAGGUGGAGAGGAUCAAAAUUGACAAUAGAUGGAUAGGAUAAGAGAGAUCACUACCCCACUUAGCAAAGAUCGAGCUAACCCUCAAACAACUUCUUCUAGGCCUCCUUCAAAACACUAGAACAAAGACACCACACAAACAACAAACCAAGCAAAACAAGCACGCAUCACAUCAACGAUACUACACGUGCUUCUUCAACAGUGGUGGUCAUCGUAAAAGGUAAGUCUGAGAUGAUAAAGGGCUAUCAAAUUUAGAAAUAAAGCAAGUUUUGAAAACUUAAGUAAACAACUAAACAAAAACCAAUAAGAUAAAUAGAAAUAGCUCAAAGGCUAUUCAAGGAGGGGAUACAAAAUGACAAGGGGGAGGAAAAAGUCAGAAUCAAGGGUCAAGGUAUAAGAAAAUAGUUUUAUAGCAAAAUAAGCUUUAGAAAUCGACCAGUGCUAUCUAGGCAUACGUCAUACAGUCAACAUUGCUUUGAUACCAUUCCUGUCACACCCUGGCUUUUAAAAUAAGACCAGAGUCGUCAUAUGUGUGCCCAGGAAGUCCACACAUAUAACAAAAGAAUAGAAUUAUCAGAAUCAAUGUUAUAUAUAGCGGAAAACAUAUUUAUAAUAACACUUACAAAACAUCAGAGUACGCGGAAACAGUAGCUAGAACUUCUUAGGCUCCAUUCUUCUCAGGGACAGUUGACUGGGGGCUCCGUACGCCAAGCACUUCUCAUAAGCUUUUAGAAAACUCCAUGACAUAUUUAUCCUUCUUCUGAGCAGCACUUUACUACACACUAGGGGUGUGGGGGAAAAUAGCAAGGGUGAGUUCAUGUCGAACUCAGCAAGCACAGACGGAAAGUAAUGACAUGCAAGGCUUAAAACAAGGUAAAGCUGACUUGGUUUGACUGCAGUAGCAUUUUAGUUGAUCACUUUUAAUUAUGACUAUUAUUAGAACAACCUAUUACUAAUUAUGAGUAGCAUAAACCCAACCCUUAAUUAGUGUAAGUAGUAAUUAGCAUCUUUUUAAAUGACUAUCCUAAUAUUUAUAGUAGUCCAGGGAUUAACCCCAAUUAUUAACACAGGAUAGCAAUCCUGCCAACACGGAAUAGCCAUUCCGCCAAAACACGAGGUAGCAACCUCGCCAAGUUCCAUCUUCGAGUAACCAGUGAAUCGAAUUUGCUCAUCAAGUGAGGGUCUGGGCCGCUCGUGACCGUGAGCACGACUGAUAUAUCAGUUUUACACUCUGCAGAGGUGUGCACGUUCACUCCAAGUCGUGAUUUCCAUUUGCCCGGGGUCAUGACUCCCCAAAACACUGCCAAGGUGAGCAGGCAGGGUCUCACUACGAGACCUUUCACAGGGUUCAACUAAUAGGAUGCCACUCGUAAGUUUUCGCCGGGGCGCUCGACAGUCGAUACCCAUAGCCAUGGCGUACCGAGCAGCCGCUAACUUAAUAUUCAUUACCCAAGUUACUUCCUCACGCCUACCCGGAAAGUAACACCCUACUAGUGGAGGUCCUGCUAAUUAGUCAAGCCAGAGCCAUAUAGCUUGGAGCUGCACUGUAAGUCCCAGAGGGCCGCUCCCUGACUAAGUCCUUACGGAGAGCAGAGACGGGUACGCCCGGCAAACCGGACCACCAACAGUACCCGCUCCCCCUGUCACCACCAUCAUCACGAUGCUCGUAAGCAUCCAACAUCGCCAUCACCGCAGUGACCAAAGGUUCAGCACAGUUUAAGCAUCAAGUUAAGUAGAGAGUAAUUCUUGUUUAAGCAUGUGUAUAAGAUGAGUAGAGCAACUAAGCAAACCUAAUAUAGCCUAGACUACCCAUAUACAUAACCCCAGGUGAACAAGGAAUGGUAAGUAAAACUAGUCAUGUCCUUAGGGUUUGCAUUCAUUGGACACAUGCAUGUAAAGUAAAUGACAUUAAUGAGUAGGUUCAAAAUGAUCAAACGGUGUCUGCACUUGCCUUAAUUUCCAGUGUAUAUCUACUCAGAAUUCUUUAGCUUCUUCCUUCUUAUCUCGAACUUCCGCUUCGAUCGUCGGUCCUUAGCUCCUGGUCUUCAUUGUUGACGAACCAUGCUUCUUCUACUCGAAGCAAACAAGCAACACAAACAGACAAACAACAAUCACAACUAAGAACAAGCAUCAAUCAAAAGAAAAGCUUAGAAAGAGCGCACUAAACGACACGGCUUGUUGUUACGAUCGAGACAACGCGAGACCGAUUGAGAACGGAGCUAUCGUUAAAUGGACACGACUUUCGAGGUUCGAAGUGUAACGAAGAAGGCGACUAUUGAGGCAUACAACUUAACGAAGAAGACAAACUACACGCUCGUUGUAUUUUAUUUGAUGAAAAGAGAUGGUGGAUACAUAGUUGAGUAACCACUUUAUAAAGAAUGGUAAAAUUCAUGAUUAAAUUUUAGUCAUAAAACAUUUAACAUUAUUUAUAUCACUUUAUUAUUUAUAGUUAGAAAAUAAGGAAUUGGUAACAUAAGUUAAACAAGGCAUUUAUGGACUAAGAUUAGAUUAAGUAGAUCACAACUAAAAAGGCAUUUAUGUUGGUAUUAAUAACAUUAAUAUUUGUUUAUGAAAAACCAAAGUUAUAAACAUAAAUUGUUUUUAUAGAUUAAAAGGGCAUUUAGUUAGACAUUAAUCAUUUUAUAUUCAUGGUGAAGAAUGUAAAGUACCAAACAUGGAAAAAAGUCAUGGCUAACGCGUAGUUUACGUCGAUACAAAACUAACGCGACAAGAACGGGCUCAAUCGGAAUUAAAACGCGGAUUCUAUGGCCAAAACUAGGUUAGUGGCAAAACUGUGAUAAAGCAGAACUAUUUUUCGUAUUUUAAAUAAUUAAUAACUGAAUUUUAAAGGAAUUUUGGACUAAAUAAAUAAAUACUAACGACGCCAGGGUUCCAACUGUUAAAAACAGGGCCUAAACCUAAUUAGUUUUGAACGGUUGUGGACUGCGGGUCUAUUUCCAAAAUCUGCAGGGUCUUUUUGCAAAAAAGCCAAGGUCAACGUGGGCGGUCGGCUUGACUGGCCACGUGGCGCUGCGGCACUGGUUGGGUCCACGGCGCGUGCUGUGGACCGAGGUGGGGGCGCUGGGUCCACCGGUCCACCGUGGACCGGGGGGGCUGGGCGGGAUCGCGCGCGACAGCGGCGUGGUCCGCGGCGGCGGCGCCAUGGCCGCGGUGCCCUGGCUCGCCGUGGCGGCGCUACGGGGCUCGGGGAAUCGCGCAGAGGGCACCGGCGUGAUGCGCACGUCGAGGCGAUCUCGAUGCGCGUGUUGGCUACGUGAGAGAGAAGCCGGGGAGGACGGGCCGCGGGGAGGGGCGGUUCGGCGGCGGCGGUGGAACUACGGCGAGCUCGUUCGCGCGGCAGAGAGGGGGAGGGAGGGAGAGAAAGGCACCGGCGCGAUCCUCACCUCGUUGCGAAGCUCGGCAAGUGUUCUCGUUGUCGCGGACCCGCGGACUCGUGAGAACGACGGUGGCGCGGAGCUCCACUCGACGGCGGCUGCAAUGGCGGCGGCGCGGCGUGGCUAGGGCUCGGGAGAUGCAGCUAGGGUUCCCAAAGGGGCGCGGGGUGCAGCCGAUGGUCUUUAAAUAGGCUAGGGCGGCUCGGCGAUCCUCGCAACGCGCGCAGCGCAGACGUCGGAGCCGGUGGUUGCGGCUGUUUCCGAAACAGUCGGGGGUUAGGGAUGACAGGUGGGUCCCACUCGCGGGGCCCACCUGUCAGCGGGCGGGUGCGGGGUAUCGGAGGCAGGCGCGUGGGGGCUGGGCCGCGGCCUGGCUGGUGCGCGGGCGAGCUGGCGGCACACGCGGCAAGAGAGAGGGGGGGGGAAAGGAGUUGGGCCGGGGAAGAAGGGGACGGCCCAGAGAGAAAGAAAACCCUUUUUUUUUAUAUAAACAUGAUUUCUAAACUAUUUUACUAAACCAAAUUUCAAAACCCUUUUUGAAUUCCUAAUUUGAGAUUAUUUAGGAGCUUGUUUUCCUUACUACUUUUGGAAACAAAGCAUAUCUUGUUAAAAACUCAUUUUUAAAUUAUUUUUCAACUCAAUUAUAAAUUAGUUUUCAAAUAUGACUUUUGGAGUUUUAUUUUUUCGAAAACCGGACCUAAACGUGCUCGCUAGAAAUUUUGAAAUUCAUUUUUCUGAGACAAGCUAAACAAGGCUAGGGCACAAAGCACACAACAUCAAAAAAAACACUCAUCACUUAACUUUAUGAAAGUUUAAAAUUUCACAUUUUUUUCUCAUUUUAUAAUAACAAUAAUUAAUAAAAAAUCUUGUAAUAUUUUAGAAAAAUUUUAAAUCCUUAUUUAAUUUAUUGUUUUCUAAUAACAAUCCAAAAUUAAAAAUUUUGAAGUGUUAUAACAAGGCGCAUGAAAAAAAAAAGCACCCGCCACCGUCUUGGCUCUCCACCGUGCCCUAGCUCGGUGCCCUUCCUCUCUUAUAACCACGAGCCGUCAAUGGCUAGAGGAGCGGAGACGCGAUCUCUUUAUAGACUUAGGUUUUGUUUGUAUUAUUUUUUUCAAGGUUUGGUUACUAGUGUCAUCAAUGAGGUGGUGGUUUGGUAUAACGUCUCUCUAGUUGUCUCUCCCUACCUCGAUGAUCGACGUUUGAUCUAGCGUUGACGAUACACCUUCUCUUAAGUUCUUGUCAGUUGAUGUGUUCAUCAUUGGAAGCAAUUGGUUGGUUUUCGAUGCAGUGAUUUCGACCUCUUCUUUAGACCUGUUCUACAACAAUCUCCAAAACUCUGUUCUGACAAUGAAGAAUAAUAAAUCUACGUCCCUUGGAGAGUUCUUUUAGCCGAUGUUCUUUUAGUGGAUAUUAGAUCUCGUUGCUAGUAGCAAGUAGCGGUCUUCGAACUCUUGUUUGGCAUAAGUCUUUUAGGAGUCUUUUUUCUCCCCUGUCCAUGGCGAACGCAGAUGUGCCCACCUUGGCCUCACGAUGCCAUGAAGAUGCUAGCAAGGACAAGCACCAGUUAAGGGUGGGAUGCUAUCGGCGAUGUUCUGUCGUUUGCAGUGGCGCCACCGAGACUCGCCCCUGAACAGACCUUCCUCAGGACAUGUCUGCAUCACGGUUAGACUCACCUUGGCGCGACGACAGCCUUGGCCUCAACGGCGAGCAUGAAUGGCUAGCGUGAGUGGCGACGGCCUUGGCCUCACGUGCCCGAGUGACGGUGCAGGAGGUGGUGCAGGCACGCGUGAGAACAGAUGCGGUGGUGAUGAAUGGGUGAGAGACGGAAGGUGAGAACGACGAAAAUGCCUCGGAAGUAACCAAAGGCAACCUCUUUGCACUCGGUCGAGAUGGCUUGUGAGAAAACCAACUCUACUUUCAAUUCUAUGUGGCCUGACCCAAUAUGCUUUAGAUCCCAUGCGGGGUAGACCCCAAAGGUGGAUUAGAUGCACAUGAGGAUGUUUGGUUAAUGGUCAUAGUCUACCACAACUAACUUUAGGCAAUCCACAAAAAAUGUGGCUAGUAAAUUGUUUGCCACAUUUUGCUAUGUCUAAAUGAAUUUUGUCACAUUUUUUAACUCUAUGACAUAUAGAGCUCAAAAGAAUCAUGUCUAAACUUAGUUGUCAACCAAGCACUUGCUAACUUGAUUAAACUUGUCUAAGUUAAAGUGUGGCUAACUGUAACUAGCAACCAAACAACCCCUAAACAAUAGAGUUAUAACCCAGGAGUGCAAGAUGGAGGGAGUACAUACAUGCCAGUGCAGCCCGCAGGGCGUUCAUGAAUCAUGACUAGAACACGGCGAUAAUGUUUGUUUGUAACAAUAAUUUAGCUAUUUUAGCGAUCCUAAUCGUAUCGUUAGAGCAACUCCAGCCCAUCUCCUAAACAAGUCCCUAUUCUAAAUCUAGAGGGACUUGAUCAAAAAAAUCAACUCCAACCCACCUCCUACUUGGGCUCCCAUUUUCCAUACCCUUCCAAAUUAUAGUUUCAGCCCCUCACAUCUAGAACCCCCUAUCCAAUGGAUCCCACCCAUUUUCCUCUCCUUACCUAUAAAUUAAGACAAGAAUAUGUGAAAUAAGGACUUAGUCUGUUUUUUUUUUCAUUGGAGUUGGGUCUUAAUUUGAGUCCCUACUUUUUUUAUCAUAGCUUGUAAAUAAAAGUUUUAAAGACUUAAUUUAGAGACUUGGGCUGGAGUUGCUCUUAGCCGAGGUGAGCAGCAGCAGCCACCUCUAGCUCUGCGUUAAACCCCCCUCGUGCGGUAAGAACUACUUCCUCGGUUCCAAAUUAUAGUUUAUUCUAAAAAUUUUGAAGAGUCAAAAUAUCUAAGUUGACUAAAUUUAUAUAAUAAAAUAAUAGUAUUUAUGCUACCAACUAAAUAUCAUUAGGUUUUUUAUUAAAUAUAUUUUUAUAAUAUAUCUACUUGAUCUUGUAAAUCUUUAUAUUUUUUUUAAUAAUUUUGAUCAAACUUAACAUAUUUUGACUCUUCAAGAUUUUUGUAAUGCCUUGAAAUUUAGGAUGGAGAAAGUAGUAUGUUUAGGAAUACUUCUGUUUCUUGAGAAGUUCGGGUGUCUUCUCGAGGAGCGAAAGAACUAUAGUAGAUUCUUCGAUCUCGACUUAUCUCUAGUGACUCUCUAAAGCAAGCAUGCAUUAGAAUUUAGAACUCGCUAGUCAGUCAAGCCUAGAACGAGACAAGUUAUCUGGAUAAACCGCCUACGGCUUGCCUUUAACUCGCCUGGACGCAAUCAUUGUUACAAACAAACAUUAUCGCCGUGUUCUAGUCAGACCAUGAUCUGCGCCGUCGCUAAAAUAGCUGAAUUAUUUCGACGACAUACAGAAAUGCGGCACUGUUCCCUUCCAUUGCUUUCGUUUCGUGCAUCCAUCGCUGAUCGCCCAAUAAUACUAGUGGCUAGCUACUACUAUAAACACUCUACCGAUUCAUGUCGUUCGGUGUGGUUUUCUCUCCUUCUACCUGUGCCGAUCUCAGAGGUCACAGCUAGCAGGGCAAGCUAGCUUUUGCUGCCAAAGGAGUUGCCAGCAGCAGGCAGAAUGGCAAGAAGAAGAGCAGGGCCAGAGACAGGAAGCUGGACACUGUCGAGCAACCUUCUCCCGGCGCUCGGCGAGGUCUCCUCACCUUCCGUCGGGAACAACACCAUCAACCCUUGCGACUGCCGUUACAGGUGUGGUCGACAGUUGCUGCGCAUGCGCAUGCACAUGACAUGGCAGCUGUGCUGUGCAUGCAUAUAUAUACCGGACGGACACGCCAUACAUAUAUAUACAUUAUCAUCAUGCGUAGUAAUCUGAUGCCUGCCAGGGUGUAUAUAUGUAUCGAUCAUCAGGUGGUGGCAGGCGUCCCUGAUCGUGCUGGUGCUGUACUCAGCGUGGUCGUCGCCGUUCGAGCUGGCUCUCGAGAAGGCCGCCACCACGCCGCUUCUCGUCGUGGACCUGAUCGUCGACGUGUUCUUCGCCGUCGACAUCGCCGUCUCCUUCUUCGUCGCAUACUUCCACAGAUCCGUCAAUCUCUUCGUCGACGACCGCAGGAAGAUCGCGACCAGGUAGUAUUAAUUAGUAUUACCUAGUCAAUUAACUGAUCGACCAUCAAUCUUAAUAUCUUAUGCACUUACAAACUGUACGCCAAAUAAAAAAAAAAACACGCAUGCGUACGUGCACGGUGCCCUCAUUUCUCACCAGGUACCUCACACGGCCAUCGUUCGCAAUGGACGUGGCCUCGACGAUCCCGUUCCACGUAAUCUACCGGCUGGUGAGCGGCAGGAGCACUGGAUUCAGAUACCUCAAUCUUCUCCGGCUGUGGAGACUACAGCGCGUCAGUAAGCUCUUUGCGAGGUACCUACGCCAUGCUGAUCUCUUCUCCAUGCAUAUGCCUUUGUGCAGUAUAAAUCUACAUGUCUAUCUCUUCCUAUAUAUGUAUUCCUGCAGGUUGGAGAAGGACAUACGGUUGGACUAUUUCUACACCAGGCUCAUCAAACUCUGCGGCGUGACGUUGCUGGCGGUGCACUCGUCGGCGUGCAUCUUCCUGUGGAUGGCGUUCCACCACCACGGGCACGGGGACGAGGACGAGGACUCGGCAGCGCACACCUGGCUCGGCAGCCAGGUGCGCGACUUCCGGGGCCGCAGCGUCUGGGUCAGCUACACGUACGCGGUGUACUGGUCCACCGCCACGCUCGCCACCGUCGGGUACGGCGACGUGCACGCCGUGAACCCCGGCGAGAUGGUGUUCGCCACCUGCUACAUGCUCUUCAACAUCGGCCUCACCUCAUACAUCAUCGGCAACAUGACCAGCCUCGUCGUCCACGCCGCCACCAACACCUUCGAGAUGAGGGACGUGGUGCGGCGCGUCUCGGCGUUCGUGAGCGCGAACCGGCUGCCGCCGGAGCUGAGAGCGCAGAUGAUGGCGAGCGCGCAGCUCAGGUUCAGCACCGGGGAGGUGAUCCAGCAGCAGCUGCUGUCCGACCUGCCCGCGGCGCUCAGGUCCCGGGUCGCGCACCACCUCUUCAGGGACUCGGUCCAGCGCUGCUACCUGUUUCAGGGAGUCUCCAACGACCUCGUCCUGCAGCUGGUACAUAGCAUUCGCACGCACUCGAUCUGAUCCAUGGCUCCAGUGACCUGACCACCGUGCUCUGCCUCUGACUGAGCCAGUGGCCGUGUACUACUGACUGGCCCAAAUGAAACAAUCACGGGAUGCAUGCAGGUUUCAGAGAUGAGGGCAGAGUAUUUCCCUCCAAACGCUGACAUUGUCCUCCAGAAGGUGACCUCGACAGACUGCUACAUCAUCGUGUCCGGCGCAGUGGUAAGCACACAGUAUUUCAAUUUUCACACGUACUGUACGACUCUGUCUGUAACCUUAUCCCGUUCCUUCUGCUUGCUUACAACAGGACGUGUUAGCGACUGCUGCUGACGGAACAGAGAAGGCAAGCCAUUCAAUCGCUGAACGUCAUGAGUGAUAUCGAGUGUCAAUUUCUUUCCUUUCUCUGCUCUCAGUAACGUGAACUCAGUCACGAAACUGCAGUCGCUUUCUUGAUUCUUGUUGUGCCAGCGAGAGCUUUUGAUCACUCAGCUGUGGUGUGGUGCCCUCUUUCAGCUGGUGAUGAAGAUGGGGGCACACGGCAUGGCAGGGGAAAUGGGCGUCAUUUUGGGCGUCCCGCAGCCGUUCACCGUCCGUAGCAGCAGGCUCACGCAGGCCGUGUGCAUCAGCCACACCCGUCUUCUGCAGAUCCUCCGUUCCAACACUGCAGAUGCCAACACCGUUUACGCCAAUUUUGUUCAGCACCUCAAGUCUCUCAAGGAAGAAGUUGCAGCGGAUGCGCAGCUUUUCGAGGAAAUCCUUUCCAAAACAAGCAUGGUAACUACCGUGGGGGCAAAAAAAAAAAGUCGAAACUUGCACUGUGUGAACUCUGAAACUUGGUGUGUAACAGUUGUCUUGUUUGCCCAGGAUGAGCUUCAGAUCGGGGCCAUUUUUCAGAAGCAGCAUCAGAACGGUGAUAGCGGCGCCAGGAUGGUUCCAAGCCAGAAUCAGAAUCCCAGCUUUGGCACCGAGCAACACGAAGAGACCGCUCCCUGCAUGUCGCCGCGUCGACACCGCGGACUACGAGUGGUCAUUCAUGAUAGCUUCCCCAGCGAUGGCGCCGAGAAGCAUCGGAGCCGUGCAGCGGGGAAGCUCGUGCUCCUUCCGGAUUCGCUGCAAGAGCUGAUGAAAGUCGCCGAGGCGAAGUUCGGGAAGGCGGCGAGGCGGGUGCUCACCGUCGACGGCGCCGAGGUCGACGACGUUGCCGUGCUAAGGGACGGAGACCACCUGGUGUUGUCGUGGUAGGACUGACCACUUGCAUCUUGCAAGUAGUACAAGCACGUUUCACCUCUCCCCCUAUUCUCGAAAUUUUACGAAAGAGAAAGGGUGACAAUGAAGUUGAGAAAGGGUGAAACGAAAUUUGGGAGAGUUUCGUGACUGUCACAUCGUGUAAAAGAAAUGAAAUAAAACAAGUAAGGAUGAACCAUCCAUCUUAAAUGUAUAGUUUCAUUUUGUAGUUUUAUAGGCAUUUAAUUUUAUUCAUAAGAGUUGAUAAUCCCACCAAAAAAAGUUUCUAGAUAAAACUCACUUUUCUCUCUUUUUUACCAACAUUGUCAUGUCAUCAAAAACACUUAUAUAGCAGCCUAUUAAAUACAAAUAAAAUUUACAUAAAACUCUUACUAAAACGGACCUAAAUAAAUGCUAAUCUCACGCUUCAAGAAAUCAAUCAAUCUUUGAUCAAAUAUAUAUUUUCGAUUAAUCACAUCAUAUAUUUUCGAUUUAUUAGAUUAAUCACAUCAUAUAUUUCCAAGUAUUCAGAAACACAAAUGUUAAUACUAUUUUCUAUUUCUAUAAAUUUAGUCAAAAUUGAAAAUAUGCAAACAUUUGUCUUUGACAUAUGAACUACUCCCUCAUUCAGGGAGUAGUUCCUAAUCACGGUGUGAGAAAAAGGUCUUCACCAAAAGAGCAUGCAACCGUUGGGGAAGUCUCAGUUCCAAAAAAAAAAAGAGAAGUAAAUAGCCAGGAAAUCUCAGUUCCAAAAAAUAGAAGUAAAAUGCAGCAGUUAUAACCAAGUACAGUGAACAUUUUACUAUCUUGAAAUCACAUGUCAGUAAGCAAAUAACCAUAUACAGUAACUAAAAGAGCAAUAAUGUUUUGCUUAGCAUUGCUGAAAAAAAAGAAACACAUCAGAAUUAUACAACAAUCUGCGCUGCACAUAUGAGAAUUAUACAACAAUCUGCGCUGGUUGUUGCAGAUAUAUUCCCUGCUAAUUCCUUUCUCUUGGGAUUUGGGUACUCACAAUCCUAAUAUCUGCACCUACAGAGUUAAUCAUAACCACCUGUCUAACAUGUGGCUUCAUCUAUCGACAUGAAAACCCCAAUUUUGUUCCUGAAACAACAAAUACAAGUCAUCAGUCAUGUCCCAACUUGCAACAUGAAAUUUACAAGACAACAAAAUAGGCACACAUUCCAGGGAACUAACUACUUGGACAACCACAGGUUAAAAAAUAUUCGAGGUCCUAACAAAAAGAAUGUGGAUGUGGAUUUUCAUGACAAUAUUUUCUAGCAUCUAUACAACAUAAAAGACCACAGAGAAGUUAUUGGACUGUGAUUUCAAACCGCAAGCAAUCCAUGAACCAUUUGAUGAAAAUCCACAGUUUACAUCUCCCAUCAUCUCAUAGAUGCAAACAUAAUCGAACCCAGGAAAAGCCAAAGGGCAGUAGCCAACUCAACUAGUUAUAUGUCAACCACGUAGAACAGAUAUUUCGUCUUACAGAUAAGGAAAAAGUAAGAAGCAACUACCAUAAAAAGUCACGACUCACAAGUGUUUGCCAACUUGAACUAUAAAGCUUGAUACAGAACAGAUAAUGUUUGGGAGACACCCAUGAAGAUGUGCAUUCAAGAGGAUGUCUCAGCCAUGCCCUUACGAAAUAACCAAAUUUUAAACAAUACAGGAAACUUGUGUCCUAGUUUUGAACCAAACAGGCCAAGAGUACAAAGGAUUCAUGAACACAACCCAUUUUUAACAGCAGGCAAAAUAUUUUAACAAGUUUAAGGUAGCAAAAUAUAUCAACCGAAAGCCGAAUUACUAAGCAAAACUUUGUUUCAGCAUAAUUGACAGCCCAGUCACUGCACAAAAUAGAGAAUGAGGCUCCUCUGCACUCAGAAACAUUUCUGAUUCUCAACAUAAGUUCAAGCAGACAUUUCCAAUCUUUUGCAUUAUAUCACAGCAGCUUAUGACUACAUUGAAACUGAUCUCUCUUUUUUUGUGACCUUGAAACUUAUCUCUUUGCUCCAAAUUAUAGGUCAUUUUAUCUUUGUCAUAAGUCAAACUUCUCCAAUUUUGACCAAGUUUUAGAAAAAUAUUUCUAACAUCUACAGGAUCAAAUAAAUGCACUAUCAAGACAUUUCAGGGAGAAUUUAAUGUAACUGCAUUGGUGUCUAGAUGUUGAUGCAUUUUUCUAUAAACUUGGUCAAGUUUAGAUAGUUUAGGAGCAAGCUAAAGUGACUUAUAAAUUGGAACAGAGGGAGUAGCACCCAUCCCUCUUUCCACCACAAAUACUUAAAACAGACAUCAAUAAAAAAAAAGGCAACCAGUGUCAUGCCAAAUGAAACUCACAGAUAUGACAGCUUGGAUAGUACAGAUGAUGACAUUUCAACUUGUAAUCUUUUGAGAAGGUAAGUAAAUUAUACAUGAACUUGAUUUGACCAAAGAAAUCACAUAUUCCAGUAGACUUGAGAACUUUCAGAUUCAAGUGUAACAAGCUUGUAAUACAGGACCCAUGGUUGUUCUAGCACGUAACUGAACCAUAUUGAACCUAUCAAUCAAAGCAUCAACACAAGUUCAAGUGGCACAACAAUAUCUUUGAGGGCAGAAUUUGAAUACUUCAGCAAAAAAAAUGCAUGAUCAUAGAUACUUAAGUAAUAACAAUACGGAUCUAAUUUAGCAUAUGUUGCCAUCAAGUGGCACACGAUCUCAAUCUCAUAAAAAGCUAAUCAUAGAUUUAAGAGACUAAUUGACAAUCAUUUGAAAUUUGAAGAAUUCUAGUUGUGUGUUCUAUUAAUUUCCAUGGCAAUUCUAACAUCUACAGUCUCCCUUCUGAGAGAAUUUAAACACAAAGGUUCUGUUUGGUUGAAGCACUGUCAAUGGAAAGGUAAAGGGAACGGUCAUGUCCGUAUAAAAACUCGACCUGCGGGGGGUAAGACAGCCCCCGGGCAUUGCAUUAAGAAGAAGACCUUCUCACGCAGGUCAAGAAAACCCCCAAACCCCUGCCCCACCCAUACACAGCGGCACCGUAGCCCAUGUGAGAACGACCAACGACCGGGACCGGGCCUUAGACCUGUGCUUUGGCAUGGGACAGACGAGGGGAUUUUUUUAAUCUUAGCCUGAAAAUUCGCUCCCACGGGGAGUCGAACCCAGGACCUAAGGAGUGCUGCCGGGUUCCUAUAAACAACUGGACUAGAGGCCCUUUGGCCGGUCACGUCCGUAUCGGGAAUGGAUAUCGCUACUAGCCUGAUUUGUUUGGUUCAGCCGAUAGGGAGGGGUAUAUCUGGCCGGAACCUAUAACGCUCGAUCAUGGGCGGGAAUGAUCUUAAAUAGUGUGGCAUCUGAUACCGCCGUAAGCUGAUUACAGCUACUUAAAACCAAACACGAAAUAACGGCAUCGGAAGAUGUUGCGUACUAUCUACAGUGCAAAAAGGAGUAACAAAACACCACCAAAAUACAAUGUAAAAAAAUGUGAGUCCCAACAUUACUCUAAAUGGCGAGUUAUCAAGGUUCAAGGGUGCUGCAUGAUGACUUUGUAAGCAGACAUGGGAUGAUGGGAGUACAGAUAUAAGGGCCGAAAUCCAUCCCAAAUUGCCCUUCCAGACACAAAAAAGGAUGACGUAGCUUUACUUUAGUCGAAUUAACAUUCCAGACACAUAAAAGGAUGGUUCGGUUUUAGUUUACUCAGGCAUCAAAAUGUAAUGAUAAAACAUAAAGGUUACAAUAAAAAUGACCUGGCACUUUAUUUACCAAAAUAUUGCAUUUAGCAUAAGCUGCUGAGAUAAGUGAACCAACCUCAUUCUGAAAGCCUCUAGGUUGAAUGCUAAGGAGAAGCAUCCAUGGCACCAUUGUUUUGCUCAGCGCCAUCAUCCUCCAAUCUCUUAUCAUCACCAACAUCCCCAUCUUCGUCCGAAUCACCCUCAUCCCCAUCCUCAUUACUGAGACGAGCAAUCUCCACUUGCGCCUUCUCCAAAAUCUCCCUCCACUUUGCAUCAAGGUCCCUAUGCAAAUCCCUCCUCAUUUGCUCCACCUCCAACAUUUGCUGCCUCUUGCUACGCUCCAUCCUCGCAAAAACCUCCUCAAACUUCUGAAUUGACUCUGUGAGAGCCACGAACCCAUUCCGAUUCAAUUCAACAGCAUUAUUUUUCUGCGGUUCACGUUCACCCAAUUCCGCACCAGACCCUGAAACCCUGGGACCUACGACGUCCCCGCCACCACCAAGAAGACGCUCAGGAGCUUUCAUCCCCCACUGAAAGCACCGCGAUGGCUGCCUAUCACGGCGGCGCUUUGCGGCCAGAGGCAACAACUGGAGAGGCAGUUGCGGCGGAGGCGGAGGCGGGGCCGGGAGCGGCAGCGGCAGUGGGGACGGGCACAGAAUUGACACCAUCUUGUCGUAGUAGACCCAUUUGGAUGGGGAGAGUCCGGAACGGCGAUUGGCAAGACGCGCUCUCUCCCUCUCCUUCUUAAACUUCUUCCUAAGCGUGUCCACUCGGUUGCGGCACUGCGAAUCGGAGAAGUACCCCGCGGGACGGUCCGCGGCGGCGCACACGCGGCGAGCGACCUCGAGCCACUCGUCGGCGCGGAUGAUGCUACGCCCCGCGCGGACGAAGCUGUCGCCCCAGGCGUCGAGGAGGGCGAAGGUGGAGCGCUCCGUCCACUUGGGCCCCGAGCGCUUGGGCUUGUCGGAGAGCGGAUCCUCAGGGAGCUCGUAGGGCGCGAGUCGCGGGGCGAACUCGAAACCGAGAGCGUACCGGUCGGUGCGGCGGCGCUUGGUGCGCGGGGAGGAAGGCGACGGGGAGGCGCCUGAUGAGGAAGCAGAGGAUGGAGAGGGGGAGGUCGACGGCGAGGGGGACGCGGCGGCCGCCGCGUCGUCGCUCAUCGGCGCAGCUAGGGUUUCAGGUUCGUGGUUGGUGGAGUUGUUCGGCGAGGUGGGCUGGCCGGGACCGGUAAGAAUCCGGCGAGUUUGGGGCAGGUCGCCCGUUCCUCCGUGGGGCUCACCGCGACACUGUAGCCCAAUGUACUGAGACUGCAUACUGGGAGCAUGAUGUAUGCCAAUUAAAUGUUUGUCCUUUUUCAAAAAGUACAACGGACUUAUGAAAUUGAGAGCAUACAUGGCCGUGUUAAGGUGAAGUGAAAAAAAUCGCUAUAUCGUAGCACUCUCGUUUGGUAAUUAACUAGGCCUUAAAAGAUUCGUCUCAUCAAUUUCGAUCAAACUGUGUAAUUAGUUUUUAUUUUUCAUCUAUAUUUAAUACUCCAUGCAUGCGUCUAAAUAUUCGAUGUGAUGGGGAAUCUUGAAAAAAUUUGGCUUUUUGGGUGGAAGUAAACAAGGCCUAUAUUUUGAUCCUAGUUAGUCUAUGAUUGGAUAAUAUUUAUCACAAAAACAAAAACUAAUUACAUAGUUUGCAUGUAAAUCGCGAGAAAAAACUUUUGAUCCUUGUUAGUCUAUGAUUGGACAAUAUUUGUCACAAACAAACGAAAGUGCUACAGUAGCGAAAUUCAAAAUAUUUUCACAUCUAAACAAGGCCUUGGUCUUGUUUUUUUAACAUCCGUCACAUCGAAUGUUUGGACAUAUACAUGAAGUACUAAAUACAUACUAUUUAAGGCUUUAUUUAGUUCACCUCAACAACCAAAUUUUUUUCAAAAUUCUUUGUCACAUCAAAUCUUACGACACAUGUAUGGAGCAUUAAAUAUAGACGAAAACAAAAACUAAUUACACAGUUUGUCUAUAAAUUGCGAGAUGAAUCUUCUGAGUCUAGUUAGUCCAUGAUUAAACAAUAUUUGUCAAAUAAAAACGAAAAUGCUACAGUAGACCAAAGCAAAAAAAAUUGAAAACUAAACAAAGCCUAAGAAACUAAAAACACAGCUAGAGAGUAAUUUAUGUGACGAAUCUUUUAAGUCUAAUUAGUCUAUCAUUAGACAGUAAUUUUUAAAUAAAACAAAAAUACUAUAGUACAUGUUAAACUUUAACACCCCCAACCAAACACCCUCUGAUUAGGAUGUGGCAACGGCGCGGUGCAAGGCCGUCUCAAUCCUCACGCCACCCCUUCCUCUUCUUCAUCCUUGUUAUAUCCAGCGACCCUCACCCUACCACGACUAUGGAGCUCCCCUACCUCGGACCUAGCUCGGCCACUUCCACUACAUGGCCAGCCUUCCUCCCCAAAACUCAUCUCUUCUAAGUCUGCUAGAGUUGGAGAAGCCAAGAGGGAGAUGAGGAGAGAAAGAGGGAGAAGAGAAGCUCGCCAGAACCCUAACUCGCACAUCCUGGAGGAGGAGGAGGAGGACCCACCUUGACAGCGUCCCCAUCGCCGGAUCAGUCGCUGGAGUUGGGGUGCAGGACGACCAUCGACCAUGGACGCUGUCGGAUCUGCCCGAAGCCAUCCAUGGCGCGAUGAGGCGCGGGUGUGGUCGCCAGGGAGUCACUGGAGUUGGGGUGCAGGACGACCAUCGAGGAAGGAAGGUGGGCAUGUGUGUGAGGAGAGACCGUGAGAGAGAGUGUGGGAAGUACGCCGCACAUCCGUAAAUAAGUUGUUGCCUACUAAUUAUAUGAAGCCAUAAAAUAAAUAUACAUUGUAUUUAUGGUAUGGGAGCCCAAAAUGACAUUAUUUACCAAUCCAUAUGGUUCAUAAUUACAUAGUUAUAGACCUCACCCACACUAAAAUAUGACCUUCCAAUCAUUCACACAAGGUGUGCCCAAAGGCAUGAAAACACCGCAUAAUCCAAUGAUAAGGAACUUCUCAUGAUAGCUUCUCAACUAAUAAAAAGUUAAAAUGGAAUCCUUACAUUGAAGAUGUUAAAUCCCCUAAGGGCACCGUAUAAAAUGGAAUUCUCAACUAGAUGUUUAGAUAAGCUCAACCGUGUUAUUAGCAUACAUUAAUCAAUGUUAUUAAGCAUUUUAUCCACCGUAUAAGAAUCAUGUACGCCAUGGCGCUCAUCCAAGGGGCUCUCUUGAACACUGGUCAGCGAGUAGGAACUCUCUCUUUCUUGCCCUCCUUUAUUACUCUACCCCUCAAUUAUAUAAGUGGCAAGGACUCCCAUCCUCUUUCUUCAACAUCCAAAAGUCUUAGCCACUUUAGGCCUCUUCAACUCAAGGUUGCCUUAGACCUUUCUUCACAAACCUUGACGUAGAGUCCUCGAUGUACAAUCGAUUUUAACCCUAUAAGUGCAUAAAUCCUAUUAGUGGGUUUUGGUGAAUAGAUGAUGACCCAUAUAAAGAACUUAUUAUGUUUUGUGAGAAUUUCAAUUAUACACUAAUUUGAAAAGUGCAAAUGGAAACAUGGGACCCUCAAUUUUUACUUCAUUGAAAGCUAGAACACUUUGCUUCAUCUGAAAGGAAGUUAUGUCUUAAUUUAACUAAGAAGGAUCAAAGUCUUAUAUUCUUAUUACAUGCAUGUGUCCUAAGUGUUCAAAUGGAUCACUAACGUAAACCUUAAACACCCUAGAAUAGCAAACCCUCCUCGCAAAAAAAAAAGAAUAGCAAACCCAGUUGGCUUCCUAAUGUUGUUUCUAGUGAGACCCAUGCAUAAAUAAAUAUUUUCAUAAAUGCGAUAACAAUCCUAAUUAUGUGGCCUUAUAAGAAAGCAUAUUUCUUCACAAAUGCAAGUGAUACAUCAACUUCAGAAUAUAAUCUAAUAAUGGGAAUAUAGACAAAUUCCUUAACGACCUUAGAGCAUGUAUAUUUGGUUUGUACAUGAUAUACGAUGUUGAUAUGCGUACUUUCUGUUAACAUGCCUCUACUAGCUCGGUGGGCCAUGACUCUGCUAUAUAAACAAGGCACUGAUUAUUGUUUGUUAAUAUUUUUUUAUUUCAUAUGCACUCAAAUAUAAAAACAUAUGCAAACAUACAAAAUAUUACAACAAAACAGAGAGCCAGGAACAUCUUGGACAUUUUUCAUCUCUUAGCUAUUUAUAUGACAAAACUGUUCAGGUAAGAGUUUCUUUUAAACAACUUUAGCUCGAAAAGAAAUAUGAUUCAUGAGAGAAGCCACAGAGUUGUUUUACCCACGGCUAGAGAGUUCUGCUAAACACCUUAACUUGCCACAGUCUUGUCAAUAAAAAAAACUUGUCACAGAUAAAACAGUGAGACCAGCCUCCACACAAAAAAAAAAAGAAAAAAGAAAAGAAGCAACACGCUUUCGAAAUAGAGCAAUUCUGUCUCUCGAGCGUGGCUGAAAAGGCUUGGACCUCUUUUGGAUAGGCCUGUUGAUGUAAACCUGCAUCAUGGGCUGAAAGGCUUGUGCCGAACUUGUCAUAUUGGAAGAACUAGGCCGUGGGCCUCAUGCGGUCAGGCCCCUGACUCCUCCUCGGGUCCUCACAAAUUAUUUCUCUCCUACUGAACACAAUCUCAGAGCGAAUUUUAUGAUAGGACAUAUGUCCUUAGAGGCAAAGAAACUGAUUUCUCCCUAAAACUUCUUGUGCAUGGUGUAUGCUUCGGCCAAGAUUGUUACGCCUUGUUUAGUUUUCAAAAAGUUUUAUAAAAAAAAUUAAGAUUCUCUGUCACAUCGAAUCUUACGAUGUAUGCAUGAUUCAUUAAAUAUUGAUAAAAAUAAUAACUAAUUGUACAGUUUUUCUGUAAUUUACGAGAUGAAUCUUUUAAGCCUAGUUAGUCCAUAAUUACACAAUAUUUAUCAAAUACAAACGAAAGUGCUACGAUAUCUAUUUUGCAAAAAAAAAAACUAAACAAGGCCUCAAAAUGCAAGGCGGCGAGUCCAGUAUCUUGAUCAAGGGAGAAGUAUGCGAUCAUCCUGUGCAAAAUCUUGCAAGUCGAGAUCUCUCAAGAUGGCAGGACUACCAAAAAUGGUAAGCAAUUAUGGUCUUGUUUAGUUCACGAAAACGUUUGGUUUUGGCUACUGUAACAUUGUCAUUUGUAUUUUAUUAUUAUUGUCCAGUCAUAGACUAACUAGUCUCAAAAAAUUUAUCUCGCAAAUUACAGGUAAACUAUGCAAUUUGUUUUUGUUUUCGUCUAUAUUUAAUACUUUAUGGAUACGUCCAAAGAUUCGAUGUGAUGGAGAAUCUUGAAAUUUUUUAAGGCUUAUAUCUAAGGUCUUGUUUAGUUCCAAAAUAUUUUGGGAAAUGGGCAUUGUAGCACUUUCGUUUGUACAAGACAAAUAUUGUUCAAUCAUAGACUAAGGCCUUGUUUUAGAUCCAAUUUUUUUGGAUUUCGACACUGUAACACUUUCAUUUUUAUUUGACAAACAUUGUCCAAUUAUGGAGUAACUAGGCUUAAAAGAUUUGUCACGCGUUUAAUGAGCAAACUAUGCAAUUAGUUUUUGUUUUCAUCUAUAUUUAAUGCUCCAUGCAUGUGUCGCAAGAUUCGAUGUGACCAGAAAUCUUGAAAAAUUUUGGUUUUGGGGGUGAGCUAAACAAGGUCUAAAUAGGCUUAAAAGAUUCGUAUCACAAAUUACAGGCAAAUUGUGUAAUUAAUUAUUAUUUGUAUCUAUAUUUAGUGGUCCAUACAUGUGUCGUAAGAUUUGAUGUGUUGGAAAAUAUGAAAAGUUUUGUAAAAUUCUUUAGGAACUCAACAAGGCUUAGGCCUGGGCCUUGUUUAGUUCACCCUGAAAACCAAAAAGUUUUCAAGAUUUCUCGUCACAUCGAAUCUUGUGGCACAUGCAUGAAACAUUAAAUAUAGACGAAAACAAAAACUAAUUACACAGUUUAGCUGUAAAUCACAAGAUAAAUCUUUUGAUCCUACAAACAAACGAAAGUGCUACAGUACCGAAAAGUUUCCACUUUUCGGAACUAAACAAGGCCCUUGUUUAGUUCACUCCAAAAACCAAAAAGUUUUCAAGAUUCUCCGUCACAUCAAAUUUUACGGCACAUGUAUGAAGCAUUAAAUAUAGAUGAAAACAAAAACUAAUUGCACAAUUUAGUUGUAAAUCGCGAGACGAAUCUUUUGAUACUAGUUAGUCUAAGAUUAGAUAAUAUUUGUCACAAACAAACGAAAGUGCUAAGGUAUGGAAAAUUUUCACAUCGGCCAUAAUGUUUCGAGUGGGCUGCACGGAUAACGGAUUGGAAAGCACGUCAGGCGGUUCUUCUUGGACCCAAAGACAGGGCCGGUGUUUAGUGGGUGCCAGCAUAUGCUCUCCUCGGCUUGAAGGACAAGAAAUCAUGGUCUGUAGCUAGCUGCUAGCUUCCAUUAUUCCACAAGAGCCGUUGUUGGUUUCUGUUAAUUGUACACAAGAUCAGGCAUGUAGCCGUGGACGUCCUAACGCCGCAAGCUACUGGAGUUUUGCUUGCCACACUUUGCACGAGUGAGGCAAUGACCCAGAUUAUAUUAUCGUUAUUAUAUGUUAGGCCUUGUUUAGUUCCAAAAAUUUUUGCAAAAUGUGAACAAUAACAAUUUCGUUUGUAUUUGACAAAUAUUGUCCAAUCAUGGACUAACUAUGUUCAAAAGAUUCGUCUCGUCAAUUUCGAUCAAACUGUGUAAUUAGUUUUUAUUUUCAUCUAUAUUUAAUACUUCAUGCAUACGUCUAAAUAUUCGAUGUGACGGGGAAUCUGAAAAAUUUUGCAAAAUUUAUAGGAAACUAAACAAGGCCAGAGGCUCCGAUCCACUCCAUCGACCACUGCACAUUAGCUGAUUAGCAUGCAGAUGGCUCGCAGCCAGACAGUCAGCUGCGUUCUGAUGUUAUAGCCUGCGUAACUUGGACAGCCUCACGAUAAAAAUACUCCAUCGACCACUGUACGUACUUCGAAGCGAUGGUAGAAGACUGUAUAUUUGUUCUGCAGAUGUUGCAAGAGAGUCCAGUCAAACCGCAACCUUGGAGUAGUAGAUACGUACACAUAAUAGUCAUACUGCACACUGUGCGUGGUAGUUCCAUGCAGCUAUUACUAGAUCUGAUCAUAGUUAAAUAGUCUUAGCUUUCAAUAAAUUUGUAGGGAAAAAAAAGGUAUGAAUAUGUAUGACUAGCUCAUAUACGUACUAUAUAUGUAUGACUCUAAGAAUUUCAUGAGUCAUGACGAAUCUGAUAAUACUUAUGAGUAUUUAAUAUGGUAAAUUUGGUUAAUUUUGAUAAUUUGACUAGAAAAGAAAGGCGAACCGCGAGCUCGUGACAGCAUCUGAAACCUGACAAAAGUCUUUGAAAUCUUGCAGCACACUGCACACGAGCUUUGAUGUUGAUGGUGCAUCACACAGUUCGCAAACAAAUGCACUGCAUCGCAUGCUAUGCUGAUGCACCGGGAGUCCGGGACCGCAGCGUCAGAGGAUGCAAUGAAACUCGCUCUGGAGCCACGCCGCGCGCCCUCUGGGAUUCUGGCCUUCUGGGCCGGCAGAUACAAAUUUUAUUUUUGGGCAGAGGGUGAAUCACCACUGGCUGUCCCCCGCAGGCGCCACAAUCACUCGGCGCCCUGUAAAAAAGGCACAAACACCCAUCAUCGAAGCAAAGCGAAGCACAUGCAGCAGCCGUCCGAUCUGACUCUGAGAGAAAAAAAAAGUUUACGAAAACAAGUAAACAAUCUGAUCCGUCUCAAUGCAUAGUUUCAUGACACAGUUACCAAGACUAUAAACUAGAUAACCGAGCAAGUUUUAUGGGAAUGAAACUCCUCUCUCAUCUGAUGAAACUCCUUCAUUUAAUGAUCAUGUCAACUCAGCAAUUUUGCUUAUGUGACACCCUAUUUAAUGUACAUGACACUCUCAUGAAACAUGCAUUGAGACUGGCCUAAAGCGCAAAAGAUGAGAGGCCCAAGCCAGGAAUUUCUCGUGGUUAACGACGGUGCAUGAGCGGGUUAAUUAACACUCAGCCUAAUCAAUAGUUCGUACCGCACGAGGGAGGUUUAACGCAGAGCAAGAGGUGGCUGCUGCUGCUGCUCAGUGCUCACCUCGGCUAACGAUAGGAUUAGGAUUUAGGAUAACGACGGCUCGGGAGGUGACACCUGCCCCCCAUGACCUGUGACAAAAGCUCACUAGGGUUACUAAUUUUAAUCACCAUAUUUGACACCUACCGUGUCAGUCUCAAUAUAUUAGGGCGGGCGACGAGCCGACGAUGGCCGAAAGCACUGCAUCAUCCAUCUCACCAGACCAGAGAGAGCGCCGACAGACAGGACUUUGUGCGACACAGUAGUACGUAUAAUUUUUUCACUACUGAACGUGUAAGGCCUGGUUUAUAUAUGUAAAAGUUUUUGAAUGAUGCUGUAGUAUUUUUAUUUAUAUUUGUAAUUAUUGUUUAAUUAUAGACUUAAAAAUUUUCAAGAUUUCUUAUUACAUAAAAUCUUUGGAUACAUGUAUAGAGCAUUAAAUAUAGAUAAAAAAAUAACUAAUUAUACAGUUUGUCUGUAAUUUAUAAGAUAAAUUAUCUAAACCUAAUUAAUUUAUAAUUAGAUAAUAAUCACGAAUACAAAUAAAAAUGCUAUAGCUGAACACAAUUUUUUGCAACAACUGAGGCCUUGUUUACUUCCUCCCAAAAACCCAAAACUUUUCAAGAUUCCACGUCACAUCGAAUCUUUAGACGUAUGCAUGGAGUAUUAAAUAUAGAUGAAAAUAAAGACUAAUUACACAAUUUGGUCGAAAUUGACUAACGAAAUGUUUUGGUUGAGGAACUAAACACGGCCUGAGUCAUGGGCCGCAUGUAAUUGGGUCCAACCGACGGUGGUGGCUACAGUAGCCGAACAUAAAAAAAUCGCAAUAACUGAGUCGUGGGCCCGCAUGUAAUUGGGUCCACCCAACGAUGGUGGCCCAGCGGACAGAGUAUCAUGUGCCGUCGCUUUUCAAAGGUGGAGAAAAGAAAAGGCAAAAGGCGCAAAGGCAAACCUAGCAGGUCCCUCCAUCGUCCAGUACGAUGGAUGCUCCGGUGGAUAGGAGCACAGCCAUACACGCGUCGUACCACGGAUGUCUCUUGGCGCACAAAACGACAAGAACCACCCUUCAUGUGUGAUGCGUGUCCGUUUCAACGUUUUUACAGCAGCGGUCAAACAUGUACUUUGGUUGGAAUUGACGGAACGAAUUUUUUAACUUAAUUAAUUUAUAAUUUGAUAAUAUUUGUUAAAUACAAACGAAAAUGUUACAGUGCCGAUUUCUCAAAAAAUUUUAAACUAAACUAGGCCUAAGUAGCCGAACAAAAAGAAUCAUUGACUAAGACAUUGUUUAGUUCUGAAAAGAUUUUGAAUUUGGCCAGUGUAGCAUUUUUGUUUGUAUUUGACAAAUAUUAUCUAAUCAUAGACUAACUAGGCUCAAAAGAUUCGUCUCACAAAUUAUAGGCAAACUGUGCAAUUAGAUAUUCUUUUAUUUAUAUUUAAUAUUUUAUAUGUAAGAUUUGAUAUGACAGAAAAUCUUGAAAACUUUUUAGUCUAAACAAGACAGUUAGAGAGAGGAACUGCAGUGUAGCAGUUGUAGCAGCACUUAUUUCCUCCGUUCACAAAUAAAUGCACAUCUCACUUUUCGAGGAGCUAAAUUUUUUAAGUUUACUAGAAAUAUAUCCAAUAAUAUCAAUAUUUGUAUAUACAAAUAAAUAUAUUAUGAAAGUAUAUUUUAUACUUAAAAAAAUGCUGCACUUAUUCAAACUUAAAUUUUUUUGACUUCUUAGGAGACGAGAUGUGCAUUUAUUCGUAGAUAGAGAGAGUAGUAAAUGAGAGUGCUUUUUUUUUUGUUGAUGCUCAAAAAGAAUGAGAGCAGACAAGUACUAGUAAAAAUUGGCAACGUUCAACGAUAAUCUGAGCUACUUGGGCUUGUUUAGUUCCGGAAAUUUUUAGGAAAUCGAUAUUGUAGCACUUUCGUUUGUAUUUGACAAAUAUUGUCUAAUCAUGGACUAACUAGGCUUAAAAGAUUCGUCUCGUCAAUUCUGACCAAACUGUGCAAUUAAUUUUUAUUUUCUUAUAUUUAAUACUCUAUGUAUGGGUCUAAAGAUUCGAUGUGACAGGAAAUAUGAAAAAUUUUGCAAAAUUAUCUUGGAACGGCCCUGUAAAAAAAAGAUGAUCUGAGCUAGUACUGUACUAGGGCCUGUGUUGAGUUCCUAAUUUUUUUUAAUUUUUUUCAUAUUUUUAUAUUGAAUUUUACGGCACAUAUAUAAAAUAUUAAAUUUAAAUAAAAAAUAAGUAAUUACAUAAUUUAACUAUAAUUUGCAAGACAAAUCAUUUAAACUUAGUUAGUCUAUAAUUAAUUAAUAUUUAUUAAAUACAAAUGAAAAUGUUUUCAUUUUGUCAAGAAUUUGGGAACUGGCCUAAAUACGACACGACUCGACGAGCAAAGGCAUUUUACAAUGCGGCUCCAAAUUCCAAAAGCUCAUCAAGACAAUGCUGCAUAAGCACAUGAUGACGACACGUUUCUGGUUGGACCAUCUCACUGGAAUUAUUGGAUUACCAUUGAGGUGUCACUUGUCGUAGCGCGUGAUGAUAAUUGAGCUAGAUUAAGGCCUAGUUUAGUUCAUUUUUUUUUUGCAAAACGUAACACUUUGUUUGUAUUUGACAAAUAUUGUUCAUCAUAGACUAAGACUUAAAAGAUUUGUCUCGUAAAUUACAAACAAAUUGUAUAAUUAGUUAUUUUUUUAUCUAUAUUUAAUGCUCCAUGCAUACGCCACAAAAAAAAUUUGUAAAAUUUUUCAGAUUCUCCGUCAUAUCAAAUCUUUAGACACAUGCAUGAAGUAUUAAAUAUAGACGAAAAUAAAAACUAAUUGCAAGUUUGGUCGAAAUUGACGAGACGAAUCUUUUAAGCCUAGUUAGUUCAUGAUUGGACAAUAUUUAUCAAAUACAAAUGAAAGUACUACUAUUUCUAUUUUUGCAAAAUUUUUUGAACUAAACAAGGCCUUUUAUAACGUUGCCUACGGCUUUUUUGAGUGAAAAAAAAAACCCUGCCGAGGGUCUCAGAGUGGAGAGGUGGUGAGACGUGGAGACGCCAGCGCACUCGCCCGUUGCUCCUUCAUGCAACGCGUGCCCCUCCCGGCGCGGCAGUCCACACAUUGUGACACCACCACCGCGCGCCCCGCGCACGAAACCCCACCAGCCGCCAGACUUCAGACUUGGGGAGCGGCCCCACCGGCGCGCGGCCGGAGCAAGCCUUGAGCCAGAAGCAGUGUGCUGCGGAAGCCUCAUUCUCCUCCUCCUCCUCUAAGCAGCAGCUCCCCGUUGGCCCAAGGCCAAGAGAAAGAGACCCGCCGCGCCCCGCCCACACCCCCGAGACCGAGAGCCAGCACGCCGAUCCGCGCCCGGUCGACGAGGUACGCCGCUGCUCAUCCUCGUCUUCCCUGGCAUGUGCUUGCUUAUACGCGGCUGUGGGCGUGGGGGAUUGGAUUGCUUCUGUUGUGGAUUAGCGAGACUUGUGUAGUAAGUAGGUGAUUGAUUUGUCGUGCUCAUAUGGUUUUUGGUUGGGAUGUAAUGCCGCUUUCCUCUGGUGGAGCUAUUGAGUUCGAUUUCUGCAUUCCAAGUUCUCAUUGAGGCGACCUGUUUGUUCUGAAUGUUGGGGACGAAUUCGCCGAUGGGAUAGUAUCGGAGGAUUUGGGAAACACCCUACUCUUUGCCAUGGUGAUUCUGCGGGUGUUGUUGCACUUAUUAAUGACAAGAGUUUCAAGUGAGUGUUCAUUUUUUCGGUCCCUGGUCUAGCUCGGUCCAAUGACUUGUUCAAGUGAGUCUUCCUUUUUGCUGAUCUCAUUCAUCUCGCUCUUUUGAAUCACUUGCCUUUACGUUUCUGUUUUUUUCUGUGCUUUUUUUGAUGCGCGUAUAGACAAUCAUUACCCCUUUCUCUUUUUUUCUGCAACUUUGACUUGAUGACAGAAAAAGCAAAAGCUCAAUUUCAGUCCACCUUUUCUUUGCUUUCCAAUAAUACGCAUUGAUCCAUCCAUCUUAUUACAAAUGAUUCAAUGCAACUAAACCAACCGACAAACGUGGUGACCGUUUUCAGGCGCAUCCUGCUCUCGUCCUCAUCAGCGCUUGGGAGAACGGCAACGGUUACCGCUCGACCGCCAUGGUGGAAUCCAGUGGCCACCGGAGCGCCACCGCCCCCACGGCCGUCGGGUUCUUCCGUGUCCCGGGCCUGUUCGUGAGGCUGAGCAGCAGCAAGGGGGGAGGAGUGAGCAAUGCCGUGGACGCCGACUCGGUCUGGAGCCCGACCUCCCCGCUGGACUUGAAGAACCACCUCCGGUCCAGCCCGCCGAGGGUCGGCCUCGGCCUCGUCGACGCCCUCACCGCCGACGACGAGACCGGUUGUUCCAUGCACUUCGGCGGCAGGAGCUCGUUCCUCGACUCCAUCAAGCCGUUCCUCGACCUGGCGCUGCCCAAGGCGGCGGCGGCGCCGGUGUGCGGGAACAAGGCGGCUGCUGCUGCCCCUGCGUCGUCGGCCGGCGGCGUCGCCGCAAGGGUGGAUGAGGUGAACGAGUACCCGUACGCCGACUGUGAGGAGUACACUUGCGUCAUCUCGCGCGGGGCCAACCCGAGGACCACGCACUUCCUCGCCGGCGAGACGGUGGAGGCGGUGCGCAGGGGCGGCGACGUAGGUGGCCGCUGCAGGGAGGUGAUUUUCAGCAUUGAGCCGUUCAGCGACCAGCUGCUGCCGUCCACGUCCUCGUCGUCGGCGGCGGCAACCGCUAGCGUCGCGUCCGGCAGGUGCUGCUGCUGCAUGAAGAGGCUGCAGGAGAACAAGGACAUCUUCAUCUACCUGUGAGUUUGAGCUAGUUUUCAUCAACGUUUUUAAUUCUCGCUAGAGCUUGAACGCAGCAAGCAAUACGUGUGCGACAUGUUUUUUCUAGCUGUUCAAGUUCUUGGAUUUUGACGGAACGUCUUGUGUGUGCAGGGGAGAGAAGGCUUUCUGCAGCAGCGAGUGCAGGAAGGGGUACAUCGAGGAGGCGGACGAGGAGGUCAUGAUGAUUCUGGAUCCUGCUCGAAAUCUUUGAUCAGGAUUUGUUUAAUGCCGUGGCAAAGUAGUAGUGGUAGUAUAAUAUUGCCCGCAAGAUUUCUUUUUUCUGCUGCCUUCAACUUUAGGGACUACUGGGAGAGUGAGGGGGGAAACAAAGGAAGGGGAAAAAAUGGAAAUGCCUCUCGUUCAAGUUUUUGCUGAAAGGAGAGGUGGUUGUCCAGGUUUGGCCAGUCAGUGCAACGGCCGGCCGAGCCAAUUUUCGUGAUUUGUUGAGCUCCAUUUUGGCUGCUGUCAAACUAGUAGCUCUUCGCCAUCAAUAUAUUAUUACUGUUUUGUUUAAGUCCAGUUUGUGCCUUUUGUUCUCCAUUUUUCAUUUUUAUAUUAUUGCAUUUUUUAAAAUACUCUUAUGUUCGUCGACGAGCUCACCAUCAUACUCUGUCAGUAAGGUCCUUGGUCGGAGACCCCUUUUUAAACAUAAUUUAAGGCUUUGUAGUCGACAAUAUACGCUGCUUCAAUCGACCCCUUUACAACUCAAGGCCUCGGACAUCUGUACCAGAUUCAAAUAUAAGUGACUAUUUCUCUUAUAAUAACUAAGAACAGAGAAGAUUGAAUUGAAGAUUUUAAAAGAAACAAGUGUUAAAAACCUUUCUUCUAAACUGCAACAGAUUUCGAUUUCAAUUCUUUUUCCUAAUAUUUUCUUUUUCUCAAUUGAGAAAAUCAGUCUCUAUCAAAGAAAAAGAAACUAGAGAUUUUUCUUGAUCCACCCUUUCUCUCUCUCUCUCUCUUUCUUUCUUUCCUCCCACUAAUCUCUAGGGGGGCUCUCACACUAUCGAGCUGGGCGCGCGGCGUCGUGCCGCGCCAUCGCGCACGUCGGAACCACCGCCGUCACCCACGUGACACCUCCAUCACGUUUCUUUUACUAGUUCGCACCCAGCGGGCUGAAAAAGUAAAAAGAAACAUUUUAGGCUCCGAUUUGAAACUGUUGUUCAAGUUAACCACUAAUUUCCCGUUAACGAGCAAUUACAUUAACCACUCGUCCACGUCCGGUAUGUGACACGACUCCAGAGUCCAGAAUGCUCCAGCUCCAGCGGCUUGUCGAGUUAAAGCCGCCAACACAAAUAAUUUCACAGAGGACGACGGCAGGCGGGCAGGCCUGCCGCUGCCGGCCCCGCGCUCCUCGCUCGGCCCGGCCGGACCAGCUGCGUACCGUAUGCUUGGCAGGCCGCGCGGCUAUGGGCCUACUGCACUCUUUACGGGCUAUGGCAUGGAAUCCAAUGCUGGUAACUGGUAGUACGGAGUAGUACGUACUACAGUACGCAGUGAUGGCCGAUGAACUUGCGGCGUCUUUGCGUUGCGUUGCAGAUCGCACUAUCGCACAGCAACGUGCGACCGUCCGAGUCCAUCCUGAAGACACUGACAGCUCUGGCACUCCGGCCGCCGGCAACAUCGAUUCCAAGAAGGAUUCAUUAUUCAUGUUUAUCUUUCCGAGAGACUCCCUAUGAUAUUUGUGCAAAGGUUACAUUCGUGCAAGUUAACUAAUCUAUUUAUUUUUAACAAAGUUUGUAAUACUAAUAUUUAUACAUGUGUGUAGUAGAAAGGAUUGUUGAAAAGUAAUGGUUAGGAUGUUCCUACACUAUUAGGAGAUGCAGCUCUCCUUUUAUUUAAGAGAAGAUUUGAGAGGAGAUGAAGAAAAAAAAAAGAGGUAUAGGAGAUUGUUGGAGGGAAAAAAACACAAUGCCCCUAAUAUAACAGUUUUAUUGGGAUACAACAGUACUGCAGCCUAAUAUAACAACUUUACCGGGAUACUACUUCAGAACGCUAUAGAUACUUUUAAGUUCCAUUUGCUUGAAUGCAUCUAAUUACUUCCAUGCGUAUUAAUUCAACCAAGAGAAAACACUUCAAACGUGACACUAAACAAAAAAACAUAGUUGCACCUUCAAUAUUUGGACUUUAUUGGGCCGGAGGGAGUAAAAUAACACAAGAACACUAUAAAACACGGGAAAUAGGAGAUCCGGUUUGCCGUACAACCAACCACAGGUGCACAUCUACAAAGCUUGCCUAGCCAGUAGCUACCCGCAACCAAGGCCUCUCUUCCUUGCUCAACAAAGGCACCUUCAUGAAUCAAUUCCAGCUACAAAGCUUGAACAAUUAUCUCAUCUACGAACUCCGAUGCUACAAUCUUCAAGCAACAGGAAAUAUAACAUUAUCACACUAGAAUCACAAAGCGACAGGAGUGAAGGGGCAAGAGGACCUAGUAGGCUAAUAAGAUGUAUAAUGAAGGAUGGCAGCUAGCAGCAGACAAAUAAUCUCGAGCUGUUUGCCUCCGCAGGACCCAGUGGAGUCUUGCCAGAUAUCCCAGUGCUCACCAGCUCACGGGAAGGAGCCAUC